rnacentral:lncRNA from 1 species
UACGAUCCGAAUGUUCUCAGAUUGAGUUGAAUAAGUGAAAAGAUGAUGUGGAUCUUGGAAACUAUGAGAUCUUUUACCCAAUAACACUAUUUUUUAGAUCCUAGCAUGUGAGGGUGGUGGAAUCCUCUUUAAUUGGGUGGAGAUUAGAGUUCAUCUCUCUGAAAGAUUGAGUAGCGAGACUGCAAACCCUAAAUCCUUGAGGAGGUUUAUAUAGGUUUACCUAUAAGUUUAAGUAACUUAAUCACAUUUUUAGGCUUGGAUCACUUAAACUAGUCUAUUAGGUCCUAAUUAAUUAAUUAGUCUUAUUGUGUUCCAAUUGAUUAAUUAUCUUAAUCUAGAGACAUGCACCAUUCAUAAUCUCUUGCAUACUCUUGCAUAUUUUCCAAAAUUCCUUAAUUUAUGCACGCAAAUGAAUAAAGAACCUAAAUAUAUCUUAAGUAAUAUGUCAUUGAGGAAUAUUACUUCAAGUAAGAAUCAUUGGGACCUAUAGAAAAGUAUUGGCUCCCUCAUGAUGUAAUUUUGAAGUUGACUCAACAUUCCACUAUGAGGAGUUAAUUGCACUCCAAUAUCCUAUAAUAUUAGCUUGAGAUAGAAUACUUGGGUUCAUAACCUUAUAACAAUUGCAUGCAAGCUUCCCAUGAACCAAUGUUUAUAAUUUAACAAGGUGAAUGUUAUCACUCUCUUAAAAUUACUUUUACAGUCUUUUAGUCUCAAAUCCUCUUAUUAUAUAAUCAAUUGACACAUUAUAGCUCUUUAAGCACAUAUAUCAAAUUCCAUUUAACUAAUUAUUAUAGUCAUAGAUUCAUACUUCUAACUUUCAUCCAUCCUUUCAAAACACAUCUAUGACACUCAUACCACAGGGCCUCUACUAUCCAAUCUACUAGUAGACUUCUUGAGAUGUCUCAUAUCCUACGACUUAUAGAUCAUUUCAUCAAGACCAACAUAUAUCCUUUUAACCAAUAUAAUAAGAGUUCUAAAGCGACUCACCAGGAUUGUACCAUGUGUAUAUGAAGCAACUGGUAAAGCCUAACCUGGCUAGUUCUAGAUGUCAUCUAUUAUUUUCUAAGGAAAGUGAAAGAGAAGUUGUUAGCUUCAGCAUGUUUAAAGAUACAACACCAGCUCCAAGGUAACCAACUCAAGUGCACUGUAUUCAAGAUCACUAACACAAUAGUUACACAGUUGGCAUGACUGUUAGCGCAAUUAGCUAGGUAGUUUUCCCUUGUUAUAACAAACUCUAAUAGUUGUUAAGAAUUUACUGCUACUUAAGGAAGUCACCACCUGUAUUGUAAACUUAAAUGAACCGAUAAUGAGAAAUAGCUAAUAUUUUCUUUCAUCCAUUUUUUUUUUGCCUUUUAACACAACACGACAAUAUCUCAUUCCAUUAUCUAAAUUGAUCUCUUAGUAUCCAUUGCAUUAAGGCUACCAGUUACUUAAUUUCGAUUGAUGACUUGCACACUAUUGUCUACUCUAUUGAUUAUUAAAAUAUUGUAUUAGUUCACUCUUAGUCUUAGCUAGCUACUCUUGGCACUCGUAGGAAUAGGGUUCUGCAUAUUCUUUCCUCUUCAUUUGAUGUCGAGAGCAAUCCUCCUACCCCAAUUGCCCUUAUGCCCACAACACAUGCAACUACUCCACCUAUUUUGUCUGCUCCAUCUCAGACUAUCUCUACUACUCCUACCCCUCUAUCAUUAACACCUAUUCACAACAUUCUUAGACUUUCUCAGCCUCAGAUUGAUGAUCAUACUCCAAGUUUACUACAAGUUAUGACCUAUUUGGCCAUGCUUUAAGACCUCUUUAUGAGCAUGGACUCUUGUAUUGAUGUCAAGCUCAGUUGCAUGGAGACUUGCAUGUGGACGAUUUGACUUUUAUCAUUCAACAACUUAGCUCUUUAGCUAGAGUCCUCAAAUUGAGAGAUGGUUUGGUACCACCAGUUUAUGGAAACCUAGAGGUAGAUGGUGGUACUAAGGUUUGCCUUCAUUUUUUAUACCAAAGUUGAGGGAGCAAUGCUUGUAGCCACACCCAUCCUACAACUCAGGUGCAUUAGGAGUUGCACUGAAAAUCCAUGUCAUGGGUUCCUUACAAGUUAAUAAAUUGUUCGCAACUAGUUCAUAGACUUAGGAAACCUAUUUAAGGUUGUAGUGUACAACCUCUUAAUUGGAGGGAUGAUUUGUCUUGGUCAUUAUGAUGAGUUUCUCAUGGUAAGUGCAUUGUGUGCAUGGUUAUACAUUAGACACGGCCUAUGAUGAAUCAUGACAUUUACUAUUAGGGAGUCAUGAUUCACCAAACUACUAUGUUGACCUUGAGAGAAUAUUGAGAUAAUACUGAGGUCUUUAGUGGCUUUGGCUUAUAAGUGAGACCCUAAAGUGGUCAUAUAUUCCCUACAGAUUGGUCACUAUUGAUUAAAGCAAGUGACAAUAGGCAUUUUCAAAAUAGGCACCAUAAUAUCUUAUGGGAUUAGGACAAUGUGUCCCCUUAGGUGAUUAUAAGGACUUGUGAUUAUGAAAUCUAUAGCAUUGUAGGAAUCCUUUUAGUGGAAUUUGACAUAUGCUUUAUGUUAGUUAGAGUAUGUCAAGUGAUCAUAUAAUAAGACAAUUUGAAACUCAAUGAUUGUAGAUGAAAUCUUGAGAGGUUGAUAGCAUUUGUCUUGUUAGAUAAUGGACACUAGUCCAUGGAGAGUCUAGAUGCAUGGGAUAGUAUGUCAUGGACCAAAAGAAUUGAUUAAAUUGAAUUUGAUCAAUUUUGAUCUUGAUAACAUAGAAUAUUGGAGUGCAAUUAACUUUCUUUAAUGGAUUAUUGAGUUAACUUCAGAACUGGAUUAUAAGGGAGUCAAUAUCUUGAUAUAAUAACAUAUGAUACUAGAGUGCAGUUGACUCUUUUUGGUAGAUUAUUAAGCCAACUUUCAAAAUUGGAUUAUAAGGAAGUCAAUAUUUUCUUAUGGGUACUAAUGAUCCUUACUCAAACUCACAGUCUUUGUUGACACAAAGGUUUAAGGGAAAUAGAUUUAAUCAUUUGCUUGCAUAAUGGCAUUUAGGUGAAAGAACAAGAUUACAUAUGAAGUUAUGAUGAAUGUUUUCAAAAUCGGAUAGGUCACUAAACCGGAAAAGUUGUCGAUUGACGGUUCACUGGUCGAGCCAAAGAUUGAAUCGCAAUCGAACUAGUAAUGUAAUAAAUAUAUAAUUUAUAUACUAUUAAAAUUAAAAAUAAAUUUUGAAAAUUUAAAAUAUAUAUAUAAUUAAAAUUUUAAUAAUGUUUCCUUUUUCAUAUUUGAUAUGUCAAAUUAAAUGGUAAUGAUAAAUAUAAAUGUACUAAUAUAAUAAAUUUUAUUAAAUAGAACAUGUGUAAUAUUUAACCAUGAAAAUAUAAUUAAGAUGAAAAGAAAAUUUUAAUAUUUAAUUUUAUCUCUAUCUAUUUUAUUAUUUUAAAAUUUUAGAAAUUAUUAUACUACUUUUAUACUUAUCAUUAUAUAGUUGUUAUAAAAAUAAUUGUGAAUAUAAUAUAUAUAUAUAUAUAUAUUUGUUAAAUAGACUUAAAUGAUAAAAAUUUGAAAAAAAAAAUCAAUAUUUUAUAUAUUUUAUUUUAUUGAAACAUUUAUUAAGUUGGUUCCAUAGCCCAAUGGUCCAAGUAUUGGCCUUUUUAAUCCAAGAUCUGUGGUUCAAGCUUUCUUAAACAUUAUAAGUAAUCUCACAUUGGAAGUUUACAAAUUAUAUUUCCUGUAUAAAAACCUUGCUUAUUCUUGGAGCUUCAAACAUAUUGUUAGGGUGGAGUAUGUUAUGGGGCUGCAGUCAAAGCUCAUUAGGCCAUAAAUGAAAGGGGUUCACAUUAUGAUUUUGGUCAAAAUAUUAGUAUUGAUCGGUUCAAGAGAAAUGGGACAGUUUGUUUGGUUCGACAAUCAAACCAUCGAUUUGGAUGAUUCAAGACCAAUCUAACAUGGGAAUAAUUCAUUCCAGUCAACUAGACCGAAGAGCUGUGGAUUGACGAUUUGACCAAUUUAAUUAAUUGAUAUGAUUUGACUUUUAAUCAAAGGAGUCAUUGAGCCAAAGAUUGUGAGGUUUUGAGAAAUCUUUUAUAAAAAAGGAUUUGAGUUUGAGAAUAUCCAAACCCAAGAAUGGUUUUUAUUUGUUAUUGGGUCCUCUCAAACAUGCAUCAUGCUGGUAUAAUGACUCAAAUAAAUAUAAAAUAAAAUAAAAAUUUUAUUUUUAUUUUAUAGACUUGAUAAUUUUCACUUGUGAGAGCCGAAAGAAUAGAAUAAAUAUAAAAUAAAAAUUAUAAGAUAGUUUAGGUGACCUUUACAUACAUUUUUUGCAAAACUUCUAUAGAAAAAAAUCAUGAUUUAACCCAUGCUCUCCAAAGCUACUAUUAAAAUUUUAAAAAUUUGAAAUAAUUUAUAUAUAUUAAAAUUUUUUUUUUAACUUCUAUAAAAUAAAAAAAAUAAAAACCUAGAAAUUGACCUUAUGUUCUAAAACAGUAGUUACCAAAAUUUUUAAAAUUUGAGAUAGUAAAUUUUUUUUUCAAUACCUAUAUAUUUUUCUAAACUAUUUUUGAAAAUCAUUGUCUUGUUAAAUUAUGCAUCUUUCAGUGGCUAUUUUCUAUUUUCUAAAAAUAAAAAACAAAAAGGUCUCUAAAUACCACCAUCGAUUUUACAUUCAAUUUUUUAAGUCACUAAUAUUUAUAGAAAUUAUUAAAAUAUUUUUUUUUCCAAGAACAAAAAUUUAACUUGAAUGCAUUAAUAUUUUCAUUUAGUAAUAACUUUCACAAAUUAUGGAUUCGGAACAACAAAUUAGGACAAAUUAAAAGAUGUUUUAAGUAUUUUUUGCAAGACAUUUGAGAAAAAACUUUAAAAUAAAAAAGUACAUAUAUUAUUACGAAACCAAAGUGUCAAAGAAAGAGAGAUUUUCUCAUGAAAAUUGUUUUCUUUACAUCAUUCUCAGAAAAAUAAUUAAAUUUUUGUAACAAAAAUGUCCAGUAGUUAUUUAGUUACAAAAAUAAAAAUAAUUUUGUCUUUGGACCAUAGUUUGCAGGACUAUAUAUAUAUAUAGAGGAGAGUUGGGAGGUGUAAUUAAAUGUCCAAGGUCAUGUUUUGUUCAGAAGAUUAUUAAAAAAAAAAAAUGGAAGAAAAUCAUAUUUAAUUUUGUUGUGAAAGAAAUGAAAAAAUAAAAUAUAAUUAAAAUUAUACAAAAAUGUGUACAUUUUGAAAUCAUUUGACUUUUAUAAAAACAAGAAACAAAUUAAAAUAAUAUAUAAAAAUAAUUUAUUGAUUUUAAACUUAUUUUUAAAAUUUUUUUUAACUUUCUAUCUUUUUUUAAAAGAAAAUUCUCUGUUUUCUUUUUCUAACACUUUUCCUCGGAUUUUUAGAAACUAAACCUAACCUUAAAAAAUAAAAAUAAAAAUAGUAUAUGGACAGGAUGAGAUUUUAAACUGACGUAUCAAGCCAUCAAGCCAUAGUCUGCAUUAAACUUAGGCUUAGGGCUGAGUUUUAGCUAAGAGUUAAAUUCCAAGUAUGGGCCAAGCCUAAUGACUUUUCUUAUUUGGGAUAAUUGUUGAGCAUGGAGUGGGCACAUCAACUAUCCCAUCACAAACUAAAUUGUGUCCCACUAAAUUAUUUUAUCGAAGGAAACAUUUUAAACAAAAAAAAUUAUUCAUCCUAAAUGAAUCUAUGAACAUGUUUGUAAUUGUAUUGUUUUUUGUUUUAAGUAUUCAUACUUUAUCUAAAAAAACUUUCAAAAAUAUAUAAAAAUAGGAAAAACAAAUCAAACUCCUGUCAAAAUCUCUGGAAUAAAAGUUUGUUCUUUAAUGACAAAAAAUAUCCUUAUGAAAAUAACUCAAUAUUUUAAAAAUCGGAUUGAACAUUAAACCGAAAAAGUUACUAAUUAAUGUUUCACUAAUCAGACUGAUAGUCGAAUCGAGGUCAGACCAAUAAUCAAAUCAGAAUCAAAUGGGUGGUCGAACCGAGGUCAAAUCCGUAACGUCAUAAAUGUAUAAUUUAUAUUUUCUUAAAAUUAAAAAUAAUGUUAAAAUAUUUAAAAUAUAUAUAAUUAAAAAUUAAAAAUAUUUAUAAUAUUAUUUAUUCAUUUUUAUAUAAAUGUAUUAAUAUUUUAAAUUUUAUUAAACAAAAUAUAUACAAUAUUUUAAAUAUAAAAAUAUAUUGAAAAUGGAAAAAAAAUCAUAUUAUAUAUAUAUAUAUAUAUAUAUUUGUGGACCCCGCAUUUCGGCUCAUGCGUUUCCCACUCGAAUGGCGAACUCGAUUUUUGUUUUCGAAAAAAAUGAUAUUUCUUGAUUAAGAAAAAUUGACUUGGAGUCGCCACUUAUUUUUGUUUUAUUUUUAAAGGGUAAACAAAAUAAGAAAGAAAAACCCUAAGUGUGACUCCUUGUUUUGGAAAAGGUGAUCUAUGAAAACCGGAUCGGGUUCGGGGGUCGGGUUACUUAUCGGGAAGGUACGGUAGAGACCGUAGCACCCCUCUAAGUCCCUAAAGUCGGGUCUCUACUAAUAAAGUGAAACUGACGUGGCAAUCGAAUAAGAAAGUCAAUGGAUACUCACAUCAAUCAUGCAUAUAUGAGAAUCAGAAUAUGUACUGUGUAUGAUCAGAAUGGGUGAAUGCGUACCUGGGCAGCAAACAGCAACGCGCUAUCAAGAAACGGGAUUAGUGCACAAUUAAUGAAUACAAAAUAUAGCCUAUGCAUAUCGGAGUGUGAAACGAAGCUCAAGCGAGAUACAUUAAGCACGACAAUUGACAGUCAAAAAGGGAUCAAACAUGGGGUCCCCAACAAAGCCCGAUUUAUUGUUCAUGAGCUAAUCCCACAAAUCACGUGUUUUGGAAUUAUGAAGGAAUCAUUAUUUGCUUAUGUAAAGUCAAGAAGAUCAGAAGAUUAUUUAGGAACUGAAAUGUGAUUAAAGAUUAUUCGAGUGAAAACUGGAUUAUUGGAGCUUAUUUGAAAAUUGGAGUAUUUUGAAUUAAAUUUUAAAGAUUAGAGCUCCGGUGAUUAAAGUGGAAUUUGUUAAAGAAAAUGAGAAACGGACUUUAGGAAAUUGAACUGCUAGAAUAUAGAUUUUUGAUAAUAAUAAUAAUAAGAUUUUUGAAUAAUAGUAAUAAGAAAUGAACUUCAGGAAAUUGAACGGCUAGAGUAUAGAUUUUUAAUAAUGAUAAUAAUAAUAAGAAACGAACUUUAGGAAAUUAAAUUGCAAGGAUAUAGAUUUUUAAUAAUAAUAAUAAUAAUAAUGAAAAUAAUAACAAGGAGGUUUUGAAAUAAUAAUAAUAACAAUAAUGAUAACAAGAUUUUGAAAGUUGAAUUAAUAAUAAUAAUAAUAAUAAUAAUAAUAAUAAUAAUAAUAAUAAUAAUAAUAAGAUUUUUGAAUAAUAAUAAUAAUAAUAAUAAGGUUUUGAAAGUUGAAUUAAUAAUAAUAAUAAUAAUGAGAUUUUUUGAAAAGUUUGGAUUGAUGAUGAUAAGAAUAAUAGUAAAUAGGUGAUGAAAGUGUGAAUUAAUAACAAUGAUAAUAAUAAGGUUUUUGAAAGUUUGGAUUAAUGAUAAAUGGGUGAUGAAAGUUGAGUUAAUAAUAAUAAUAAUAAGAUUAUGGAAGUUUGGAUUAAUGAUAAUAAUAAAUGGAUUUUGGAAGUUGAGUUAGUAAUAAUAAUAAUAAUGAGAUUUUUGAAAAGUUGGGUUAGUAAUAAUAAUAAUAGGACUUUGAAAGUUUGGAUUAAUGAUAAUAAUAAUAAUAAUAAAUAGAUUUUGAAAGUUGAAUUAAUGGUGAUAAUAAUGAUGAGAUUUUUGAAAGUUUGGAUUAAUGGUGAUAAUAAUAAUAAUAAAUAGACUUUGAAAGUUGAGUUAAUAAUAAUAAUAGUAAUGAGAUUUAUGAAAGUUGAGUUAGUAAUAAUAAUAGUAGGAUUUUGAAAUUUGGAUUCAUGAUAAUAAGAAUAAAUAGAUUUUGAAAGUUGAAGUAAUAAUAAUAGUAAUUAGAUUUUGAGAGUUGAAUUAAUAAUAAUCAUAGUGAUAGUAAUAAUAAUAAUGACAAGAAUAAUGAUAAUAACAAUAAUAAUAAUAGUAACAAUGAUAACAAUGAUAAUAAACAAUAAUAACAAUAAUAAUAAUAACAAUGAUGAUAACAAUUAAUAAUAAUGAUAAUGAUAAUAAUAAUAAUAAUAAUAAUAAUAAUAACAAUGAUAAUAAUGAUAAUAAACAAUAAUAACAAUAAUAAUAAUAACAAUAAUGAUGACAAUAAUUAAUAAUAUUAAUAAUAAAUGAUAACAUGCAUCCAUCAAGCCCAAAGCCCAUAAGCCCGGAUCCACUAGCAAGCCCCAUCUUCAUCAAGCCCAAACCCAUAAUAAUAAUAAAAUCACCCUAGCAACCCUGGUCUAGUCCAAGUCCAUCAGCAAAGCCCAAGCCCAAAUCCAAACCUCCAAGUCCAGCAGCAAGCUUUCAAGCCCAAAUCCAAACCUCCAAGUCCACCAGCAAGCUUUCAAGUCAUCUUCUUCCUCACCUCCGGAGACGGCGACGGAGGAAAUGAAGGUGAGAGAGGCAACGCCGGAGAGCCUCGAAAUCUGUCCAAGAUGCCCGGUUUCCGCGCCGCCACCUCGAUUAUCGCCACCCGUGCCGCAUCCGCCGUCGCGUUCCAGCGUCGACGUUCAUGAGAGGAGCCCGCAGCUGCAGCCUGGUGUCUGCGCACGAGGAUGGAGCCAGCAGCCGCGGCCUUUGCAGGCGUGUGAGGGGCUUCUUCGGUCGAAUUUGGCCGUCUGGGGGGGGGGGGGGGGAAGCUCGCCACGUACGUCGUCGACGAUGCUGCUGCCACCGAGUUCCUGCAGCGGGCGGGCUGGGUAAAGCGCCUUCAAGGGGCGGCGACGACGAGGGGAGAGUCGGUGGCGACACCCUCACGUGGAACGUGAGGUGCAUGGGACUCGCCGGAACACCGUAGGAGAGCCUCAUGCUCCCAAAACUGCAUCCGGGGCUCUCCAUUUGCUAGGAUGAAUGGAGCUGGAGUGAGCAUCUCCAGCUGCCGUCCCGGUUGACGCCUUCUUCAAGCUCAAGGUAUGAGGAAACGGGAGGAAAAUGAUGAGGAAAAAAAUAGAGGAUAGGAGUGGAUGCAGAUAGAUAUGGGUGUGCUGUUAAGGUGGAAUGAGAAUGUGAACGGUGAGCUUAAUGGGUAUUUGAAUGAGCAAGGCUGGCAUGUGCGCAUGGGGCUUCAUGUGCAUGGGAAAGUUAGCAAUAAGCGGGUAGGAAAUGCAUGGAAGGGGUAGUGGCCGGAAUGAGAGAUGUGAGACGUGAGUGGUGUUGGACAUAAUGGGUAUGUGCGGCCAUAAGAUAAAAAACAGAGUAUCAAUAGCAAAGAGCCAACACAAAAAAAAAAAAAACAGAGUAUCCAAACACAUGAGCCUCAUCUUAUCUUGAAGUCAGAAGGUUCUCGUACAGGUGGGAAAACCGGGUUGAAACAAGACCCAAAGAUAUGGCUCAGGCAUCCAAGGGAGAGGUAAAAAGGAAUCGGAUCACUCUUAAAUGAAUUUCAUAGGAAGAACAAGGCACAUAUUAUUGAUAACACAGUCACAACAAUAACAAGGAAAACAGCUGCAAUAGGUAUGUGGUCCAGAAAACGCACCUGAUAAGCUUCCCUUCAACUGCCAAUCAGCAAGAAGACCCCUGCGUUCCUUCCUUUUCUUUCCCUUUUUCCUUUCGCCUUCCUUUCUCUUUUUCUUUCGCUUUCUUUUCUAGCUUCCUCUGUUUUUCUUCUCUUCUUGUCUUCCUCCGCAAGCCAGCCGUAUCCCGUCCCAUCUGCAGCCCCCAAAAGCUCUGCCUUCUCCCCUGCAGCUUCAGAGCCCCCAAACACAGCUCUCCCAUCAUGUCGAGCCCCGGGAAAUAAAAAUUAAAAUUAAAAAAAGGUCCCUGCUUCCGGGGGUCUACAAUAUUAUUUUUUGACACAACCUAUGUAAUUUAUUCCCUAUUAAAUUAUGAUACAAAAAAAAGAGUAGCAAAGUGGAGCAAUAAUCCUAUUGUGAACCUGUCGGUUCAAGCUCCCCUGCUUUUAUAAUUCCUUCCCAUUCACUGUGACAUGAGUGGCUAUUGGGCCAUGAAGCUCAGUGCAGCGCUAGUGGCCUUUUUGCAAAAUAAAAAAGCGGGCAUUGAAUGUUGGGCUGUGAAGGGAGGCUUAGCCCAUUUUGCUAAAAAAAAUUAAAAAUGGAGGUGUUGUUGAACUGUUCGGUUCUCGAAGAACCAUUCAGCUCACCCAGUUCAACUGCUAGUUUAAGCAGUUCGAGAUCGGUUCAUUAGAUGAAUGGUUCAAAACGGGCAACCGGACCGGAAAGGCCACCGGUUGGCUGUCGGACCGGCCAUUGUCCGGUUUUCAAAACACUGGAAUAACUUAACAUCCGACAUAAACCUACGAGCUUAUAAACCAUCUUAGUGUACAAAACCUUUAAUAUAAACCCACAUGUAUGCCAUAAGAGCACUCUAAAAUUCAAGUACAAAAUCUGCCAUCCGCAGCACGCUGAAUCUUUUCGCAUCUCCAUCAUGAAAGCUUCCAAGGUAGAGUCUAUGAAGAGAAUUUUCUAAGCAAUGCUUACCAGGCAACAAAAUUUGCCACCCUUUCUAUGCUUUGACUCCAUUGCAUCUUGACCAUGUCUUUUUGUUCCAAGCUGGAUUUCAUCAGUAAACGCCAAUAAAGAUCUCCAUCCUCUGGUUCAUCUAAUAAACCCAACCUACACACAAGUUUAGUAAUUGAACAAAGAGAAACACUGAUCAUUCAUGAAAGGUAUAUUGUUUUGAGCACCCACGAUUCAUGCAUAAGAUAUCCACUACAUUUAGUGUUGUUUGGUGAUUUCUAGCUACAAGAUUUAAUUUCUAAGAAAUGAGAAAGCCAUACAGACAAGAUCAAGCAAAUGCAUACCAUGAUAAGUGACUGUAAAUUCUUCAAACCAUCUAUUGAAACGUGACUGUAAAUUAGCAUACUCAAACAAUUAGAACAACAGAAAUCAUGUUCAAAAGACACUUCAUCCAUUUAUGCAUACUAUCGGUCUAUUUGUGAACACAGACAUAGUGCAAGGCAAGAACUCAAAGCUGUUCACAAAGGGACACAAGUCCACUAGUGCAAAAUUCUAGGUGAUGUGAGGCAAUGCACACAAAUUGCUAUUGGUCCAUUUGUGUGGACUCUACAUCACAUCAUGCACAUGUACAUGGUUAAUUUGCUACCAACCGGAUUAGGUUGUCUUUUCAAUUAGAAGUCGUUAUCAUUAGUUAUUGACUUGUAACAAACUUAUGUUUAAGAAUAUCUUAGGUAUAAAUGAGUAGAAAUGUGUUUUCUUUUAUCCAUCCUAAAGAGAAUAUACAUGGUCUUGGUAGAUAGAUCAUUGUAAGAAAUAAUCUAAAAAAGAAAAGAAAUUCUUGAGUGAAUCUAACUGAAUAAGUACCCUUUUUUUUGGCCAUGAGGGAAAGGGUGAGAGAGAGCCUUCUAUUUUGUGCAAAAGAGAGAAACAAAGGUUCAAUAUCAUUGACUAGUAAAGCAUUUGUGGAUUCUUUUCUUGUGGAUAUAAGUGAUCUUCAUCAAACCACGAAGCAUCUUGGUGUUGUGAUUGUACUUUAUUUUUUGUUGUAUUUAAGUUAUUGGGCUUAUUUAAUUGAUCUUGUUGAUGUAAAAUCCCCUUAACAAACUGUUAUGAGAGCCUGUAGAUGGAUUUAACAAAGGUUGAUAUUCAAUCAGAAGAAUGAUUUGGCACUAUGGAGAAUGGAGAUGAUAGCAUCACUAGUUAAGAGGCCUUCAAGAAGUUCCUAGGAGUAAACUUACCAAGUUCUUUAUCCUUUGAGGACAAGACCAAGAUCCCUGAUAAAGCAUACAAUGUUGUCUUUUCGAGUCUUAGUGAUAAGAUGUUAUGUGAAGUCUUAAAGGAGUCAACUAUAGCUUUGAUAUGGUUGAAAUUGAAGCAUCUGCUCGUGGCAAAAUCUUUGACAAAUAGACUAUACUAAAAGUAGAAAAUGGCAUAACAGGUUGAAGACUGUAUUGACAACCUCAAUAAUAUCAAAUUAGAUCUUGAAAAUAGUAAAGUGAAGAUUGAAGAUAAAGACCAAGCAAUAAUCCUCUCAAAUUCAUUGUCUGAGUUAAAUAAGCACUUUGUAGACACCAUGAUCUAUGGUAGAGGGUAUUUAUUUAUGCAAGAAGUAUAGGAUGCCCUAAAUUCUAAGGAGUUGAAGAAGAAAUGUUAUAAGAAUAAAGAAGAUGACUCAGGGGUGAGGGGCACACACUGAGAUGGUGAUCUUGUAAGAAACUUUUUUAGGAUAUAUAUAGACCAAGGUCAAGGUUGAAAUAUAAGUACAUAAUGUUUUCUCUAUCAUAAAGAAUGCCAUGUAAAGAAAGAUUAUCCAAAAAGAUAACUUCAAGGACCCUGAAGAUAUUGGCACUACAUCAAAGGGGUAUGAAAGCACUAAGGUAUUAUCCAUUUCAAAAUCUAUUGAAAAUAAUUAAAUGAAUUAUUGAUUUUGGUCACACUUCUCACAUGUUUCCAAAUCAAUCUUGAUUUUCUUCUAUUAAAUGAUUGAUGGGGACUAAGUGUUGCUGGGAAACAAUAAGGCAUGUCACGUGAUUGGAGUAGGAGUUACAAAAAUCAAGAUAGCAGAUUGGGUUGAAAGCAUAUUGUAGGUGAGAGGCAUAUGCUUGAAUUGAAGAGUAAUCUAAUUUCACUGAGAAUGUUGGACAAAAGUGUAAAGGAGAAGAUGGAGACUUGAAGGUAAUUAAAGGAUCACUACAACUUCAAGGAAUAUAUAUUCUAGACAAAGUAAAGUUUUUGACACAUAGACUUAUAUAUCAGUGAAAAGAGUGGUCUAAAUAAAGUAAACAAAAUCUUCUUUGGGGAGAUAAUAUGAGUAAGUUGGAAUUUUCGGAAGAUUGCAUUUAUGGUGAGAUUUAUAGAAUUAAAUUCAAUAUAGAAAAUCAAAGGACAAAGGAAACUCUCGAUUAUGUUCAAUUAAAUAUUUUGGGCCAACAAGGAUUGAUUCUUUGAGUGAUUAGAUAUACCUUACAUUGAUUGAUGAUUAUCAAAGAAGAGUAUGGGUGUAUAUAAAAUCUAAAUGCAACAACUGUAUAGAGGGCUCUAUAGAAAAGGGAAGGAGAACCAUGUAUGCAUGCUUAUCAUAGUAUGGCUUAAAGCAGUUUCCAAGGCAUUGGUACAACAGGUUUGAUAUAUUCCAAUUGAAAUAUAGUUUUAAAAAAAUGUGGAUGUGAUAGUUUUUUUGUACUAUAAGAACCUCCUAUCUAAUACUGCCACUUAUUUUCCACUGUUUUUGUGUGCUAUAAGAAUGCCUUAUAAUGCCACUUAUUUGCUAAUCUAUGAUGACAUGUUCAUAGCAUCUAAUAGACUAAUUAAAGUCAUUUUUUUCAAAGUGAGUUAAAGACGAAGGAUCUUGGACUAGCCAAGAGGAUUCUAGGGAUUGAAAUCAUAAAGGUUCUUGAUAGGUUUGUGAUGUCAAGGGCAAAAUGGGAACAACAAUUAUGUUGUAUUUUAAGUUAUCCCAAGCUUAGUCACCUUGACUUGAAAUUGGGGAUAAGGAUUAUAUGGUAAAGGUACCCUAUGCUCGUGUAGUUGGAAGUAUCAUGUACGCCUUGAUGUGAUAAACCUAAUUUAUGUAAUGCUAUGAGUGUGAUCAGUAGGUAUGAAAAAUCUAGAAAAUGGAUUGCAAUGUUGUGAAAUAGCAACUAGGGCAUCUUCAAUAUAUUAAGGAUGUUGGAUUGAUGUAUUAGGGAGGGUAGAAUACAAGUCAAUAGGUUAAUAGCUAUGUGGAUUCUAAUUAUGCAAGAGACUUGGAUGGUAAGAGAUUAUUGACGUACAAGUUAUAUUUUUUAUUUAGGGAGAUUCAUAGUUUGCUAGACAGCCUCAUUAUAGUGCAUAGGUUCUCUUUCAAUCAUAGAGGUGGAAUAUAUGGCAAUAGCUAAAUCUAUCAAGGAAGCAAUUAUGCAGACAUAUACAAAGGUUGGUUAGUAACCUAAGCAUGAAGCAAGGGUCUGUAACAGUGUUUUAUGAUAGUCAAAGUGUAAUUUAUUAGUCCAAAAAUUAAAUAUAACAUGAGAGGAUAAAUCACAUUAAGGUAAGACUUCAUUUUAUCUUAGACAUAAACAUUGGGGGAGUAUUACACAUAAAGAAAAUCUUAACUCUUGGGAAUCCAAUAGAUAUAAUCGCAAAGGCCACAAUGUUUAAUUAGUUCAAGUAUUGCUUGGACUUAGUUUAUGUAAAAGGUUGCUAACUUAGGAAAUAGGAAAAGGCUAGUGUUGCAAGUGAUUUGAAUUCUACAACCAAUGUGGAGGAUUGUUGAGCAGUGAGUUUGAAAUAGCUUACUUAAACAAUAUGAACGAGUGAAAUCACAUUCAAAAGACGCUUUGUUCAUUUGUGUACAUUAGCAUAAAGUAAGGUAAGAGCUCAAAGGUGUGUACAAAGCGACAUGUUCCAUUUUGAAAACUUCAAGUGACGUAAGGUAAUGCACACUAAGUGGACAAGUCUCUUUGUGUGGUCUCUUCAGUACUUUGGGCACAUGCACUGGUUUUGCUACCAAUAAAGAUCAGGUUGUUUAUUCAAUUAAUGUUUAUUAUGAUUAGUUGUUCACUUCUAACAACUUUUAUUCAAGACAAAUGAGUACUAUUUUACUUAUUUUAAAGGGAAUCUAGAUCGCCUUGAUAGAUAGAUCAUUAUGAGAAAGAUUCUAAACACAAGAGAAAUGUUUGUGUAAAUAUAACUGGGAAGUGCUUCUAUGCUUUUCUAAUAGGAAAGUAUGAGAGAGAGUCCUGAAAGAAAAAAUGAAGGUCGUAUCUCAAUGAUCAAUUAUCAAACCUUUGUAGAUUCAUUUCAUAUGGAUAUAGGUGGUUUUCACUGAACCAGGUAAUAUCUGUGUUUUAAGUGUGCUGUAUUUUUUGUUGUGUUUUUGUGAUUCUUAGGUUUGUUUAAUUAACCUUGUUUGAGCAAAAUCUCCUCAACACCAUCCAAUAUAUCAAAGGAUUUCUUGACUAAAUUAUGAUUCCAAUUUGAAGUGCCUCAUAACAUGUAAUGAAAUAAUUGAAAAUCAUCUAAAAAUCUGAAAACGAGGUUUCAGAAAUCACAAACAUGAAUCAUUCUCUAAAGAUAUAGCUUAGAGAAGUUGUUUUAUAAUGGAGAAAGUAACAAACAAAAAAUGUAUUAAUACCAUGUAUAAGAAAGUAACAAAAAAACAUUUACGUAUUAGUACUAUGUAUCAUAGCUAGUCAUGUGUUUACUUUUAGCUAAUCUUAUGCUUCAAUCAGUACACAUGAGUUUGGACCCAAAAUUUAGUUGCCUAGAGUAUUGGCUAAAGGGGGAAAGAUGACAUAUUUUCAUGAAUAACCUUCCUGGUGAAGGUCAUAAAUCUAAUCAUAUCCCAGAUGGAUAAUUCGAAAAUUUUCUAUUAGAGUUGUUUUAACAUUUGAAAUUGCAUAAAGUAGUCAGCGAAAAGCUAAUAGGAACUACUGUAAAACGAUUUAUGCUAUAAUUCAUUCUCAUCUUCUAGAGUUUGUGUGCACUUUCAAAGUGCCAAAAUACCGAUAUCAAAUUAAUGAAGGCAUGUAUAAGAAAACAAUGGUUGUGAACUUGGCAACGUCAGGAAGAUGGUAAAAGAGUUAAAUAAUUAUAAAGGUAAAGUUGUGGCUUCAUGAUAAAUAUUUUAUAGUUUGGAGGAUACUUGGGAAAUCUUCUGUAAAUUGCAAGGAAUAUACAAGAAGUCUUCAAUUGAUUAAGCAAGAAGAACAUGUGGAAAGCACAACCAAUCCAUCUGCCUUAAUAUGUCUUCAAGUUGGUAAUUGAUGGUGGGGACUUUAGACAAAUGCAGAAUGACUAAAAAAGAAAUUGCUACCAUUGAUUCAAAUUCUAAUAAUAACUCAAAAAGAACUACCACUAAAGGUCAAAUGAAAAUCGCAUUAACAGGCACGAAAUACUAAAUCAGAGCAUGUUGGGAACUGAUUCAUUCAUUUUGCCUUUUACUAUAGGCACAAACUAAAGUACUAAAUGAUCAUAAUCUAUGGAUGGCCUUAAAUUGUAUCAAAGGUUUCCUGAAUAAAAACCAUGCUGAGACUACCUAGCACAGCCAUGGUUUGAAAUGGUAUAAGCUAUAGCCAUCAAGAUCAUAGAGUCUUGAAAAUUAACUUUUGUGGUCAUCUGCUUGGGUAACAAAAAUAGGGGUUUGAGGUAUGAGAAUAGGCCUUCAUGCUAAUUCUAUCUAUGGCAUUGGCAUCAGUUUUUGAGGUUUGUCCACAUUCAAUUGCAUGUUCUGCAAAUAAACAAGUGAAAAGUACUUUUGUAUUUCACUCUCAAAGCCUCCUUAUAAAGUACUUUUGUCCUACCAAGGUUGUUAGUGGGAUCAAAAUAAUCCUUUUUCUGUGAUUUUUGAGUAACACAAAAUCCCAAGCCAACAACAUUGGACAAACUCCCUAGGCUAACACCAAAUCCCAAGAACACACAAUCUCAAGCUUACUCCUUGAGCCAAUACCAAAUCCCGAGCCAACUCGAUCUUGGAUAUAUUUCUCGGGCUGACACCAAAUCCCAGCCACAUACAAUUUGAAGCCCUACUUCUUAAGGCAUCAUUUUCCUGGGAGAGGCAUUGUGGCCAACCUUUGGCUGGUGGUUGACCAAAUUAGAGAGGCCUUGAAAGAACCUUCAUUUUGAUGUCUGGGUGGAAGGAAUGAGGAAAAUCCAUGUACCAUAUGCCUUUCAUGCAUUUUGAACUUGUUCUAGAGGUUUCCGACCCAAAACCAUAAAAAAGACCAACAAAAUUAAGAUGGCCACCUCUAGUAUAACAUAAUGAAAACAGGGGAUGGCUGUGGUAUCCUAACAAAUCACUCGAUCAAAACGGUUUUCCUCUCCACUGCAGGGAACUCCUCCACUGCAGGAAAGAAGAAGAUUACAUUGCAUACGUUUCCAACAGAAUUGGCUAUUCCACUAAAAUUUAAUUUCUCAGUAUCUACGUAUCAAAACAGAGUGAUUUUUCAUUGAGAAAAGACGUACUUGGUUGUAGAUUUUGGUGAUUUGAUAAUCAUUUUUUUUUCAUACAAAACAUUUGAUUUUCAGUGCAGUCCAGAUCAAAGCCCUAAAAAUGCAAAGAUAAAACAGAAAGGUUGUUUAAAAUUAUCUCAGAUCAAUGACAUAAGAACAUAAUUCACUGUCAAAACUCCAAGAAAAAACCCAAGAAACUAAUAUUACCUGUCUCAAACCUCAAGAAUAGAAAGAAAGAUAUGACAAGAAUUGAUGUAUAAGAGCAGCAAUGCGAUCAGUUGAUAAGCCUUACUACCAACUGUCAUAUAAUGAAAAGGCAAACCUCCAUUAUCUCAGUUCUGAAACUUUCAAAUGCGAAUCAAAAUCUGAAUGGGUCAUGGUUAGAAUCAAAAUGGCCUGUGAUUGAGAAGGUGUAAAGUACCGUAACUUAUUAACCCAACAAUGACUCUAAAUUAGAGAUUGAGAAGGUGUUGUGCAGCUUAAUAUAAUUUAAUGACUUAAGUUAUUAAGUAGUUAAGCAUGUUUGGUAAAAAUAAUUUAAUAUCACAACUUUAAAUAAAAAUUAAUUUUAAAUAUUAAGUUAAAAUUGUUAACUUAUUCUUAAUUCAAAACCUUUUUGUCUCAUUUAUUCAUUUUUAGUGAAGGUAUAUUUUAUGACUAUGAUCCUGCAUUUACAACUCAUCUUUUAUAGUAAAUAUUUUUGUAGUUAACUUAUGCAUCUACAAUACUUUAAAAAAUAUUAAUGUUUAACAAAUAAAUUUAUUAUUUAGAAUUAGUNNNNNNNNNNNNNNNNNNNNNNNNNNNNNNNNNNNNNNNNNNNNNNNNNNNNNNNNNNNNNNNNNNNNNNNNNNNNNNNNNNNNNNNNNNNNNNNNNNNNUUUUUUAAUUUUUGGGAAUUUCAACCCCCCCCCCCCCCCCCCCUAAAGGCUAAUCUAUUCCUUUUCUUCCACACCGUCCAAAAAAUAGACAACGGAAUGGCAUCCCAAAUCUUUUUCCUUUCCUUUCCCACAAACGAACCCCUCCAACUAACUAAGACUUCCUUUACAGUUUCUGGGAAAACCCAUUUCACGUCAACUAAACCAAACACUAUAUCCCAUAGAACUCUAACCACUGUACAGUGUAUGAGUAUAUGAUUUACACUUUCUUCCUCACAACCACACAGAAAGCAGCGAUUUGGAAGUUGUAAUCCUCUUCUUUGAAGUCUAUCCAAAGUCAGCACCCUCCCCCACGUCGCCUCCCAUGCAAAAAAACAAACUUUAGUUGGCACCCUUGUCACCCAAAUGCUUCUUGAAGGAAAGCCUAUAUCAUCAGAUCUCACCAGCAAGUUAUACGCUUCCUUUACCCUGAAUUGCCCCCUUCUUCCUUUUUUCCAGAGGAUUGAGUCUUCUUCUCCAGAGGGUUUGUGACUCCUCAAAAUCUGAAGAAAAUCCCCAACCAACCCCAAUUCCCAAUCAUUGAAAUCCCUCAAAAAAUUUAGAUUCCAAUUUCCGUGACCCGAAUUUUGAUCCCACAUUUCCUCAACCAUUCAGUUCCUUUGAACCGCCAUAGCAAAGAGAUGAGGAAAACAAUGUGACAACGCUGUCUCUGAACACCACACAUCUGUCCAAAAUCUGAUUGUGUUUCCCUUCCCUACUUUGAAAAUCAUGUUAUUCCAGCACCAUUUUGAUUCUUUCCAAAUCUCCUUCCAAACCCCUACUCCCACCGCCCCCAUAGCCUUCUUUGGCCUCCACCCAAAAUCCUCCUGCCCAUACUUCACCUUGAUCACUUGUUUCCAAAUAUUAUCUUUGUCACAAGCAUACCUCCAUAUCCAUUUGUCAAGUAAUGCUUUGUUCAACAAGGUUAGCUUUCUAAUGCCUAGCCCACCUUUAGCCUUAUCUGUACAUACCACCUCCCAAUUAACCAAGUGAGUUUUCCCCUCCAUAUUUCCUCCUCCCCACAAAAAGUCCCUUUGCACUUUCUCAAGUCUUCUAGCCACCAUCUUGGGCAUCCUGAAGAUAGACAUUUGGUAGAUUGGCAUGCUAGCCAAAGUGCUUUUUAUUAAAGUGACUCUUCCCCCUUUAGAUAUAUAUUGCCUUUUCCAAAGAGCUAGUCUCCUCCUGACUCUCUCUUCCACCCCAUCCCACAUAUAAGGCGCUCUAUUGAGAACCCCUAAGGGUAGACCCAAGUACUGAGAAGGUAAAGACCCCACCCUGCACCCUAGCUCAACAGCCAACUCCUCCAUCCCCACCACCUCUCCCACUGGAAUGAUUUCACUCUUUGCUAGGUUAAUCUUUAACCCUAAUGCCGCUUCAAACCAAAAUAAAAUCCAACUUAAAUGAGUUAAAUGGUCCUUUCUGGCCUCACAGAAUAUGAUGGUAUCGUCAGCAAAGAACAAAUGAGAGAUAUGCAAUGGAGGUUCACUACCGCCCCUUAUGUUGCACCCUGAUAAGAAGCCCCCCUCCACAGCUCUCCUAAUAAGAACAUCCAACACUUCCAUUCCCAUAACAAAGAGAUAAAGAGACAAGGGAUCUCCUUGUCUAAGACCUUUGGGGCUAGGAAAGAAACCUGCAGGCACUCCAUUAACCAUCACUGAGAAUUUAGCUGAAGAUAGGCAACUCCGCAUCCACCCCACCCACUUAGACCCAAAGCCCAUUUUCUGCAACACCUUCAAUAGAAACUUCCAAUUGAUGUUGUCAUAAGCUUUUUCUAUAUCCAGUUUGCAUAUAAGACCCUUUUCUUUUCGUUUUUGCCAUGAGUCUAUCACUUCAUUUGCAAUUAGAGAAGCGUCAAGAAUUUGUCUUCCCCUCACAAAGGCAUUCUGAGAAUUAGAGACCACCUUACCAACCACUCUCUUCAAUCUGUUAGCCAGCACUUUAGCCAAUAACUUGUAAAGACCCCCUAAGAGACUAAUAGGUCUAAAGUCUCCAAGGUCCUCAGCACCACAUUUCUUGGGGAUCAAAACCAAAAAAGUAUUGUUAAGGCUUUUGAGGAAAGAGCUAUGAUCAUAGAAUUCCUUGAACAUUUCUAUAAUCUUCUCUUUAAUAAACUCCCAACAGCUUUGCCAAAAAGCCAGAGUAAAACCAUCCGGACCAGGGGCUUUAUCCCCAUUCAUCUCCAUCAGAGCCCCAUGAAUUUCCUCCUCUGUAAAGGGCCUCUCCAAUAUCUCAGCCUCUUCUUGACUGAUCUGAUCUAGCCGAAGACUCCCAAUAUCCGCCUUCCACCCCGUAUCUUCUGAAAGUAGCUCUUUAAACGCAUUAGCAAUUCCUUCUCUAAUUUCCUGCUCCUCUAGGAACCACUCUCCAUUAAUCUUAAUUCUCUCCAUACAAUUAUUUCUACGAUGAGCACUUGCCAUACGAUGAAAGAAACCCGUGUUUCUAUCCCCCUCUUUCAACCAUAUCUCCCUAGAAAGUUGUCUCCAGUGAGUUUCCUCCGUAAUCACCCAUUUUUUGUAAUUUUCUUUUGCCUCUUUCUUAAGUUCUGAUUCCUCCAUAGUCAGAAUUCUUUCAUUUUCCUCCCUAUCCCAGAAUUCCACUUGUUGCAAAGCUGCGGAUUUGUUGCUCUCCAGCUUACCAAAUACUUCUCUAUUCCACACUUUCAGCUUCUGUUUGAUUUCCUUCAUCUUAGUAGCCAACUUGUAGCUAGCACUACCCCUAACAUCAAUUCCUUGCCACCAAUUGCGUACAAGCUCUUUAAAGCCCUCAGCCUUAAGCCACAUAUUUUCAAAUCUGAAUGGGGUCGGGCCUCGUCUUAUCCCACCCCCCACUAGCAUAAUUGGGAAAUGAUCGGACACCGGACGGGGCAGCCUACACUGGUUAAUCCCACUGAACUGAUCUCUCCAACUAGGAGACACAAGAAACCUGUCCAAACGAGCCCAAGUCUGAUUAUUUAGACCCCCAUUCCAAGUAAAAUCUCCCCCCUGAAGAGGAAGAUCCACCAGCCCAAGAUCAUCCACAAUUUCAGCAAAAUUUCUCAUUGCUGAGCUAAUCCUCCUCUGCCCACUCCUUUCCCUUGAGAACAAAGUAAUGUUAAAAUCCCCCCCUAUGCACCAAGGAUCCUCCCACAGCCCUCUAAUCGCCCCAAACUCUUCCCAUAAAGCAUCCAUCUCUACCUUAGAAAAAGGGUCAUACACUCCCGUAAAAACCCAUACAUUCCCAUCUUCUACAUUGCGAAAUCUGCAGGACAAGGUAAACGCCCCUCCUCCCAAUCUAGCAUGUCCAGAGUCCUUCUAUCCCAGCAUAUAAAAAUACCUCCCGAAGCUCCCUCCGCAUUCAUUGCUUUCCAGCCUAGGAAUCUCCCGGAGCCCAUACUUCUCGCAAUGCUAUCCGUCAUACACUGCACUUUUGUCUCCUGAAUGCACAUUAAGUCCACCCUCUGAUUUCUUAUAAACGUCUUAAUUAUUUUUCUUUUGGAGCUAUCAUUUGCUCCCCUCACAUUCCAGCUCAGAAUUUUCACCUUCAUUGGACAAUUACAAUUUGGCGCCCUUUGCCCUGUACCAAGCCUUUCUGUUUCAACCCUCCCUCAUAGUUUAUGGAACAUUCUAAACGUUUUAACUCCCUUUCAAACUUAGACUUUUCCAGUAACUCUUUGCUAUGUAUUUUCUCCCUUCUUUUCCUGAUCUUCGUCAAAAAAUUUAGGAUUUCCUUCUCUAAUCCCUCCGUAGGGAAGCCCAGAAACUUGCUGAAUCUUGCCAAACCACUCUCUUCCCAGUUACCCUCCAGCUCACUUCUCACAACUUGAGCAUCAUCUAUAUCGCCUACCCCUUCCAUCUCCCUACCUUUGUCACUAUUGCAGUGGAUGUCUCCCAGUUCCUUACAUUCCUUAAUCCUUUCAUUGCAAGCCUUAUACACUGUUAACCACAUUGAAUUAUCGGCCCGACCCUCCUCAUCCAAAUCCCCAGAAUGAUCGAAAAACUCCCCCCCCCCCCCCGAGGUCCGAAAAAAAAAAAAAAAAUUGGAAAAAAGGUUCCCCUUUUCCCUUUUCCCCCGGGAACNNNNNNNNNNNNNNNNNNNNNNNNNNNNNNNNNNNNNNNNNNNNNNNNNNNNNNNNNNNNNNNNNNNNNNNNNNNNNNNNNNNNNNNNNNNNNNNNNNNNCCCCCCCCCCCCCCCCCAGAGUUCAAUCAAAAAGAAAAGAAUUAAGAUGAGAGUUCCCCAUUUCCCUUUUCCCCCAGGAACCAACCCCCUUUCCAUACCUCAUUGAUUCCUCUUCAAGCGCCCUAUCCGUCUCUGUCAACCUCACCCCUCCUUGUAGCUUCCUUGUAUCCUCAUUCUCCCUCGCAACAAAGAGCUCUGCUUCUGGAGGAUGGCUGGGCGCAGAACCCUUCAAAAUAAGGCCCAUCACCUCUUGGCCUGCUAAUAAAUUAGGGCCCUCCCUUAUUGUCCACCUUGACCGAGCUGCUGGGUGCAGGCCUUUGAACAAAACCGGCCUUUAUUUGUCAACUGGGCUAGAGACGAAGCUGGACCUUUAGAAUAGCAGCCCACAACUUCCGAUGGGCCUGCGUCUGGGCCAACAUCGCUUACAGCCACCCCUUUAUUCUUCAAGUCCAUGGGCCCAAACAUUAGGCUAAGCCCGCCCUCCCUCCUUGUUUCCUUUAGGCCCGCGAUUGGGCUUAAAGACUUCAUUUCACCAGAUGAGACCCAAUUACGGGUUGUCGGGCUUAAAUCUGGACUGGUCUCGACCCGACCCGACCCGCCCCCCUGCAGCACCGUCCCAUCGUCUGACGGGUGCAGCAUCUCGAACCUCUCGCUCCCCCAACCCUUCAUCACUCGCUGCCCCGCGUGUGAAUCCUCCUCACCCCUAACCUCCCUGCUAUGACGAUCAACUUUGUCCCUACACUUCCUCCUCAACACCGGCCAACAUUCCCACCAAAGGGACACAACAUAGCUUUCUUCCUCCCCUUCGAUUUCCAAUACGUUCGGUCUAGCUUCCCCUCCCCAUUUCACUAGGAUUCUGGCCCAUUGGAGAUCUCUUAUCGAUCUCGUAUUUUCAUCGGCGGUGAUAAAACCACCGCAUGCAUCCCCCACUCUCCUCAAAAUUUCUGGGCUCCAUAACGAAAUUGGGAGCCCAACAAUCCUUACCCAGACGUCCCUUCUCUCUUCCCCCUCUGCCCAACAUCCGCUCCUAGGGCUCCAAUGUUCCAACCUUACCUGGGUUCCUUCCCACGCGCAGCUCCCAGAGGAAACGACUCGUCUGGCCUCUUCCAAAUCCUCAAAUUCCAACAGCGCUUUCCUCUUGUUCAACUUAGCCAGCCCUAGGUUACCUUUGAGGUCCCAAGACUUUGCCCAGAAUUUCCCCCACUUCUCAAUAUCAUCUUCCCCCCCCUGGUCCAUCUCUCCAGCUCGCCACAACACAAUGUUUCAAUUUCUUUUUUAAAGGUUCUGACUCCUCUUUUUUCACCUUUACUGCAACAGCAUUUAAAUUACCCGUCGGCGACUUUCUCACCAUUGUUGCAUACGAUCGUCCCAUAGCAACUUUCUCCACAACCUUUCCCUUGUAUUUUUCAGGAUUUUUACCAAAAAACCCUAACACCUGUUUGAGCUUCUCCUCCAUGAUCGUCCACCCCCUCUUAUCCCUACGGCCUCUUGGGACGAAGAUGUAGAACCUCUUCCCCUCUACAUCAGAGACCCCUAACCGUAUAAACCCCCCCGCUCUGUUUGUCCCUCGAAUCAUGGAGUACACUCGCCCCUGCUCCUUUCAUUCCCUUCCCCAUCUGGUUUCUUUCUCACCCUUGAUACAGAGAUUCAACCCUUCCAAGAAGAACGUUAAACUCUCCGCUCCCAGUCGGACCCAUGACGAGGCCCCUCCCUUCUUCUCCACAAUGCAUCCUUGGAUCUUUCCUCUUCUAUCUUCCACUGCAAUCUCAAACUCCUUGGACUCCACUGUAAACCUACUCUCCUUCCUUCUGAUUUGCGACGCCGAUCUUAGUUAGAGUUAAUGAAAAUAAAUAUAUCAAUUUGAUAAUUUUGAAUAAAUUUUAAGUUAAUUUUACCAACAAAAAAAUAAAACUUUAAUAGUUAAAGUAAAAAAUAAAUAAUAAAUUUUAAGUCAACAAUUUAAGAAUAAUUUAACUUAAAGUUAACUUAAAUCAUUAAUUAAUAAGUAGAAAGUUUUACGAAACACCCAUUUAAUUUGUGUAUUGAGGUUUAACGAUAUUAUCAAACGAAGUUUACAGCAUAUAAUAAAUUUAAAAUUUAAAAUUUAAAUUUAAUAUGCAACAAGAAACUAAAAGCAACUUUAAAAUUUAAAUUUUUAAAAUUAGAAUAACUUUCAAGCACUUCAAAUGUGCAAGAUAAUAAAUUUUGUAAGGAAUAAUAAUAAAACAUAACAAGUGAAAAUGUAAAUUGCAUAUAAACUAGACAUGUACAUUCAGAGAAUGAAAUGACUUUGCCAUAUAGAAAUGAGAAGAAAGAGAGAGGUGACUCACCAAUAAGCUGACAUAAGCCACUCUUGGAGUUUAAGCAUUCUUGGAUGAGUUUAAGCAUGGGAUCCUUCCUCACAGUUCUCUCCUCCUCUUGGCCUCUUAGGUUGUGAUUCCUCAAGACAGUUAUAACGACUUCCAUCACUGCUUCUCUUGGCACUAGUAUACCUUGUUUGAUGGUUCACUUUCUUAUCUCGAGCGUAUAUAAGAUGGAUUCCACAGUUUUUCACCACAUGGGAUGCCCCAGAGAGACUAAAAUAAGCUGUAAUCUUCCUGGAUUUAUUGGGGCUACUGGACUUGGGUAUCAUAAGUUUAGCACCAGGUUGAUACACCAGCCAUAUGUGAUCGAUCAGUCUCAACCACUCUGUCUCCGCUGUGCGUCCAAGAGAUGGAACUAGUCAAAUAAGGCCCCUCUCUAAAUUCAAAAUUACAACAAAUCAGACCAGGGCCUUGAAUUAUUUCAUCCUCCUCAAGUGAGAACACAGAGCAUAGAGCAAAACCCAAGAAGUCCUUGUUAUGCCAAUUUGGAGGCAGCUCUAUUGUUACCGAGGAUCCGAUACUUGGAUGCUGGAACCACUCUGGAAUUGUACUUCCAGGAAGAACAAUACUGUAUUCAAUUUCUGGAAGAAAGUUCUGCAUCAAAAGAUAAAUAGAUAAAUAAAUAAUUAUAAUGUUUUAAGAUAUAAGACCAAAUUCAAACAUGAGAGAGUUAAACCUGAUGAAGUUUCUCCAGUAUAGUUGCCACAUUAUCCUGAGCUAGUGCGAAGCAAUUCGGCAGUUUGAAAGUUACAAGACGAAGGCAAGAGGAAGACGAUAGGAACUGUGGCGACUGUGGAGAUAGAACUGAUAAAGACUCAAGGGAUAUGCAAUCCCCAGCAUCUAAUAAUUUUAUACUUGGUGGGAGCUUGGAAAUUUCUUGAAGGCUUUUGCACUGAUUCACAGAAAUGACCCUUAGAUGAGAAAGUCUAUUCACCUCCUCAGGUACGGUAACCAAAUUGUUUCUGCUAAGGUUUAAUUCUUCCAAGAAGCGUAAGUGGCCAAGAUUGUCAUUGAUCGAUCUAUCGGUUAGAUUGCAGCCACUAAGAUCUAAAUAUUUUAAGGAGUAUAAACCUGACAAAUAAGGCAACUGCAAACCAGUCCCAUCUGAAUUUUCUCUAUGUAGUAACCUGAAUAGAAGGGAUGAAAUCCAGGAGUUAGAUGUUGAUCCUUUACAUCGCCUAAAGGAUAACUCUUUAAGGUUUCUCAAAUGAAAAAGUGAGAGAGGUGGUUGAGUUAUAGCAGUUCCAUCAGCUUGAAGUUUCAUCAAGAAUUGCAACCUCCCCAGGUCCUCUGGCAAUUUGCUGAGUUUUGAACAGCCAGAGACAAUGAGGGUUUCAAGGGAUCUCAAACUGCAAAUGCUAUUUGGAAGACUCCUGAGGUUUUUGCAUUUUCUCAUAUUUAAUAACUGAAGGCCUUUUAGAUGAACAAUUGAGGGGGACAGCUCUUUUAUAGAUGUUCCAUCUAAAAGAAGCUCUUGUAAACAUUCCAUAUCCUCCAUGAUUUCCGGAAAAAUCUCUAGACCUGAACAGCCAGAGAGCACCAGAGUUCCCAGGGAUUUCAAAGAAUAAAUGUUGCUUGGAAGAAUCAUAAGGUUUUUGCAGUUUUUCAUAUCCAAUAAAACAAGUCUUGGGAGAAACACCACUGAAGGGGGAAGUUCUACAAUAGCAGUCCCUUCCAAAUUAAGCUCCAACAAAUUUUCCAUACACCCUUGGAUCUCUGGAAACUUGUCAAUUUUAGAGCAGCCGGAGAGGUUAAGAACUUCAAGUGAUUCCAAUCCAGUGAUGCUUGGAAAAUAGUGAAGCAUCUUGCAGUUUUUCACAUUCAAGAUCGUAAGUCUCUUCAGCUUUGUAACUGAUGGGUGCACCUCAGGCAAACUCGUACAACCGUCAAGAAUUAGCCGCUCCACACGUGGUGCAAAAGACAAGUUUGGACAUUCCAGAAGGUGUUGAGAGUUACCGAGAUCGAUGACUACUAACUUUGGAAGACGCUGAAACAUAAAGUAAAUCAAAAUUAAAAUUCCCACUCAUUUGCUUCGAUGAACUUUAAACUUCGUUGAUAAAGAAGCAGCAAUCAUACCUUACGCCUUUUCCAGAGGUAUUUUAAGCUGCUAUGCCUCAAACUGAGUUCACCCAAUUUCUCACCAUCAAAAUUUGAUGGCAAUGACUCCAAAGUCCAUCCAUCCCAAUGGAGAUAUCUCAACUCAUGAGAAGGAAAUUUAAAAUCUCGAGGAAGAUGGACGGUGUUAGAAACUAUAGAAUUAUUUUCUGCAUUUUGAUAGACUCGGAGCAAUCUAAGUCUUGUCAUUUUUUUGAAAGCAUCAGAGGUAAGAUGCAUUUCAUUUGAUAGAGACAUGUUUAGGAAUAUGCCUUCAAUUCUCUCUGUCCCCUAAAAACCAUGAAGAAGGGAUUAGUAAAGAACAAAACCCAUAAAAUCUAACUAAAAACAUAUAGGUAAACAACUUUUUAACUGAAAAUCAAUGCCUUAAAAUCUAAAUAAGGUCAGGUACUUAAGCUCUUACCGUAUUUUUUGUCAAUACAUGAUGAACAUCUUCAGGAUCCCACAAUCUGCUCCAUUUUCCAGGUUCAUUAUGAUCUUGCUGCCGAACAAUUUCCCAACAAGCUUUUUGCAUCAAAUCAUGCAUCAAUAACUUCUUGUCAAAAAUACUAAUGAGAGAUCUGUCAUUAAGCACUCGCGUUCCGAGGCGACCAUACUCAAGUAUUCGUUCAACAAAAUCCAAGUCCUCUCCUUUGAAGAAGCAUGCAACAUCGAGGAAUACAUCUUUCAUAGAAUCAUCCAGUGUUUGAAAACAUCUCAUAAGCACAUUUUGGAUUUGCAUGUUAGGUCGUUUCUCCAGCCUUUGUAGUACACUUUUCCAUUCAAAUUUUUUCUUACCAAACAAGAGAGAACCUAGAACUUCAAGAGCUAUUGGAAGUCCCUUACAAUAAUCUACUAUGCAUCUCGAUAGGCCUAUAAAACCUUUUUGAGGACUGUUCAUGUGAAACGCAUGCAAAGAAAAGAGUUGUGUAGCUUCCUUACAAUUUAAUUCCUUAGCCUCAUAGAAUGCAUCCCCUCCCAACCCAGCAAGCAAAUUUUUGUUUCCAGAUGUUACAAUAAUUCUACUACCUGGACCAAAUGUACUGCGAUUUUGAAUUAAGGAUUCCAAUUGAAAAUAAGUAUUAACAUCAUCAAAAACAACAAGAACCUUUUUAGACAUAAACAUACGCCUUAUUUCAUAACUCCCUUCAGAAUUGUCGCUUAUGGUCGGAAUAUCUUCCCCUAGAAUAUCUCUAAGAAGUUGCUUUUGUAACUGAAGCAAACUCAAUUGUUGACUACUAAUAUUCAAAAGAAAGCUAGCACCAUCGAAUUGAUGAACAAUUGUGUUAUACACAACUUUGGCUAGAGUUGUCUUGCCUAUUCCAUCAAUUCCACUUAUCCCAAUCAUGCGGACAUCAUUUGAGUCAAUAUGUAUUAGCGAGGCCAUUUCCUUCAAACGACGUUCCAUUCCAAUCAGCUUAUCACCAACAUGUAAGAGUUUAAGAUUCCUACUUAAAAUGUCUUGAACAAUUCUCUGAAUAGCCUGUGAUUCAUACCUGCCAAUCAUAAACCAAUAUAACAACCUAUAAUGAGUUAGAAACUGUAAUAAACAAAGCAUGGAACUGAUGAUGAUGUUUAGUUUUCUUCACAACCGAACUAUAGCAAGCAUAAAUAUAUAUAGGAUUCCUUGAAGUGCAUGACAAAUCUAAAUUAAUUAACUUAUACCUUCACAUAUAUUUUCAUUAUGUUGUGCACCCAUUAUUAAAUGUAAAAGACCGGAUGAGUUUGUCUGUGCUCCUGUUUAGUGACUCCAAAUCAUUGAAGUUGAUUACUAGUAGCAAAUAUCAGUUUUGUUUCAACACACACAUGUAUCCAUGCGCCAAAUCCCAAUGACUAUUACUAUCAUGGAAAAAACUCAUGAAUAACUAGAAUGCUUAGAAAAAAUUUAUAUCCAACAAAAUUUCCUUGAUCAUAUGUUUGAUUUUGCCAACUUUUUUUCGAUCAAUGAUGAGGAGCUUGAAAGUAGUUAAAUUUUAAAAAUUAAUAAUUUCUACUAUAUUAAUUAUUUUCCAUUUUAGGUGUUCAUUUUUCUUGAAAGUUUCCAUUUGAAUAUCGCAUUGUUUCCUUGAAGAAAGGAUUAUUCCAGUGCAUGAAUACUAAAUGAAAUUCUAAUAUAUAGACGAGCAUGGAGAAUUCAAUUCAUAUAGUUGUAAAUGAAUGAAAGCAGCUGAAAGCAAAGAUUCAUACAUACCCAUCCUGCACAUGGUAUCCAGACAAAUUGGCUGCUUCCGUUAACGCCGCCUUCCAUCUCAUCACCUUAUCUUCCGGGACCUUCUGGUAUUUAUCAAAUGCUUCUCCAAAACUCCGCGUCUGAUUUCGCACAUCACAUGGAUCCACAUGGUAGAAAACUGGCACAACUAUCUGUCCCUUUUGUGUCUUGCACUCCAUGAUCUUGGCCAGCUCAUCCAAGCACCAUUUUGAGUGAGCAUAGGUUUUCGAAAAAACCACAAUACACAUCCUCGAUUCUUCAAUAGCCUUCAAGAGUGAUGACCCGAUCUCUUCUCCUCUAUGAAGUCCUUCAUUGUCUCUGAAGGUGCGGAUGCCCUUCUGUUGACACAAAGCGGAAUAAAGAUGAUCAGUAAAAGUGAAGCGAGUGUCUUCACCUCUAAAGCUCAAAAAGACGUCCCAACUCCAUCCAAGAGAAAAGUCACUUGAUCUUGUCGUUGGAGCCAUAGUCGGGGACGUUGUUCGUCCAAAAUUGCAAGACACUAAGAAAUUUUUGGGUUGUUAGUGUCAAAAUUACAAGAGAGUCUGAAGAUUUAUUUCUCUCUACCUUUUAACAUUGGAGAUUCCUCUAAUCUUCUUCUUUCUUUCUUUUUUCUUUUUUUUAUUUUAUUUUAUUUUUAUUCAAUGCACAGUAUUAGAAACAGAGGGCGAGACUUCCUGGAAUUGCUACUUCGGUUUCCUCACCUCUUUUUCCUCUUGGACAGUCAACUUUGGGCUGCUGCUUUUCCUUUUCUCACCUUUUUUGGCCCUUUUCUUUCCUGACUCUGGUACGUUUUUUCAUUUGGCACGAUGACGUCGGAGCUUUCAUCCCACGCUUUCUAAUUUUUUAUUUUUUUAAAAAUUCUAAAAACAGUUUUUAAUUUUGAAAAUAAAAACCCAGUUUUAAAAUUUUAGGGCACCAUUUAGUUAUUGUUUUCUGAAAAUAAUUUUUAAAAACAAAAUAAAAUUGAGAUGAAUGCCUUCUUUACAACUCUAUAUUGAAAAUUUUCAAAAAUAUGAUAUUUUCUAUCAAUUACAAGUGCUGUUCUAAAUUUCCUUUUAAUUUUUCUAAAUUUUUUCAUUAGCCAAAUAGGUUUAAAUCAAACCACACCUAAUACAUAAAAAUUAACAUUACAAAAUCAAAAAGGUCCAAAUUGAUCCGAUUAACAUUAUAAAGUUAUAAACUAAAAUACAUUUUAAAUGAAUUUACUGUUUGUCUCUUCAUAUAUAAUCAUAUUUUUUCAGAUUUUUUUAUUGUAAAUAGUGAACGAAACUGAUUACAACUAGAAACUCAUGGAUUUAAAUAGGUAUAAAAUGAUUUUAUUAUAUCUUUUUUACAUAUAAUUAUAUUUUUAUAAAUUUUCUCAUUAAAUAAACUUCAAAUCAAGAGAGGUUUUAUGUGUUAUAUUCAUUAAUAAGUCUAAUAAUUUUUAAAAAUAAAUCUAAUUAUCAAUAAAAAUAAUAGACCAAAAGUGGUAUAAUAUCAUGAAUUUAUUGUUUUUUUUAUACAUACAAUUGUAUUUUCUAAAUUUUUUAGUUAAAUAAAUAAAUUAUAAAUUAAGUAAGAUAUAAUUAAUAUUUAAAUUCUUUAAUCUUUAAAUUUUUAAGAAUAAAUUGGAAUUCAAAAAACUAACCUAAUUUAUUGUAAACCAAAUCAAAACCAAUGCAAAAUAAAUAAGAAUUAAAUAUAUAAGUGUAAUGACAAACUUGACACAUAUACAUUUUAGAAAAUAAAUUCAUUUUAAAUAAAAUAUUAUUUUAUAUUUUUAAGAAAAAAAAUUAAUUAUAUUUUAUGAAGGAAAAACUAUUUAUUUGUAAUUAUAAAAUUAUUUUUAUUUUUAAUAGGACCAAUUUAAUAGAUAUUAUAUAAUUAAAUUUAAGCAGGUACCUGGAUGCCACGCUGCUUAAAAGUAUACCAGUAAGUUGAAAAACAAAGUCUUGGUCAAAAAGAAAAAGCUUGUAGGGACGUUGAACGGGGAAAAUUCCUCUCCCAUUAGACAACUUAUUAUUCUUUCCCUUCCACCUAUAACUAUAUUUUGUAAACUAAAUAAAAAAUAAUCAAGAAUACUUUGUCCAUAACUUAAUACUAAAUAUGUGUAUGUAAUGAAAAAUAUAGUUGAUUUACAUGUUGAUAAAUACAAUUAUUAUUAUUUAUUUUUAACCAAAAAAAAAAUCAAUUGUGCUUUUAUGAAAAUAUUAAUAAUCAUAGUUUAUGGAACAAAUUAAAAUAGUAUUUUUUUUAUAAAAAAAAUAUAAUUUAUGAUUUUAUUAUAAUAUUACUAUUCAUAUUUUUUAAUUUAUUUAUAAUUAUAAAAGUAUUUUUAUUUUUUAUAAGAUUUGAAUUAAAUUUAAUUAAUAUAAAUAUAACUUGAAUUUAUAAUUUUUUUUUUGCAAAAUCAAAAUAGAAACAUUAUCUUUUAAAACAACUCACCCAAACAAAUUUUUUGCAUUUUAUUUUUUAAUAUUAUUUUUAAAAACAACUUCCAAACACUCUUCUUUUUAUAAAAUGAGUUUAUUAUUUCUCCUUUACACAUAAUUAUAUUUUUAUGAAUUUUCCCACUAAAAUAAACUUCAAAUCAAGAGAGGCCUUAUGUGUUAUAUUUAUCAAUAAAUCUAAUAAUUUUUUAAAAAUAAUUUAAAACUUAAAAAUAAAUCGAAUUACUCGUAGUAAUAAUCGACCAAAAGUGGUAUAAUAUCGUGAAAAUUAUUUUUGAAAAUUCAUAACGAAAUUUGACCAAUGUUUUUUUAUUUUUUAAACAAACUAAAAUCAAAAACAGUUUUUAGAUGAUUAGUACAAAUUGUUUUCAUAAAUUUUAAAAACAAAAGGAAAAUAUCAAGAAAUAAAAAAAAAUAGAAAGUAAAUAAAAAAGAACAACCCAGUAUAAUAUUAGUUUAUAACAUCUUCAAAUACAUGUUUUUUCUGAUUUUUCUUAAUUUCUCUAAAAAAAAUUUAUUAGGCAAAUAGAUUUGACAUCAAACCACGCCCAAUAUCUAAAUGUUAUUAAACUUAAAAAUAAAUUAAAACUCAAAAACAAAUUCAAUUAGUGCUAGAAAGUCAUCCUUUCCCCCUUUUUUUUUUUUUGAUAAAUUUUUAACUAACUCAAAUCAUUAAAAAAAGAAAUCCUUAGUAGAUAAAUUUACAACAUUUCAUAUAGUUUAUUACAAAAAAUUAUGUUCAAAACCUUAUUUAAAGAAAGAAAAAAGAAUAUUAAAAGAAAAUUUAAACUUUUUAUAUUAGAAUAAUAAAAAAAAAUUAAGCUUUAAAAUGCUUUUUUUAGUAUAAAAGAAAAAAAAUAGUGAAUAUAUUUAUUUUAAAUAGUAUUUUAAUUAUUAAAUUAUUUAUUUUCAAAAUACAAAAUAUCGUUUUUAUUAAUUUAAAUUAAUAUAUUUUUUAAAAUAAGUUUUAAAUUAUUAAUGUAUUUUUUGUUUAUUUAUAAUUUAAAAAUAAAAAUUAAUAUUGAUUUUCAACCUUAAUCAAAUGAGUUGGCAUUUCAUAUCCUCACAAUCAAUAAUCGGUGAUAUUUCGUAUUUUACCAUCAAUAAUAGGUGAUAGGAGUACCGCGAGCCGUUCUGAGGCCCAAAUGCCCUGAAAGCACAUUUCCAGCUGGCCUGAAAGCACAGUUCAAGAGGUGUGGUUACUUUCUAUCUUUGUCUUUGACAUCGCAACGUCACUUCUCUGACACCAUUGGUAGAAGAGAUGGAAAGAGGCAAUACAAUUCUGUCUUUGUUGUAGCAUUCAUUGGAGGGAAUGAUGGGCAAGACAACCACAACCGAGAUUUUCAGAAAAGAUUAAAAAAGAAAUAUUAAAAGAUAAUGGGGAGAGAUGGCCUCAAAUUAAUAAAAUGUUCGUAUAACUCUUUAAAUUGAGUUAAAGGAUAUGAAAUAAUAACAGAUAAAUAUACCUUUUAGAACACAUAUAAAAUAUUUUAUAAAAUUAAGUUAAAUAAUUUUUUUUCAAUAAUUUUUUUUUCAAAAAUACUAAAUUAAAUAAAAGUAGCUUUCAAAAAUAUUAAAUUAAAUAAUUUUUUUUUCAAAAAUAUUAAAUUAAAUUAAAGUAUUUAAAAAAAUAUUAAAUUAAAUUUUUAAAAAAAAUAUUAAAUUAAAUAUUUUUUUAAAUAUUAAAUUAAAUAAAUUUAUUUUUUAAAAAUAUUAAAUUAAAUAAAAGUAUUUUAAAAAAUAUUAAAUUAUAUAAAAAAAAAUUUAAAAAAAUAUUAAAUUAAAUAAAAAAUAUUAAAUUAAAUAAAAGUAUUUUUCAAAAAUAUUAAUUUUUUUCUCAAAAUCAACAAAGGGCAUUUUUGGAAAUACUGAAGGAUGAUAUCCUUCAACUCAAUUUUCAUACUUUCAUUGGGUCUUGGACUCAAUUUGAAGAGUUACAUGGACCUUUUUGUUAAUUUGGAGGUCCAUCUACCCCCAAAACAUAAUUCUUCCAAGAUAAUAAGGGUUAUCAAAUUUAUAGUCAUCCCAUAAUUUUAAUUGUGUACUUUGAUUAUCUUUUUCUUUUAUCCUCAUUUAAUUUUAUUUUUCUUAAUUUUUUAUCUUUUAUAUACCAUAAAUUAAAACUAAUUAUAUUAUUAUUAUUAUUAUUAUUAUUAUUAUUAUUAUUAUCUAUCAUCAUAAAUAUUAUAUUGUAGACCUCUCUUUGGAUCGGGAGGAGCUGAGAUUUUUUCGACCUCCACAAGUGUUCAAAGCCGCAUGCAUGGGACGUGUGUCAAAGACAUGACCACCUUGCCAUGGUGGUGGUUAGGGAUGAAGACUUUUUUGCUAAACAGGGAGCAGUAGAGUAGCUUGGAGAGGGUAAAAACAGGAAGGAUUGCAGGUAAGGGAGGUCGAGUGGGGUUAGAGAAAAAGUAGGAGCUAGGGGUCACUCAAGAUUAUGGUAGAAGAUACUCAAGGGGCUGGAACUCAUGGAUGGAAGCGAGAUUUCAGAUGAGGAGUGAGCUGUUUGGGAGGGCAAGGAAGAGGAAAGUGAGGAGGAAAGUUUAUGUAAAAUAAAAGGAAAAGAAUAUUUUCCUUUUUAUUGAAUUAUACUAUUGAAUCAGGAGACGUAGCUUUAUACAAGAGAUUUCCUACAAUCAUGUUAAUCAUGCUAAUAUAUUCUUGGUAGUCUAAAUAUAAAAGGCAACUAAUACAAUAUGGUUGGAUAUUUUUGUCAAUGGAAAGCCAGAUGUCAUUGACCUUCUCAACACUCCCCUCAAGUUGGAAAGUGAAUGUCAAGAACUCCCAACUUGCGCAUCAUAGUUGAGAAAGCUUCCUUUCCCAAUGACUUGGUGAAUACAUCUGCAAGUUCAUUCUUUGAAGCAACAUGUUUGGUUACAAUUGAACCAUCUUGUAUUUUGUCAUGAAUAAAAUGGCAAUCCAUCUCUAUAUGUCUGGUUCUUUCAUGGAAAACAGGAUUGGUUGCUAUAUGGAAUGCGAUUGUGUUAUCACAAUACAACAAUGUUGGCUUCGGAUGCAAUAUUCUCAAAUCUGUCAAUAACGAGCACAACCAGGAUAAUUCACAACAUGCACCUAUCAUAGUUCUAUAUUCGGCUUAUACUGAGGAGAGAGAUACGUUUUUAUGUCUCUUUGUCGACCAAGAAAUAAGAGAAGAUCCUAGAAAAACAUAAUAACCUGGAGUGGAUCUAUGAGAUAUUGGACAACCAGCCCAAUCUGAAUCAGAAAAAGCUCGCAAAGAUAAAUCAUUAUGAGAAGGGAAAAAUAGACCUUGUCCUGGACUACUUUUCAAAUAACGCAACACACGUAAGGUAGCUUCCAUGUGUGGUUUGCGUGGUGCAUGCAUGAAUCUACUUAACAUAUGGACCGAAUAGGUGAUAUCUAGCCAGGUAAUAGUCAAAUAAAUUAUGCGUCCAACAAGUUGUUUAUACUAAGAUGGAUCUUUAAGCAAUUCACCUGAAUCUGAGAGCUUUAUGUUUUGUUCCAUGGGAAAGCUCACAGGUUUAGCACCCAAAAAACCACCAUCUUUUAAAAUUUCCAAAGCAUAUUUUCGUUGUGAGAUGGAAAUAUCUUUCUUUGAUCAAGAAACUUCGAUGCCCAAAAAAUACUUCAAAUCACCCAAAUCUUUAAUCUGAAAAUGACUAUAAAGAAAUUGCUUGAGUGCUAAUAUGUCUUUGACAUUAUUACCCGUAAUAAGAAUGUCAUCAACAUAUAUUAACAAAGUUGUAAAAGAUUUGCCUUUCUGACAUGUGAAUAACGAGUAAUCAACUUUGGAUUGAGUAAAUCUAGCAGCUUGGAUAACUGUAGAGAACUUGGAAAACAAUUGUCGUGAAGUCUGCUUUAAACCAUACAACGACUUGUGAAGGCGACACACUUGAUUCUCCCCCUAUCGUUGAAGACCAGGAAGUGAAGUCAUAUAAAUUUUUUCAUAGAGAUCACCAUGAAGAAAUGCAUUGUUGACAUCAAGUUGGUGAAGACACCAAUUUUGGGCAGCUGCUAAAGCUAAUAAACAACAGAUAGUAAUCAUUUUAGCAGUGGGAGAAAAAAUGUCAUGAUAAUCUAAACCUUCCAGUUGUGUGUAACCUCUCGCAACUAAAUGAGCUUUGAAAUGCUCAAUAGUGCCAUCUGAGUGCCGUUUGAUUUUAGAAACCCAACGACAACCAAUAGGCUUUUUACCAGGAGGAAGAGAAGUGAGGGACCAAGUGUGGUUGGCAUCUAAAGUGACCAAUUCAGAUUGCUUUACUUUUUUCCAAUGGGGAUGAAAGACCGCUUCUGUAGACUCAAUAUCUUGACAGACAGUAGCAAUAAAGGAGCGAUGUUGUGGUGAGUAAUGAUAAUAAGAGACAAAAUGGCAAAGGGAAUAUCGCGUACCUUUUUCUGGACUUGAUGACAAAGGCGAAAAAUGGUUGGGAGACCAUUUUCAUUUUAUUUUAUUUUUCUUAAUUUUUUAUCUUUUAUAUUUUAUAUACAAUACAUUAGCACUAAUUAUAUUAUUAUAAUUAAUAUAAAUAUAACUUGAAUUUAUAAUUUUUUUGCAAAAUCAAAAUAGAAAUAUUAAUUUUUAAAAACAACCCACCCAAACAGAUUUUUUGCUUUUUAUUUUUUAAUACUAUUUUUAAAAACAACUUUCAAACACUUUUCCUUUUAGAAAAUAUUAAAAAAUUGUUUUUUUUUCUCUUUAACUUAGAAAACGUUGUGAAACCACCUAAGUACUUAGGAAUUCUUGUCAAGUUAUUACUAUUUUUUUUUUCAAAAUUUAUUUUAGGUUUCUAAAAACUUUUUUCAAAAAUUUUAAAAUGAAAAUGUUUUACUUCCUUAAAUUUUAAAAAUUGUUUUUAAUUGCAGAAGGUAUAUAUAUAUAUAAAGAAUUUCUAUAUUUUAUCUACAACUUUCUAUUUUUAAAAUUAAAAAAUAGAAAAUAUAUCUUAACAUAACACAAGAUAUUAUUUUUGUUUAGAAUUUAUUAAUGCAGUUAAUCAAUAGAUUUGAGAUUGAAGUUAAUAAAAGGUGUUUUCAAUAACAUAAUAAUUAAUAAAAUGAGAAAGAAAUUUUUUUUAAGUCAUUAAGUACUAAACAAACUAAGGUUAUAUUGGUUAAUAUUAACGGAUUGUUUUUAGUUGAAUAGAAAAAAUCAGAAUAAGUAAAAUAUUUUAAUUUUUUAUAUUCAAUUAAAAAACAAAUAUUACUUAAGUGACUCUUAAAAAAGGUCAAGUGAACUAGAAUGAAUCAAAUGUUAGUCUACUCAAUUGGACGGUGUUAGGCACUUAAUUUUAUCUUAUUUCCAGCAAAAUAGCAUGCGAGUGUACCAUGGGAUAGGCCAUCUUUGCAAUUUCCUUUGUAUUUGCUUUUUCCCCUUUUCUUUUUUCUCUCAAAUUUCUAAAAUCCAAAUGAAGCAUAAAAUUACUAAAUAGGAUAAAGCUUAUCUUUUGGAUAUGAUUGCAUGGUGUUCUCACUGACUGCUCAUUCAAACCUCAAUCAUACAUACAUUUCAAAGCUGAAAACAUAAAUUCUAGUUUCUAGCAUUUGCAAGUCAUACUUUUUCAUCCACACAGAAUGAAUUAUUCCCAAAUUGUAGUGUGUUUUUGUCAAGGAUCGAGAUUAAUGCCUACCAGUCUGCAAUUAGAUGAUCAGUACAAGUAGACCAUCCCAUGUCUCUUUAGCAACUGUUUCUCUUUCAAGGACUCACAUUCAGACAUCAACUCAUCCCACUGCUUGUCUUUUGGAACCGCUUCCAACCAUUCAGCGCUACGCCAUAAGAUACAAGGUUUCAAUUCCAUGUCUAUAUAUAUUAUAUAGUCCAUAAUCACCUAUGAAGAAAUUAUUAUUCAUGUUUGUGAAACUUAAACUAACAUAUAAAGUUAAAAUGUAAGAUAAAUGAAGGAAUAUAAGAAAUAAAUCAUGAGGAUCAAGUACUCUGGAACAGAAAUGAAAUUCUACGUACCUGACAUGGGAAACCAACUUAAGCCUCAAUUGAUCAGUUGAGUGUUGUUCCAGCUUGGUUGAUCAAUUCCAAGACCCGCACGGUAGACAAUGUAAACUUGUUCAAAACAAGACUUCAAUGCCUCAAAAAUAAUAAUGGGCAAAUACUCUGGAACAAGUCCUAAAGUGGUUUACAAAUUAACAUAACUGGUCUGGAUCUUUUAGGCCAAUAUUUAUUUAUUUAUUCUUUUUGUUUUUGGGGUGGGCAUAUUUUUACAUCCUAGAAAUUUUAAACAGCAAAAAUAUAAUCAAGAAUUUAAGCUCCUUUAAUCUGUUUGCGGUGGAAACUUACACCAGAAAGGAAAAAUAACUUACCAAUAAUGUUGUCAUGGCUUGAAAGGUCCAAAACCAGAGACACAGAGAGAGACUAUCAAGGAGGAGGAGCUCUGGGGGUGCCAUUGUGAAUCCUACAAUUUUGGCCUUGGAUCUAUGCAUGGAACCGUCGGUGGAUCAUCUCAAACUUUUAGGGGCUUCUGAUCAUUACUAGAGCUUACCACUUCCAACUCCACUGGUGUUCUCAAGAUCAACAUGUACAAGACCAAUCCCACACUUUUCCACCUUCACUGGUUUACCAUUAACAUGGCCACGAAAUGAAGCCAUUAAAUGCCUUCGUUUAUCGGAGCGAUAUCUGUGCUUAAUAGCAACAUUAGAAUAAUACGUUACCCACACUGACUCUGAUACACCAUCAUUAUGGUCGCAUUGGCAGGAUGAUCCACAGGAGAGAUAAUCCAAAAACCCAAUUUCAUCAUCAAGGAAAGUCAAUUCACAUCCUAAAUGAUAAGGUUGCGUGAUAUUCACCGUGGCAUUCUCAGACGUACUACUCGCUGGUUCAUCCAUUGAUUUAUCCAGAGGUUCACCCUGUUGUGGAAUAUAAACACAGCAUAAAGCCAAUCCCAAGAAGUCCUUGUCGUACCAAUUAAGUGGUAGCCGUAUUGUUGCUUCACUGCUAAUACGCUGGAAUGAUAUCCACUCUGGAAGUUCUCCACUUCCAGGGAUAACAGUACUAAAUCCCUGGCUGACACCAUUUGCUGGAAGAGACAAAAGCCUUCUGUAUUUCAACUCCUGCACAGAAGGUACCAUGUUAAACAUUGAGCAUGACUGCGUAAAAUUUCAAGUUUUGGGCCCAAAUAGCCCAUUAUGGGAAAAUAAUUAAGUUUAACCACUUUGUCAAAUUUAUAUUCAAAGUAACCCAUUUAUUACACAUAGGAGCGAUAUCAUUAUAUUUUUUUUCUUAAAUUUAAGUUAAAACCUCAAUUAUCAACUAUGGAUUAAGCUAAAAAAUGACGCCUCGAUAUCACAAACAUGAUUUUUAAAAACUUUGUGAAACCACCUAAGUUCUUAGGAAUUCUUGUCGAGUUAUUACUAUUUUUUUUUUCAAAAUUUAUCUUAGGUUUCUAAAAACUUUUUUCAAAAAUUUUAAAAUGAAAAUGUUUUACUUCCUUAAAUUUUAAAAAUUUUAAAAGUUGUUUUUAAUUGCAAAAGGUAUAUAUAUAUAUAUAAAAGAAUUUUUAAAUUUUAUCUACAACUUUCUAUUUUUAAAAUUAAAAAAUAGAAAAUAUAUCUUAACAUAACACAAGAUUUGAUUUUUGUUUAGAAUUUAUUAAAGCAGUUAAUCAAUAGAUUUGAGAUUGAAGUUAAUAAAAGGUGUUUUCAAUAACAUAAUAAUUAAUAAAAUGAGAAAGAAAUUUUUUUUUAAGUCAUUAAGUACUAAACAAACUAAGGUUAUGUUGGUUAAUAUUAACGAAUUGUUUUUAGUUGAAUAGAAAAAAUCAGAAUAAGUAAAAUAUUUUAACUUUUUAUAUUCAAUUAAAAAACAAAUAUUACUUAAGUGACUCUUCAAAAAGGUCAAGUGAACUAGAAUGAAUCAAAUGUUAGUUUGCUCAAUUGUACGGUGUUAGGCACUCCAUCAAACAAAGAAAAAAUUCAUUGGUCUUUACUAGGUAAGUUGAAAUAAUUUUCACAUUUUAUUACUUAAUUGAUGAUUAUUAAUAUGAAAAAUAAAAUAACAUAAAAAUCAAUUUAUACAACAAAAUUAUAAUUUUCUUUCACAUCAAUUUCACUAAAAUUAAUUUAUGCAAUAAAAUCGAUAUAUAGAUAGAAUUCUAAUAUUUUUCAACAUCAAUUUCACUAAGAUUAAUUUAUGGAUUAAAAUCCUAUUUUCUUUAAUAUUGAAUUCAUUCUAAUUUCAUUAAUAUCAAUUUUAUGAGUUCAAAUUGUGUUUUGUUAAUACCAGGCUACCAGCUUUGUAAUAAUAAAACCAUCUAAUAGUCCAACACAUAUAGGCCCAUGGUUAGGCCCAAGCCUAUAAAUUACUCGCUGAUGAAUGCCAAGUUUAAGGGGGAUACUUUUGCUCCUCCAUUUCCGACAUGGAAUCAAGUGACUUCAUUUUAUCAUACAUACAUUUCAUAGCUGAAAACAUAAAUUCUAGUUUCUAGCAUUUGCAAGUCAUAGUGUUUUCGUCAAGGAUCAAGAUUAAUGCCUACCAGUCUGCAAUUAGAUGAUCAGUACAAGUAGACCAUCCCAUGUCUCUUUAGCAACUGUUUCUCUUUCAAGGACUCACAUUCAGACAUCAACUCAUCCCACUGCUUGUCUUUUGGAACCGCUUCCAACCAUUCAGCUACACCAUAAGAUACAAGGUUUCAAUUCCAUGUAUAUAUUAUAUAGUCCAUAAUCACCUAUGAAGAAAUUAUUAUUCAUGUUUGUGAAACUUAAAUUAACAUAUAAAGUUAAAAUGUAAGAUAAAUGAAGGAAUAUAAGAAAUAAAUCAUGAGGAUCAAGUACUCUGGAACAGAAAUGAAAUUCUACGUACCUGAUGACAUGGGAAACCAACUUAAGCCUCAAUUGAUCAGUUGAGUGUUGUGCCUGAAACGCGAGGGAUGUCCUAGCUUGGUUGAUCAAUUCCAAGACCCGCAUGCUAGACAAUGUAAACUUGUUCAAAACAAGACUUCAAUGCCUCAAAAAUAAUAAUGGGCAAAUACUCUGGAACAAGUCCUAAAGUGGUUUACAAAUUAACAUAACUGGUCUGGAUCUUUUAGGCCAAUAUUUAUUUAUUUAUUCUUUUUGUUUUUGGGGUGGGCAUAUUUUUACAUCCUAGAAAUUUUAAACAGCAAAAAUAUAAUCAAGAAUUUAAGCUCCUUUAAUCUGUUUGCAGUGGAAACUUACACCAGAAAGGAAAAAUAACUUACCGAUAAUGUUGUCAUGGCUUGAAAGGUCCAAAACCAGAGAGACAGAGAGAGACUAUCAAGGAGAAGGAGCUCUGGGUGUGCCAUUGUGAAUCCUACAAUUUUGGCCUUGGAUCUAUGCAUGGAAUCGUCGGUGGAUCAUCUCAAACUUUUAGGGGCUUCUGAUCAUUACUAGAGCUUACCACUUCCAACUCCACUGCUGUUCUCAAGAUCAACGUGUACAAGACCAAUCCCACACUGUUCCACCUUCACUGGUUUACCAUUAACAUGGCCACGAAAUGAAGCCUUUAAAAACCUUGGUUUAUCGGAGCGAUAUCUGUGCUUAAUAGCAACAUUAGAAUAAUACGUUACCCACACUGACUCUGAUACACCAUCAUUAUGGUCGCAUUGGCAGGAUGAUCCACAGGAGAGAUAAUCCAAAAACCCAAUUUCAUCAUCAAGGAAAGUCAAUUCACAUCCUAAAUGAUAAGGUUGCGUGAUAUUCACCGUGGCAUUCUCAGAUGUACUACUCUCUGGUUCAUCCAUUGGUUCAUCCAUUGAUUCAUUCUCAGACGUACUACUCUCUGGUUCACCCUGUUGUGGAAUAUAAACACAGCAUAAAGCCAAUCCCAAGAAGUCCUUGUCGUACCAAUUAGGAGGUAGCGGUACUAUUACUUCAUUGCCAACACCCUGGUGUUGUAUCCACUCUGGAAGUUCUCCACUUCCAGGGAUAACAGUACUAAAUCCCUGGCUGACACCAUUUGCUGGAAGAGACAAAAGCCUUCUGUAUUUCAUCUCCUGCACAGAAGGUACCAUGUUAAACAUUGAGCCUGACUACAUAAAAUUUCGAGUUUUGGGCCCAAAUAGCCCAUUAUGGGAAAAAAAAUUAAGUUUAACCGCUUUGUCAAAUUUAUGUUCAAAGUAACCCUUUUAUUACACAUAGGAGCGAUAUCAUUAUAUUUUUUUUUUCUUAAAUUUAAGUUAAAACCUUAAUUACCAACUAAGGCUUAAGUUAAAAAAUGAAGCCUCGAAGGAUGAUGUGACACUUACCUAGAAAGAGACCACAUUGAAUAUAAGUUUUAAAAAUGGCCUAAAAGUUAUAUUACAGGCUAUCUGGACCCAAAAUUCUAAAAAUUCUGUGCUACGAAAACUAUACCUGAAUUUCUUGUAAAAAAGCAGAUUUGAAGCAAUUUAACUGCCACUGCCAUUGCAACACUGAUGUACUUGAUAACGUUUUGAUGCCUGUGCAAUCAUGGGCAUCUAGGACUCUGAGACUUGAUGGAAGCUUUGGAAUUUCUAGAAGACUCUUGCAGUGCCUCAACCCAAGCUCUCUUAGCUCAGAAAGUUGACUUAUGGCAUCAGUUACUCCAAGAAAAAGGUUUCCACUUAGAUCUAAUACUCUCAAUGAGUAUAGGCAGCAAAUAUCAUCGGGAAUUUCUUUUUCUGUUAAAUUACAGUAACUUAGGUUUAAUUCUUCCAAUGAGUAUAAGCUGCCAAUGUCACCACUGAUUGCACGUUGCAUUAGGUUGGUGUCAUGCAUAUCCAAUACUUUUAAGGAGCACAAACCAGCCAAAGAGGAAUCCGAUUGAGGGCUAAUCAAUUCUGAACUUGAUGCAUAAAGCUUCUCUAGACAUUCCAGGCUUCCCAGGUUGUCGGGCAGUUUUGAACACCCGAUUACAUUGAGAGUCUUAAGACAUUUCAAGUUACAAAGGCUCUCUGGAAGGCUCUUAAGAUUUUUGCAGGAUGCCAAGUUCAAAUAUUCCAAUGAGUAUAGAUUCCACGGGAUCUCUGCAAGUUCCUGGAGUUUUGAACAGUGAGAGAGAUCAAGAUUUACAAGAGAAUCCAAGUGCCAAAUGCUGCUUGGAAUGUUCUCAAGGUUUGUGCACCCUAUAAAAUUUAAAAAAUAAAACAGCUAGUUAGGAACUGAAAUAAUUAUAAAUGGAUGAACCUUGAGCAAAUUGUACCACCUUUAAGAAUUAGACUCUCCAGAUUUGGUGUAUCGGAGAAGUCUGGGAUUUGAAUGAGCUGCUGAGAGUGACUGAGAUUGAUAACCUUUAACUUCUCAAGAGGCUUUAACUUCUCAGGAGGCUGGAACAAAGAACACUUGGUUUUGGUAAAUAGACUUCCUUGACCCUUAAAUUUAUAAAUCAAAGGAUAAAACCAAAUAAUAAUCAUACCUUAAGCCCUUGCCAAAGCACUCUUAGUUUACUAUACCGCAGAUUCAAUUCAACAAGGUUCUCUCCAUGAAAAUUUGAUGGCAAAUAUUCCAAAGGAUAUCCAUCCCAAUGAAGAUAUCUUAACUCAUAAGAUGGAAAUUCAAAGUUGGUAGAAACACGCACUUCAUAAUUUUUUACCAUGGAACCACAUUUAUGACCUCGACAAACUUUGAGUAAUCUAAGUUUGUUCAUCAUUUUAAAAGCUUCAGUGGUAAACUCUAUUGGUACUGCUGGAGAUGUAUCUAGAAUGGUAAACUCUAUUGGUUCUGCUGGAGAUGUAUCUAGAAAUAUCCCUUCAAUCGCAUCAGUCCCCUGAAAAUCAAGAUUCAUAAAUAAGUGAAAUUCAAAAAAUGUAAAACCAAAAUAAAACUGUAGGCAUUCAUAACUUCAAGCACUUGGAUCUUACUUCAUUUUUGAGCAAUAUGCGAUGGACAUCCUCUGAUCUCCACAAUCUGCUCUGUUUUCCUGGCUCUUGAGGACAUGCUUGAUGAACAACUCCUUGACCCAUUUGUUGCAAUAAAGGGUGCAUCAUUAUCUUAUUAUUUGAAAAAGUUAGGAGAGACUUAUUAGAGAGAUCUGUUAUUGCUUUCUCAGCCCCAUCUAAUAUUCUUGAAACAAAUUCUCUUUCUUCCCCUUUAAAAAAACAUGCAAUAUCAAGAAAUAUAUCUUUUGUUUUGUAAUCUAGUCUAUCAUAACUGAUUUGAAACACAUCUUGAAUUUCUUUCAUGGAUUGGUGUUUUAGUUUAUACAAUGCACUUUCCCAUUCAUCUAUUGACUUACGAAAAAGAAAAUCACCAAAAACUUUAAGAGCCAAUGGAAGGCCCUCACUAUAAUUUACUAUAUUUCGGGAAAAUCCUCUGUAUGCUGGUUUAGGAAAUCUUGCUUGGAAGGCAUAAAGAUUAAAGAGAUGUAUAGAUUCUGCAAAAUCUAAUCCUUGAACCUCAUAUAUAGCAUCCACUCCAUGCUCAAGUAGUAAAUGUUUAUCUCUAGUCGUUAUAAUAAUUCUACUUCCCCCACCAAGCCAAUCUCCAUUUGGAACUAAGUCCUUUAAUUGACUCAAACAAUCCACAUCAUCAACAACGAUAAGAAUUUUUUUUUUCUUUAUCUUAUUCUUAUUGAGCCCUUCAUCAACAUUCAGGCCUCCAUAGGACAAUCCAGUAAUGUCACAUAGAAGUUUUUUUUUUACAUUAGGCAUGGAUUGCUGGCAAACACUUGGAAGAAAGCUAGCACCAUCGAAUUGGUAUGAGAUUGAGUUAUAAAUAACUCGUGCAAUUGUGGUUUUGCCAAUUCCACCUAAUCCCCAUACUCCAAGCAUGCGAACAUCAUAAGAUCCAAUGCCUAUCAAUGACUUCAAUUCUUCCAAACGUCCAUCAAUUCCAAUUAAGUUAUGACCUGGAAGUUUCAAUUCGCCAUUGACGAAAUUAAUGAUUUUCUUAAUAAUAGUUGGCUCAUCCCUGUUAAUAAUAAAGUGAAGCAAUGUUAAUUAUAAAAUGUAGCAAAGAUAUAAUGGGGUAAAAUUAGUUACAAAAGAUUAUUAUUGUGAAGUUAAUAUGGUGAUGUCGUGCUGUGUCAAGGGCAAUGAACUCAAUAGAGAAAACUUGUCUACAAAAUGGCAAGUUACUUCCCAAAUGUAGUAUUCUUGUUAUCAGUAGGAGCAUUACUUCGAAUUGUCCUAUUUCUUUCACCAGUCAUUUCACUAGCAAGACUCCAAAUUUCUAUUGAUUUUGUAUAUCAUUCUGACUUCGUUUAAUUUUAAGAUUUGCAUGACAACUUUUGUAAUUUUAUCACCGUUUUGUACAUGUUCAGAAAAUCAAAUUUUAAAUGUAAAAUUUUUUUUAUAACAAAAAAUAGUAAAUAAAUAAAUCUUAAUUAAUAUACAUAAAUCUUCCUGUUAUAGUAGUGAAGUUCAAGGGAACUACAAAAUUAUGAAAACAAUUAUAAGUUAUGAAAAUGAACAAAAAAAAAAAGUGUUAAUAACAAAACCGUAUCAUCAAUUUUUAUUUUUUUUAAGUUUCCUAAAUUAGAUUCAGAAUGCAUAUAUUGCCAUUUUAGUAUUAAACAUAAUAUAAAGUGUUUUUAAGUAUCAAAAAUCAAUAAUCUCUAUAUUAAUAUUUAGAAUUCACUUUCAAAAUCAUGUUUGUUACUAGAGAUUUUUCUUUAUUAAUCAUAAUCACAAUCUUUUAAUCAAUUGUAGUUCUCUUUCUAUUUCAAUUUUAUUGAUUUAGGGCAAUUCAUUGUAAGAUGUCACUUGAAUAAAUUUCUAUUUUUAUUAUUUUUAAGAAUAGUAAAUAGAACAAAUUUUCAAUUACAUUUAUAAUUCAUGAAGAAAAAACCUUUCGUUUUAUGACAAUAUAUUAAAAUGUAUAUUAAUUAUUAAGUCAAAUUAUAUAUUAUUUUACAAUAAUAUUAAGAUAAUAGGUCUAAUUUUAAAAUAUAUUAAAUAUUAAAAUUAUGAUUUAUUUUAAUUUAAAUAUAUUCAAUGAUAUCAAAUUAAUAAUGAUAUAUGUAUAAUUAUUUUAAUAUUGAUAUUUUUUAUAUUUAAUAAAUAUAUAAAUUAUAUAAAAUAAGGACCUAUUAAAAAAAUUAUGUUUUAUAUUUUUAGUAAUAAAUUAAAUCAAAUUGUAAAAAUAAAAUAAUUAAAAUUAAUUUAUUUAAUAUUUAAAAAAUAAAAAAUAAAAAAUGGGUGAAAUAUUCAUAAAUAUCAAUGAAAUAUUGAAACAUGAAAAAAAAAAUUGAUGAAAUAUUAAAAAAAAUGUUUAAAAAUAUGGAUUCGUAUGAAAGUUAUACCUGCACAUCCAGAUAUUUUAAACAUCCACUAACGUACUUUUUAUUCCAUUGUUUAAUAUUUUCAUUUUUAUAUUGCACGCCCUGUCACCCUUCACCAUCAAUGUCAAUAUUUCUCAAUAUUUUAAUUUUUUAUUCUUUUAAUGUUCGUCAUUUUUACAAGUAAAAAGCUAUAUUAAGUAUCGAACACGGGAUCCCUGUGUCCUGGUGCAGCCCUAGUUAAUAUUUCUAUUAAGGUAAUAAAUUAUAAUAUUUGGAAAUAUAUUCCAUUACUAUGUUUCAAAUUAAAAUAAGAAAAUUUAAUAAUAAUUAAUUUUACAGAUGUUUUAAAUGUAUAUAUAAACAGUAUUUAACAUUCAAACAUAUAUAAAAAUAAACAACUUAAUACCUUAAUACCUAAUCAUAUUCAAAUAUUCAAACAGUAUUUAACAUUCAAACAUAUAUAAAAAUAAACAACUUAAUCCCUUAGUACCUAAUCAUAUUCGAACAUUCAAACAGUAUUUAACAUGCUCAUCAAACUCCUUCCAAAACAAAAUUAGAAGCUACUAUAAGUUGUUGAUUCAACACUGAUCCAAAUUAUUAACUUGUUAAUUCAUGAUUUAAGACAACUAAAUCCUUAUAACUUAAUUAAAUCAAAAGCACAAAUUAAGGACGUUGAAGUUACCCAUCCUCCGGCACACGGAAACCAUCUGUAUCGGCUGCUUCAGUAAAGGCAUCCCUCCACCUUUGCACCUUUUUCUCAUCUACACCUCUUUCAUAAUUGGAAAAUGCAUUUCCGAAGCUCCCUGUUUGCUUUCGCACAUCAGAAGGAUCCACGUGGUAGAACACCGGCAAGACUAUUUGUUCAUUUUGUUUCCUGCACUCCAUGAUCUUCGCUAACUCAUCCAAACACCACUGGGAAUGCGCAUAGUUUCUUGAGAACACAACUAUGGAAAUUCUUGAUUCUUCAAUAGUUUUCAAAAUUCCUGAUUGGAUCUCCUCUCGUCUCAGAGGUUCAUCGUUUCUGAAAGUGUUAAUACCCAUCCGACCCAAAAUUUUGAAUAAAUGAACCGUAAAAUUGUUGCGGGUGUCUUCACCUCUAAAACUCAAGAACACAUCGAAGUUAUAUUUACGGAUUGGGGUAGAAGAAGAAGAGGGUUUUUGGGUAGAGGAAGCCAUUGUUGGAGAGUUUUUGGAUGAAAGCUUAAAGAGAGUUGAGGAGUAACUUGUGGUGAGUCUAUUCUUGAUAUGCCCUACAGCACCUUUGGGUCCUUAUAUCAUAUUGAUUUAUUUAUUUAUUUAUUUAUUUGGUUUUGGUUGGACCGUAAAAGCAAACAUCGAUUCUCCCAAUACAUGAAAGCAUGUGAUUCUUUUUCAUUUUUGGGUCCCAUGUAUAAGCAUGUGAUUUGACAGACAAAUGUCAAAGAGUAAUGAGUGGAGAGGUAGGUGGCUUUUAAAACAAUUAAAAAGGAAGGACCCACCCACAUCCACGGAUGAAAAUUUCGCCGCUAUAUACGGUGAUAUAUCGAUAUCAGGUUAACAAAUAUUGUUUAUGCGGAAGAAAUUUCGGAAUGAAAAAAUUAGAUUUUAUCGUCGAAAUAUCUAUUAUAUUUCGGAUAUUGGAGGUAACUGAAACAAUUUUGACCACCAAUUAUCAAUGGAGAGUAAUUUCAAAAACAUCAGAAAAAUCAUUAAAAUAUCGGUUUUGGCCGAUAAAUCUCCAAAAUAUCUGCCCAUGGAGCGAUACUUUUUUGCCAAUUUUUUCGAUUGAUCAUGAUAAAUGGACGAUUUUUGCUAGUUUUGCCGAAAAUUCGUCGUUAUUGUUGCAAAAAUGGCUCUUGCAUCCGAUCAGAUUUGAAUUUUUUAUGAUCCCCCUAGAUUUCACCCAUGUUUUUAUAUUAUAGAUUUAUUUUAUAUUAUCCUUUCAUUUUUAACACUUUUUAUUUUUAUCUCAUUAAUCAUAUUUUUAAAAAUUAUUAUCCCUUCACUCUUAAUUUUUUUUAUAUUUAUCCUUUUAAUUUUAUUUCAUUUUAAAUGUUUUUAUUUUAAAAUAUUAAAAAUAUAAUUUUACCCAAAAAAAUUGCUACAAUAUAAAAAAUUAAGAAAGUUAUAAUAUUUUAUAAAUUAAAAUUAAUUUGAUAAGAUAAAUUAUUAAUAAUUUUAAUUAUUUAAAUAAAUUAAUGUUAAUAGAAAAAGUUGUUAUCAUAUAUUUUUAACAAAAUUUUAUAAAUUAAAUCUCAAAUUGUUGUAAAAUUAUAAAAGGAAAGGAAAAGGAUACAAGAAAGAGAAAUUAGAACCUAAGAAGAGAAUAAAAUUAAUUUUUAUUAGAGGUAUCUCCGUUUUAUAGGAGUCACAUGAAGAUAUACAUCAAUAUAGAUGAUCAUCCAUAAGUUCCUAUAAUUCGAUAAAUUCUCAUAUUUUAUAACACUCCCCCUUGGAUGAUUAUAAGAAUAUGCCUCAUUAAAACAUUACUAGGAAAAACCCUAUGGGAAAAAUAGUACAAUAUUCUUUUGGAUUACUAUAACUGCCUCGUUAAAAACCUUGUCAGUAAAACCCAUUGGGACAAAGACAAAACCUAAACGAAGGAAAAAAGAGUGUAGUAUAUUUAUAUUAUCAUUCUCCCUCUCAUGUAAACAUGAUUAUGAUUUCUUCAACAUUUCAAUUGGUAGAUCUCUCAAUCUUCGUAUUCCAAAGUCAUACCUUAACUUUUUCAAUGUGGUCAAAGGUAAUGCCUUUGUGAAUAGAUCUGCUAGAUUAUUGCAUGACCGAAUCUAUUGAACAUCAAUCUCACCUUUCUUUUGGAGCUCAUGAGUAUAAGAGAAUUUAGGGAGAUACGCUUAAUUCUGUCACCUUUUAUGAAUCCUCUUUUAAUUUGUGCAAUACAAACAACAUUAUCUUCAUGUAACGCGGUUGGAUUGCCUCUGAUGGAGGUGGUCCACAUGUUUCUUAUAUAUAUUGAAUCAUUGACCUUAGUCAUAUACAUUCACGACUUACUUCAUGAGUUGCUAGUAUUUCUGAAUGAUUUGAUGAUGUGACCACCAUUGUUUGUUUGAUAGAUCUCCAUGAGAUAACAGUAUCAUUGUAAUUAAACAUAUACCAUGUUUAUGACUUACCUUUAUAUGGAUCUGAAAGAUAUUUUGCAUCUGCAUAUCUAAGCAAUUAUUGCUUUGAUUCCCUUGAGUAAAAUAUACUCAUAUCGGUAGUUCCGCGAAAAUAACGUAAUAUAUGUUUGAUAUCAUUCUAAUGUCUUCGAGUUGGAGUGGAACUAUAUCUUGCUAAUACAUUGUCAGAAAAAAAAAAAAAAAAAAAAAACAAUGUUUGGACGUAGACAAUUGGCAAGAUAUACAAGUGCACCAAUAGCACUAAAAUAUGGUACUUCAGGACCAAGUAAUUCUUCAUCAAUUUUUGCAAAGACAAAAUGAGUCAUUUUUCACAUCAAGUGAUCGGACAACAUUGAAGAACUUAAAAGAUGCACUUUAUCCAUAUAAAAACUCUUCAAAACUUUCUUAAUGUAUGUUGAUUGAUGUACUAAAACUCCAUUUGAAAAAUCAGGUCGAGAUAAAAUUUUGUUUUUCCAAGAUCUUUCAUCUCAAAUUCAUUUUUCAAGUAAUUUGUUGUUCUUGUGAAUAUAUAUAUAUAUAUAUAUAUAUAUAUAUAUAUAUAUAUAUAUAUAUAUAUAUAUAUUUAUCCAUUCAAUUUUAUUUCAUUUUAAUGUUUUUAUUUUAAAAUAUUAAAAAUAUAAUUUUACCAAAAAAAUUGCUACAAUAUAAAAAAUUAAUAAAGUUUUAAUAUUUUAUAAAUUUAAAUUAAUUUGAUAAGAUAAAUUAUUAAUAAUUUUAAUUAUUUAAAUAAAUUAAUGUUAAUAGAAAAAGUUGUUACCAUAUAUUUUUAAUAAAAUUUUAGAAAUUAAAUCUCAAAUAAAAUAUUUUAUAUAAAUUAAUUUAAUUUUUCAUUUAAAAUAUAAUAAAACAUGUUUUAAUAAAAGUAUUUUAAAUUUUUUUAAAUAAAUAUUGUCUUCAACAUGAUGGACCUCCCUUCAUCUAACAAUAUGAUGGAAUCACAUUGAUUUUCAUUUGUUCUUUUUUAAUAAAAUCAAAUAUUUUGUAACUUAAUUUUAACUUUAUAAGUGUACACUUCCAAAAUUCAUAUUUAUUAUUAUUAAAAUUCAAGUAUUGAAUCUACCGAUAUAUCUCUGCUUCUUGAUUAUAUUUAUGUCAAUUAUAUUUAUGAAAUAACUUUAAGAUGUGUAUUAUUACUUAUUUUAUCAUUUUUUAGAAUUUUUUCAAGCAUUCAUAUGAAUUUUGAAUAAUUUUCGCUUCACUGAUAUUUGUAAAAAAAAAUAUUCACCAAUAUUAAUCAAAGUACUAAUAUAUCCAUAAUUACCGAUAUUUUUAUCCUUGGCCGAUAUAUCGACGAUUUUUCACAAUAUAGCUACAAUGAGGUCAAACACGCUAAAUGCCCACCGCUCUCUUAAAAAUGCCCCAAAGAAAAGAUUUAACCUUUAACUCAACUUACCAUUGAGUCAAAUUUUCCUCUUAUUAAAUAUAUUGCACCAAACAUAUAUAUUCAAAGUCAUUAUAUAAACAAAAUAUUAAAAAAAAAAAUUAGAUAACAAAUUAAUUAUUAUUAAAUGCAAAAAAUUAUUUUAAUUAAUUACCAAAAAUAUAAAAAUUAUCAUGAUAAUUUUCUUCAUAUUGUUUUUAAUAUUAUUAAUAUUAAAAAAAUUGUACAUAUAUCACAACAUAUUGUAUAUCAUUUAAUAUAAUUGAAUUAAAUGGAUCAUAAUUUUAAUAUUAAAUAUAUUUUAAAAUUAAACAUAGUAUAAUUAAAUAUCAUAAUAUUAUUAUGAAAUAAUAUUUGAUGUAAUUUAAUAAUAUAUGUACACUUAUAAAAUUCAUAUUUUUUUAUCGAUGUAUACGAUAUUAUUAUCAAAUAUGAUAAAUCAUAUUAUACAUAUAUAAAAAAUUUUAAUAAAACAAUUUAAAAAUAUUUAUUAUACUUUUAAUUACAUUUUUAUAAGGUUUUUCUUAUAUUCGUAUGAAUUUUGAUCAAUUUUAAUCAUACCAAUAUUUUUUUUCCAAAAUAUUCGUCAGCAUAUCUUUGAUAUAUUCGAUAUAUCCAUAAAAUCAAAAUAUUAAUAUAUCUAUAAUUAACGAUAUUUUAUUCUUACCCACAUCUUUGUUUCAUAACAUUUGAAUGAUCCACCCACUACAAAAUUCAGAAGCACAUUUGUUUCUAGCAUUUGCAUUUUGUUCACAAUGGUAGAAGGGUAACGAGUGGGAUGGGUGACUUUUAAAAGAAUAUAAAGAAGGACCCAUCCGUCACAAAAUUUUAAAAGCAUCUUUGUUUCAAAGUAUUUGUAUACCAUAUAAUUUCAUCUUUUUUUUCUUUAUUCAUUUUCAUCUUUCACUGGUAGAUGGGUUCAUUAGAUGGGUUCAUUUGAAUCAAUUACGUUGAAUAAUUGAUAAUUUAUUAUUAUCGUGAGGAAGGUUGAAGAUAAUGUUUAAAUUUUUUUUCAUAGAAUUAAAUUUAAUUUUUAUUAUUUUAAAAAGAUAAUAGAAAAUAAGAUUUCACAAAAAAAAAUAAAAAAAAUAACAUAGAUGAUUCUUUUUUAGACUUUUUCUUUGUGAAUUUUUUACUGGCUUGGUGAAAAAUUAUUAUUUAUUUUGAAUCACUGAUAGAGCAUCCAUUUCAUCCUCUAUGACAUUUGUCAUUUUCUUAGUUGUCGCUGUCUUCUUUUAUUUAUUUUUUCGUUUUUAGUGUUUGCCCCUUUUUAAGACUUGCCGACCUUAUCUUGAUUAAAAAAAAAAAAAAACACUUCAGCAAACUUCAGUGUUAAAUCACUAACAAAGCGUCCAUUUCAUCCUCUCCUGGCAUUUGUCAUUUUUCGGUUGUCUCGCUGCCUUCUUUUAUUUAUUUUUUCGGUUUUAGUGUUUGUCCUUUUUUUAAGACUUCGCAUUGGCCAAGAUUCCAUGGAUUCUGGCGACCUUAUCUUGAUAAAAAUUUUAAUAUUGAAGCAUAGGAUCCCAAAAAAAAAAAAAAAAAACACUGUAAUAAUUAUAAAUUUGGUUUCUAAUUUCUUAAUGAAGAUGAAUAGGCAUAUAAGAUUAUUCACAUACUUUUCUUUUAGUAAGUAUUACUAAGGCGAUUGUACUACAUGCGUUCAAAUUGCUUUAAUUCAUAUAAGAAUCAUUGUAACUUGAUUGAGUACAUACUAUAAGGUUUUGUGUUAUUUGCUUCAGACAAUUUAAAUCAUUAUGAGAUUUUCACGUAUGUAUCAUUAUCCAUGGAUCCAUAUAAAUAUACUGUAAUAACAUUCAUGAGAAGCAUAUCUAAUUCUUCCGGAACUGCUAAACUAAUUAAGAAAUUAUAUGUGAUUACGUUCAUGAUCGAAGAGAAUAUUUCCUCAUAGUUAAUACCAGGUUUCUGCGAGAAAUCUUGUACUACUAAUCAUACUUUAUAUCUUAUAAUCUCAUUAUUCUCAUUAUAUUUUUGUACAAAUAUCCAUUUAUACUCAACAUACAUUACAUUUUUAGGUGUUUGAACUACAUAUCCAAAAAGCUUAAAAGAGAGUUGAGGUGUAACUUGUGGUCAGCCCAUUCUUGAUAUGCCUACAGCACCUUUGGCUCCUUAUAUGAUAUUUAUUUAUUUUAUUUUUAUUUUUUUUUGGUUUUGGUUGGACCGUAAAAGCGAACAUCGAUUCUCCCCAUACAUGCAAGCAUGUGAUUCUUUUUCCAUUUUUUGGGGUCCCCAUGCAUAAACAUGUGAUUUGUCAGUUAAAUGUCAAAGAGUAAUGAGUGGCAUGCAAUCACGUGAUUCUUUUUCCAUUUUUUGGGGUUCGAAUGCAUAAGCAUGUCAUUUGUCAGUUAAAUGUCAAAAGAGUAACGAGGGGCAUGCAAUCAUGUGAUUCUUUUACUAUUUUUUGGGGUGCCAAUGCAUUAGCAUGUGACUUGUCAGACAAAUGUCAGAGAGUAAUGAUUGGAGAGGUAGGUGGCUUUUAAAACAAUUAAAAAGGAAGGACCCACCCACAUCCGCGGAUGAAAAUUUCGCUUUAUACGGUGAUAUAUCGAUAUCAGGUUAAGAAAUAUUGUUUAGGCGGAAGAAAUAUUGUUUUGGCUGGAUUUCGGGAUGAAAAAAUUAGAUUUUAUCGUCGAAAUAUCGAUUAUAUUUCGGAUAUUGGAGGUAACUGAAACAAUUUUGACCACCAAUUAUCAAUGGAGAGAAAUUUAAAAAAAAAAAUCAGAAAAAUCCUUAAAAUAUCAGUUUUGGCUGAUAAAUCUCCAAAAUAUCUGCGCAUGUAGCGAUGCUUUUUUGCCAAUUUUUUCAAUUUAUAUCGAUAAUGGACCAUUUUUGCUGGUUUUUUCGAAAAUUCGUUGUGAUUGUUGCAAAAAUCCUCCUGCAUCCGACGAUCAGAUUUGAAUUUUUGAUGAUCUGGUCAUCCAUGUUUUUAUGUUAUCAGUUUAUUUUAUAUUAUAUUUUUAUUUUUAACAUUUUUUAUAUUUAUCUCAUUAAUCCUAUUUUAAAAAUUAUUAUCACUUCACUUUCAUUUUAUAUAUAUAUUUAUCCUUUCAAUUUUAUUUCAUUUUAAAUGUUUUUAUUUUAAAAUAUUAAAAAUAUAAUUUUACCAAAAAAUUUGCUACAAUGUAAAAAAUUAAUAAAGUUUUAAUAUUUUAUAAAUUAAAAUUAAUUUGAUAAGAUAAAUUAUUAUUAAUUUUAAUUAUUUAAAUAAAUUAAUAUUGAUAGAAAAAUUUAUUACCAUAUAUUUUUAAUAAAAUUUUAGAAAUUAAAUCUCAAAUAAAAUAUUUUAUAUAAAUUAAUUUAAUUUUUUAUUUAAAAUAUAAUAAAACAUGUUUUAAUAAAAGUAUUUUAAAAUUUUUAAAUAAAUAUUAUCUUCAACAAGAUGGACCUACCUUUGUCUAAUAAUAUGAUGAAAUCACAUUGAUCUUCAUUUGUUCAUUUUUAAUAAAAUCAAAUAUUUUGUAACUUAAUUUUAACUUUAUAAGUGUACACUUCCAAAAUUCAUAUUUAUUAUUAUUAAAAUUCAAGUAUUGAAUCUACCGAUAUAUCUUUACUUCUUGAUUAUAUUUAUGUCAAUUAUACUUAUGAAAUAACUUGAAGAUGUGUAUUAUUACUUAUUUUAUCAUUUUUUAGAAUUUUUUCAAGCAUUCAUAUGAAUUUUGAAUAAUUUUCGCUUCACUGAUAUUUGUGAAAAAAAUAUUCACCAAUAUUAAUCAAAGUACUAAUAUAUCCAUAAUUACCGAUAUUUUCAUCAUUGACCGAUAUAUCGACGAUUUUUCACAAUAUAGCUACAAUGAGGUCAAACACGCUAAAUGCCCACCACUCCCUUAAAAAUGCCCCAAACAAAAGAUUUAACCUUUGACUCAACUUACCAUUGAGUCAAAUUUGCCUCUUAUUAAAUAUAUUGCACCAAACAUAUAUAUUCAAAGCCAUUAUAUAAACAAAAUAUUAAAAAAAAAUUUAGAUAAAAAAUUAAUUAUAAUUAAAUGCAAAAAAUUAUUUUAAUUAAUUAUCAAAAAUAUAAAAAUUAUCAUGAUAAUUUUCUUCAUAUUGUUUUUAAUAUUAUUAAUAUUAAAAAAAUUGUACAUAUAUCACAACUUAUUGUAUAUCAUUUAAUAUAAUUGAAUUAAAUGGAUCAUAAUUUAAAUAUUAAAUAUAUUUUAAAAUUAAAUAUAUUAUAAUUAAAUAUCACAAUAUUACUGUGAAAUAAUAUUUGAUGUAAUUUAAUAAUAUAUGUACACUUAUAAAAUUCAUAUUUUUUUUAUUGAUGUAUACGAUAUUAUUAUCAAAUAUGAUAAAUCAUAUUAUACAUGUAUCAAAAUUUUUAAUAAAAUAAUUUUAAAAUAUUUAUUAUACUUUUAAUUAUAUUAUUAUAAGAUUUUUCUUAUAUUCUUAUGAAUUUUGAUCACUUUUAGUCAUACCAAUAUUUUUUUUCCAAAAUAUUCAUCAGCAUUAUCUCUGAUAUAUUCGAUAUAUCCAUAAAAUCAAAGUUAUUAAUAUAUCUAUGAUUAACAAUAUUUCAUUCUUACCCACGUCUUUGUUUUAUAACAUUUGCAUUUUAUUUACAAUGGUAAAAGAGAAAUGAGUGGGAAGGGGGGUGGCCUCCAAAAAAAUAUAAGGAAGGAUCCACCCACUACAAAAUUCAGAAGCACAUUUGUUUCUAGCAUUUGCAUUUUGUUCACAAUGGUAGAAGAGUAAGAAUAGGAUGGGUGACUUUUAAAAGAAUAUAAAAAAGGACCCAUCCACCACAAAAUUUUAAAAGCAUCUUUGUUUCAUAGUAUUUGUAUACCAUAUAAUUUCAUCUUUUUAUCUUUAUUCCUUUUCAUCUUUUACUGGUAGAUGGGUUCAUUUGAAUUUAUUACGUUGAAUAAUUGAUAAUUUAUUACUGUCGUGCGGGAGGUUGAAAAUAAUGUUUAACCUUUUUUUAUAGAAUUAAAUUAAAUUUUUAUUAUUUUAAAAAGAUAAUAGAAAAUAAGACUUCACAAAAAAAAAAUAAAAAAAAAUCUUUUGUUGACCAACAUUGAUGAUUCUUUUUUAGACUUUUUCUUUGUGAAUUUUUUACUGGUUUGGUGAAAAAUUAUUAUUUAUUUUGAAUCACUGAUAGAGCAUCCAUUUCAUCCUCUGUGACAUUUGUCAUUUUCUUAGUUGUCGCUGUCUUCUUUUGUUUAUUUUUUCGUUUUUAGUGUUUGUCCCUUUUUAAGACUUGCCGACCUUAUCUUGAUUAAAAAAAAAAAAAACACUUCAGCAAACUUCAGUGUUAAAUCACUAACAAAGCGUCCAUUUCAUCCUCUCUGGCUGUCAUUUUCCGGUUGUCGCUGCCUUCUUUUAUUUAUUUUUUCGGUUUUAGUGUCUGUCCUUUUUUUAUGACUUCGCAUUGGCCAAGAUUCCAUGGAUUCUGCCGACCUUAUCUUGAUAAAAUUUUUAAUAUUGAAGCAUAGGAUGCCAAAAAAAAAGAAAAAAAACACUUCAACAAACUUCAGCUUUAAAUCACUGAUAAAGAGUCCAUUUCAUCAUCUCUGGCAUUUGCCAUUUUCUCAGUUGUCGUUGUCUUCUUUUAUUAAUUUUUUCGAUUAGUGUUUGUCCUUUUAUAAAACUUCGCAAUGGGCAAGAUUCCAUGGAUUCUGCCGACCUUAUCUUGAUAAAAAAAAUUUAAUCUUGAAGCAUAGGAUGCUAGUAAAAAAAAAAAAAAAAAAAAACACUCCAGCAAACUGAUAGAACAUCCAUUUCAUCAUCUCUGGCAUUUGUCAUUUUCUCGGUUGUCGAUGCAUCUUUUAUAUAUAUUUUCGUAAUAUUAAAUAUUGAAAUAUUAUUAUCAAAUCAUAUUUGAUGUAAUUUAAUAAUAAAUAAAUACUUAUAAAAUUCAUAUUUUUUAUCGAUGUAUAUAAUAUUAUUAUUAAAUAUGAUAAAUCUUAAUAUACAUAUAUCAAAUUCUUUGAUAAAAUAAUUUUAAAAUAUCUAUAAUAUUUCUAAUUACACUUUUAUAAGGGUUUUUUUUAUAUUCUUAUAAAUUUUGAUCAAUUUUAGUUUUAUUGAUAUUUUUUUUUCAAAAUAUUUGUCAAUAUAUAUCCGAUAUAUUCUAUAUAUGCAUAAAAUCGAAAUAUCAAUAUAUCUAUGAUUAACUAUAUUUCAUUCUUGCCCAUAUCUUUGUUUGAUAAUAUUUGUAUUUUAUUUAUAAUGGUAAAAGAGAAAUGAGUGGCCUCCAAAAAAAAUAUAAGAAAGAACCCACCCACCACAAAAUUUAGAAGCACAUUUGUUUUUUAGUAUUUACAUUUUGUUCACAAUGUAGAAGAGUAACAGGUGGGAUAGGUGGCUUUUAAAAGAAUAUAAAGGACUCAUCCAACACAAAAUUUUAAAAACACCUUUUUUUCAUAGUAUUUGUAUAUCAUAUAACUUCAUCUUUUUCUCUUUAUUCAUUUUCAUCUUCUAAUGAUAGAUUUGAACCCAUUAAGAUGAAUAAUUGAUAAUCUACUAUUGUUGUGAAGAAGGUUGAAGAUAAUGUUUGAACUUUUUUUCACUAAAAAAAAAGAAAAAAAAAUUGAGAAUUGAAUUGAAUUUUUAUUAUCUUAAAGAAGGUAGUAAAAAAUAAGACUUCACAAAAAAAAAGAAAAAAGAAAUUCUUUUGUUGACCAACAUAGAUGAUUCCUUUUUUAGACUUGUUCUGUGUGCAAUUUUUUACGGGCUUGGUGAAAAAUUAUUAUUUAUUUUGAAUCACUGAUAGAGCAUCCAUUUCAUCCUCUUUUGUCAUUUUCUUAGUUGUCGCUGUCUUCUUUUAUUUAUUUUUUCGUUUUUAGUGUUUGUCCUUUUAAAGACCUGCCGACCUUAUCUUGAUGAAAAAAAAAAAAAACACUCCAGCAAACUUCAGUGUUAAAUCACUGACAAAGCGUCCAUUUCAUCAUCUCUGGCAUUUGUCAUUUUCUCGGUUGUUGCUGCCUUCUUUUAUUUAUUUUUUCGGUUUUAGUGUUCGUCUUUUUGUAAGACUUCUCACUGGCCAAGAUUCCAUGGAUUCUGUCGACCUUAUCUUGAUAAAAUUUUUAAUAUUGAAGCAUAGGAUGCCAAAAUAAAAAAAAAGGGAGAAUUGUUGUUAAGGGUGGGCUGGGAAACAUAUGACCGAGAAUGAUGGGUAUAUUUAAUAAUUCUUAUGAAGGAUAGGGUGGAAUUAUGAUAAUUCUUUUUAAGACUUUAUUUUGUUUAAAUGUCAAGACUACCCUUAACAAGUGAAAAGCCAGCAAACAAAAAAAAAAAAUCUUCUUUUAACCCGGCUGUAACUUAUCGGUGUUGAAGAAGAAAAGGGAAAGAGGAAAAAAUUUCAGCACUUCAGGUUAUGAUCUGAACUGUCUCCACAAAACUUGUAUUUUUGUGUGAAUCUAGCAAGAAAUCCAUUAAAGGUAAGAUUUUUUUUAUAAAAAAAUGCACAAAAAAAAAAAAAUUCUUUUAACCCAACUGUAGCUUAUCAGUAUUGAAGAAGAAAAGGGAAAGAGGAAAAAACUUCAACACUUUAGGUUAUGAUCUGAACCGUCUCCACAAAGCUUGUAUUUUUGUGUGAAUCUAGCAAGAAAUCCAUUGAAGGUAAGAUUUUUUUUAUAAAAAAAAAUGCCAAAAAAACAAAAAUACGUUAGUUUAUGCAAAUAAAUAAAUAAUUUAAAAUUUGGAUUGAAGGAAAGAACUAUUAAUAAUUUUAACAAUGUAGAUCUGAAAUAUUGAAGGAGGUUUUGAGAAAGAAAUUACAUUUUUUUUGUGUAAAAUGUUAUUAAAUUUUUUUUUUGAAUUUUUUUAUAUUAUUUUGGUCAUAUUGAAAAUGUGUUUUUAUUUUUAAUUUAUUUUCCGCGUGGGUUGUUUGAUAUGAUUAUUAUUGAUUUCCAUUGAAAAUGUUUGCGCUUUAAUUUUGUUGUUGAGACUUGUUUGGCAUAGUAGAAUAAAAAAUUUUCUCAGUUGUUUCAUGCUUAUUUGGGUAUUUAUUAACAUAUUUGGAUUUUCAUUGAAAACUAAAAAUUAUAAUCAAUUGAAACAUAUUUUAUAUAAUAAAGAACAAUAUUUGUUGUAUAUUAGACAUGUAUAUUAGACAACUACCCAGUUUCAUAAGAAAUUUGAAAUUUUCAAAAUUUUACCUUAUCGUAAUGUAUCGUAAUGUUAUUGUAUUUAUAUUAUAAUCGUAGUAUAUUUUUAUUGUACAUUUAUAUUUUUAUAUAAAAAAUUAAUUUUAUAGAUUUUUUUUAUAUAUCAUUGGAUUACCAUGAAUAACUUUAUGUAUUAAAAUUAUAAUAGUAUAUUUUUAUUGUCUUUUUAUAAUUUUGGUUUGCAAGGAUGCUUUAUGAUAGGAAUAUAACAUGAUAGCCUAGAAAUACUAGUUCAGUAAAAAAAACGAAUUCAAUAAUUUGUCAUUUUGGUAUAUUAUAAUGUAUUGUAAUGUUAAUAUUUUUUCAUUGUAACUAUAUUGCAUUUGUAUUGUACUUAUACUUUAUGAUUGUCAAGAAAGAAGAUGUACUUUUUAAUGGGUAAAUGGACUUGAGAAAUCAGGGUAAAUUAGUCUAAUAAAAAUAUAAGACCUUCAUAAGAAUUAUCAAAUCUACCCACCAUUUUUAAUAAUUUUUUUCCCCGGUCCACCCUAAAGUAAUCCUCCCAUAAAAAAAAACACUUCAGUAAACUUCAGCUUUAUAUCACUGAUAGAGCGUCCAUUUCAUCCUUUCUGGCAUUUGCCAUUUUCUCAGUUGUCGCUGUCUUCUUUUAUUUAUUUUUUCGUUUUUAGUGUUUGUCCUUUUUUAAGAAUAUAAGAAACAACACGUGGAAUACGACAAAAAUGUGUCAUGUUUAUUAUAUAUAUAUAUAUGAAUUACUUUUUUCAAGCACUUAUUUUUAGGUAUAGAAAUUGUAGCCUGAUGAAAGGAAUAAACAGGGCUAACAGUAACCAAAUAAGAACGGAAAAUUAUACUUAAGCUCUUCAAUUUCAUAUAAUUGGUUCAAAAUUAUACUUAUCUGCGAAGGUUGAAUGUUUGAAAUAAUAAUUAACACAUGAUGAUUUUUUAAAUAUGUUAUUUUUCUUUUUGAUUCAUAUUUAAUCUCAAAACAAAUAAUGCCCUUUAUGUUAAUUUGAUGUAAGGGUAUUUGAUAAAAUUAAAAAUUAAGUAGUGAAAAAUUUUAGCAUUUAAUAUUAAGAGCGUGUUGAAUUAAUCAAAAUGUAAAAUAUUUGAUAUUAUUUAAGUUUUAAGUAUAAAGUUUAAUUUAACUAUUUGAUAAUAAAAACAUUGAAAGAUUAAGUGGUUUAAACAAAUGAGACCCGCCAUUUUUUUUUCACUCUUUACAGGCUUUUUUAUUUUUAUUUUUGUAAUGCAUGUUUAAAAAAUUGUAAAAAAAUAUAAAAUAUAGUCAAAGAAAAUUUUAUGUGAUUGAUUUUACAGCAGGUGUAUCUUUAUUUUAUUUAUUUAUUUAUUUUUGUGUAUUUUCAUUAUUACCUUUUUAGUUUUUCUGGUAGAAAACAUGAGUCAUAGUUGAGUUGCCAAUUUGCCAAACCCAUGGAUUCAACUAUUUUUAAAAUAAAUGAUAAUAUAAUGAAAAAAAUAUCAGAAUAUAAGGGGAAAAGGACAUAUGAUCACAGUAAGCGUGUGUAUCAUGGUGCAAGGUAUUCCUCUCCACAAGUCUUGUUUACUAGUUCUUCAGUUGACAAGUUGUGCUUAAUCUCUAAGUUUUGCACAACCAGCCUAAAACUGUCAUUCCGCAUGGAUCAAAUACCUUCUUCUCCUCUCAAUUCUUCUUCUACUGAAUGGCGUUAUGAUGUUUUCUUGAGUUUUAGAGGAGAAGAUACCCGCACAGGAUUUACAGACCAUCUCUACGCGGCUUUAGUUGACAAAGGAAUCCGUACCUUUAGAGACAGUGAAGAACUUCGACGUGGAGAAGAGAUUGAAGGAGAACUUCUGAAAGCUAUCCAUGAAUCAAGAAUUUUCAUCAUUAUUUUCUCAGAAGACUAUGCUAACUCCAAGUGGUGUUUAAAAGAACUCGCGGAGAUCAGUAAGUGCAAAGCAAAGGGACGAAAAGUUUUUCCAGUUUUCUACCAUGUAGAUCCAAGCGAAGUGCGAAAUCAGUCUGGAUAUUAUGGAGAAGCAUUCGCAGCUUAUGAAAACGAUGCGAACCAAGACAGUGAGCGAAUACAAGUAUGGAGGACUGCCUUGAAGGAAGCAGGCCAUAUAAUUGGAUAUCAUAUAGAUAAAGAGUAACUAUACCUUCUCUUCAUCUCCCUCUGCGUAUUUUCUCACUAGCUGACUUGAUUUUAUCUAUUAUUACUCUCAAAAAACUUGGGCCAUUUGAGUAUAAGUUUUUUUCCGCAUGAUUUCGUGGAAGCCCAUUUCUCUAUCCAUUUGAUCUCUUCAUUUUAAUUAUGAGCAGUAUUGUAUAAAUGGUUGUGCCCUGGACAUAGAUUUAAGGGGAACAUAUUGGGCGUUUUAAGAUUUAAUAUUGAAGAUAAAAAAGCAUAAAAAGUGCACAUACUUGUAGUGAUGCUCUUAAUGGAUACCUUGAUUGCUUGCUUCUUUGAUCAUUAUUGCUUAUUUGUUAUAUCUACCCUGAUUGUAUUGGUGCAUUAUUAUUAUUGAAAGAUGAUGGACAGGAUAUUGUUGGUUGCGAUGAGCAGGUAACAUGGCGCUGGUGGUGUUGAGUCAGUGCUAGAGAAUGCAGGGUUUUAAAAAUUUUGCGUUACAGGCUCUUAUAGCUCAAAAUUUGCCUCAGAAUUUUGUAUCUCAAAAAAUUGUUUACAGUAUCAUCCAAACCCAGUUGUAAUAAACUUGAAAUCUUUAAACAAUUCCAGGACAAGGACAUGGUUAUGAGGCAGUAGUUAUAGCAAUCAUUCUUUAAAUUUUCAAAAUCAGAAUUAUAACAAAGUCCCCUCUACAAGCUUCCUAAGAAUACAGUCAUGAAAUAGGUCAAUCUUUACCAACCCUCCGUGAAAGUAAAAGGAAAAAAAAAACUAAAAGAAGAAGAUAAAAAUUAACUUAAUCAAUAGUGAUGGAUUAGACCUUAGUCAUAAUGGCAUUAAUUUCCUUAAAGAACUAAGGUGAAGGUUUUUUUUUUCUAUUUUUUUUAUUUUAAAUAGAAUUUUUUAUGCUUAACGUUAAGUAUUAAAUGGUUUGUUUUUAUAAUAUUUUAUUUUUAUUAAAUAUUAAAAAAUAAAAAAAAAUCAAUAUUACUUUUUUUUUUUCUAUUUAGAAAAAGUUAAAUAUUUUGAUUUUUUGUAUUUAACAAAAAAUUUAUAAUAAAUCAUAAAAAAUAGGAAAAUAAACUACUUAAAGUUCGAAAAUAAAUUUCUUUCAAUAAAAAGUUAAAAAAACAAACAUCUUCUAAGUAGAAAAUUAAUCAUUAAUUAAUAAUGAGAAUCUUGAUAUUAGUUGUAGCGUUUCAUGUUAAUGCUAUUUAGUAUGGCUCACGCAUUCUCUUUAUUUCUUUCCAUGUCUCAAAUAUUUUAUACUUGAAAUCAAGAUCGUUUGUUGAUCCAUGAAAAGCAUUUGCUAACAGAUUACAAAAUGAACCAGGAAAACGUGUACCUCACAAUUUGGAUUAAAAAAAAAUAAUAAUACAAAAUCCUUUGAGAUGUUGGAUACUUCCUAAACUUAUGUAAUAACAAUGGAUAAAGCUAAUGUAACUACCAUAUUAAAUACUAUAAAUUUAAUUGAAGGCUGUGGAAGAGAAAAUGUGUUGAUGACCUUUUAUACAUGACAAAUGCAAAGAAAUUCUCUUUGUUUUAAAAAUAAUCAUAGAAAAAUUGAUAUUAUAUUAAAAUUAUGAAUAAAUAUAAAAUAUCCUUAUAUUACCACUAUUAUUCUAAUAGGAAACAUAUAUUAGAAACAUUCUUAAUUUUCUUCUACUUUGUACCACACAACAUUUAGAUCUAAGAAUCACAUAUAUGUUGAAUUAGAAUUUCCUUAACCCAAAAGACUUAUGCUUGGUAUAAGCAAUAUUAUUCCUUUUUCUAGACUGUUCGUGUUGAAGAGCCCUUGAAUCAUAGGCAGAUGCUUUUUAAUAACAUAAGAACACUGAAUUUAUUCAAUGGAAAUGAUAAAUAUAACAAAAUUGUAUAUCUAAGGCUAAAAAACUUACCUUUGAUCUAAAUGUUCCUGGAUCAAAAUCAAAACGAAGAAGUUACUCAUUACUACCGUCAUUCAUUAGCUCUGAACAUUUGUGUAGGAUGACUAUAAAACCUUCUUGAGGGAGAGGAGGAUUGAGACUCUCUAGAAAGCAAUGGUCCACAAUAUUGAAACUUUAAAUCUCCAAGGGGGUUUCUAUAGCUCUUCUUAUGGGCUUAAGUGACUUGAGCCAUCUUGGGCUUGAGUUAUUUAAUAUGGUCAACUAGAUAUUAAUUAAUUAACUCUAUUGUUCUCCAAUUAAUUACUUAACUGAAUUCAGAAGAGCUAAAACUAAUUAAUAAAAAAAAUCUUGUGUAACUUUCUGUUUUUACCUAAACGAUCUUAUACACAUAAAUGGUUGAUCUUCUAUAAAACUUGAAGUCUUUGUGCCAACAAAGUUUAUGAGCUUGAAUAAGGACCAUUGAGACCCAUGAAAAUAUUGGUUCUUUCAUAAUUCAAUUUUAAAGUUGACUCAAGAUUCCACUAAAGAGAGUCAAUUGCACUUCAGUAUUCUAUGAAAUUACAUCGAAACAAGAAGUUAGAAUCCGUGACCUAUUAAUCGACUAUGUGCAAACUUCUCAUAAACUAGUGUUUGUAAUCUAACAAAGUGGAUAUUAUAAACCUCUCUCAAGAUUAUAUCUAAAAUCCUUGAGUGUUAGAUCCUCCUAUUAUGAGAUCAAAUCAAUUGACAUAUUCUAAGAACAUACGUCAAAUUCCACUUCAGAAAUUAUUAUGAGCACUGUUUAUAUGAUCACAAGUUCUUAGGAUACAUAAUUAGAUGAUGCACUGUCUCAAUUCCAUAAAAUAUCAUAGUACCUAUCUUGAGAAUAUCUAUUAUUACCUGCCUUAAUCAAUAAUGACCCAAUCUUUAGAGAAUAUAUGACCAUCUUAGAGUCUCAUUCAUAGGUCAAAGUCACUAAAGACAUCAUCACUAACUCAAUAUUCUUUCAAAGUUGAGAGUCUAUGCAAUAUAAUAAAUUAGUGAAUCAUGACAACCUUGUAUCCAAUAUCAUGAUUUAUUAUAAGUCUUGUUCAAUGUGUAACGAUACAUACUAAUGUACUCAUCAUGAAAAAGACAUCCCAAUGAUAAAGAUAAGUCAUCCUUCCAAUUAGGAGGUGACACGUUACAAUGUUUGAUAGAUUGUCUAAUUUCAUGGAUCAACAUUGAACAACUAAUUAUUUUGCAAGGAAUCUAUGAAUUGGAUUUUUUGUGCAAAUCAUAUUGAACCUAAGUUAUAUAUAAUGCAUGUAAUACAAGUAUGAAUUCUCAUAUAAGUAAUUAAUGCAAUUAAGGAGAUUGAAGGAAACUAAAAAUCAUAAUAAAUAAAUAUAUUAAUGAAGUUUUUUUAUUACAUCUUUCAUGCUUUCAACGGCCCUAUCUUAACACCUUGGUCAGAUAAUCUAUAGGGUGAAUCAAGAUACUAUGUUUUGAAAAUAGUAGUGAAUUUAAUCUCAAACUAGCAUUGAAUUGUGUUGUUAGUGAAGUCCUUGAUUUAAGGUCACAGAAUGCAUAUAAAGAAUCUCACAACCAUUUAUGUGUACAUGUAUGAUACAUAUAAAGAAUGUUGGAUAAAGAAAUUAUGAACACGGCCAAAUCAAAAUCGUGUAUUGCCAUUGAUAUAUUUGGCAAUAGUGUGUGGUUUACAUGGAAAUCUAGUGGUGGUAGAAGCUUAUAAAUAGAGACUUCAUCUCCUCAUUCUAAUUAUCCUAGAGUUGAGAGAAAAAAGAGUGGUGCAACUCUGUGAAAAAGUGAGGUUCUCUUGAGAGUUAGAGAAUUAUUAUUCUCUUGGUUGUAAUCGGGUUUUGGGUUUAUGAGGAAUGAGUGCUCAUAAACACUUGUGAUUAUUUUUCUCCUUAUAGUGAAGAUCUGCAGUAGCUCUGUGACAUAGCCUGCUUUUGGUAAACCAUGUAAAUUUGUGUGUUGUUUUUGUCUACUUCAUUUAGUUAUUAUUUCCACAUUAUUUUUAUGACUUUAUUAAUCUAGUGUUUGGAAUAUUAAUUUCCUUACAAAUUGCAUGUCCACUGAGAUUAACACUAGGAAUUUUGUUGCCUAUAUUCAUACACAAAAUGGUUUAGUGCAAUCCCUUGGAUCCUUAAUUAAUGACAACUUGGGAUUCAUUAAGUCUGAAUUUUCCAUCCUUUAUAAGAUAGCUUGAACCUAUGUUUGGUAAUGUUUGAUGAGACAGUUUUCUGUUGGAAAAUCAAAUUUGAAAGAUAGGAUAUAAUUUCAUGGGAUGCAUCCAAAUGAUUUCAUUUUAAAUUUUAUGACAAAAUCAAAUUGAAUUAGAAGUUCGGAGGAUUAUUGAAUUGGAGAAAAUUGAAAAUUAUCAUAUGCAACAAUUGACAUAUGGACAUUAAUACUAAAGGAAUGAUUUAAACCAUACAUUUCACGACAAUAAAAUAGUUCUAAGAGUCAAUGACCACUGAUAGUAACACUCGGUCGUAUGUCUGUCCACCAGAAAAUGGACAUGACUAAAGGAAUUUGAGAUUUACCUGGUGAUUUGAGAAAAGCAUCUCCUAGUACAUUGGAAAUCAGUUGAUGAAACUAUAACAAGAGAAAAUAACAUUGAAAAAGAAUUCUGAAAAACAUGUUAAUGGACAUACUCUCUUUAUAGUUUUGUUGGAUUUGAUGAUAGAAAUGCUAAGGUUAAAAUUCUUGGAAAACAAUAUAGUAGCUUGUUACAUUGAAUUAGAAGUUAUCCAUACAAAUCAUUAGGUAACUUCAUUAUAAUUAAACAUUAACAUCCAACACUUUCAGCUUGCAGUUCUAUGUUGCUAAGCAUGUAUCAAAAGCUACAUUCAGUACGUCAUUUUCAUUUAUCCACGUUAUAAUGAAAUUCAAUAUAUUUAAAUAUUCUCAUUUAGUUGAUGACAUCCCUCUAACAUAUGAUUCAAUAUUUUAUCCGUAAUUCUAUUUUUAUGAACUAGACCUAUCCAUCACAGACGAACCUCUACUUCAUGAUUAUUUAUUUAUCUUUUAUAGCUCCUUCUCACUUGUCUCAAUUUAAUUUGUUAUACUUUUAUAUAUGCAGGCCCGAGGCAGAUGUUGUUAAGACCAUUACUAGAGAUAUGAUAUGUGAGAUAAUAGGUAAAGACUGUGUUGAGGAUGGCCUAGUUGAUAAAAAAUCCCGUUUGAAAAAAUUAAAAGAGUUGAUUUGGAAAUCAGAAGAUGUUAGCAUGGAUGGGAUUAGGAGGAAAUCAAGAGAUGUUCUCAUGGUUGGGAUCUUUGGAAGCGCUGGAAUAGGGAAGACAACUAUUGCCCGAGCUUUGUAUGAUGAAAUUUCUUGUCAAUUUGAUGGUGCUAGUUUUCUUGCAAAUAUUCGAGAGGUAUCCAAAAAGGAUGGCCUAUGUUGCUUACAAGAACGACUUUUUUGUGAUAUCCUAUUAGGAGGUCGAAAAGUAAUGCUUCUUAGAAGGGACAAUUUGAUGGAGAGCAAAUUUUGUACUAAAAAAGUUCUUAUUGUUCUUGAUGAUGUAAAUGAUAAGAAACAAUUGGAAUUAUUAGCCGGAAGACAUGAUUGGUUUGGUAAAGGAAGUAGAAUCAUUAUAACGUGUAGAAAUGAACAUUUGUUAUUACGACAUAAAGUGGAUGAGUCUUAUGAGUUUAAGAAAUUAGAUGGUCUUGAAGCUCUAGCACUCUUGUGUCACCACGCCCUUACCGAAGAACAAUCUCCAUUUAAGCGUUUUCUCUUUUUAGAUAAUAUAAGGGCUCGUUGUGAAAAUAAUCCUUUAAAGCUUAAAGUUGCGGGUUCUUAUCUACGUGGCAAGGAAGAUGCGAAUUGGGAAAUUUAUGUAAAUAGUAAGUUUUUGAAAGUGAGUUAUGAGGACCUACUUGAGGAAGAAAAGGAUAUAUUCCUUGAUGUUGCAUGCUUCUUUCAAGGGGAGUGUGAAGAUUUUGUUACAAAAAUACUAGAGAAACCUGAUUUCUCUGCUAAACAAGGAGUGCAAGUUCUAAGCAAUAGGUGCCUCUUAACAAUUUCGGAAGGAAAGUUAUGGAUGGAUAAUUCAAUACAAGAAAUGGCCUGGAAAAUUGCUAACAAACAGGCACAGAUACCAGGCAAACCUUGCCGCUUGUGGGAUCAUAAUAAAAUCCUACACGUACUGAAGAGAAACGAGGUACCUUCCAUAUACACUCUUAAAUGUCUAUAGCUUAAGAAAAAAAUACUGACACAUAUACACAUGAAAUUUGCUUUACUUAUUUGUGGCUCUUUCUUGUAGGGGAUACAUGCAUUAAUUGAAGGCAUAUCCUUAGAGCUAUCCAAAUCAAAAGACAAAAAAUUUUCUGGUGAAGCCUUUUCCGAAAUGGAUGCACUCAGAUUGCUAAAGGUCUUCUUGGGUUCUGGAUGUGUUAAUGACAAAGAGACUUAUAAAGUGCAUUUUUCUACAGACUUUACGUUUCCUUCAUAUGAUAAGUUAAGGUAUCUCCAUGGGCAUGGAUACCAAUUAGAUUCUUUUCCUUCAAACUUUGAGGCAGAGGAGCUUCUUGAACUCAACAUGCCAUGUAGCAGCCUAAAACAAAUUAAAGGGGAUGAGGUAUGAUUAUAUAUAUAUAAAUGCUUGCUUUUAAGAUGAGCGUUGAUGUAAAUAGAAGCUAAUUUUCUUAAUUAAAAUGCUUUCUUUCACAGAUUCAUUUUCCAAAUUUAAUUGCCCUUGAUCUUAGUCACUCUCAACAAUUGGAAACCAUCUCAAACUUCUCAAGGAUGCCAAAUUUGGAGAGACUGGUUCUUGAAGGUUGUAGAAGUUUGGUUAAGGUUGACCCAUCUAUUGUAAAUCUGAAAAAGCUUUCUUUGAUGAAUUUGAAAGGCUGCAAAAGGCUUAAGAGUCUUCCAAAGAGAAUUUGUAAAUUCAAAUUUCUUGAAACUCUUAUUCUCACGGGUUGUUCGAGACUUGAGAAAUUGCUAGGUGACAGGGAGGAACGGCAAAAUUCAGUAAACCUGAAGGCAAGUCGAACUUAUAGAAGUGAGUAUAAGAUACUGUUAUUUUGUUUGGUUUUCGCACACUAUUAGGUCUAAGAAAAUGCCAUCUAUGUGAUAGGGCAGUCCCCAGUCAUUUUUUGAUGCUUACUGUCAUUGCAAAAGUUAAAUCUAACUGGAAAUGACUUUAUUAUCAUACCAGGAGUCAUCAUUCUACCUCCGGCGCUAAGAAUUCUUCACUUGGGGCAUUGCAAGAGGUUUCAAGAAAUUCUAAAGCUUCCUUCAAGUAUUCAAGAAGUAGAUGCAUACAACUGCAUUUCUAUGGGAACUUUAUCGUGGAACACCAGACUAGAAGCAUCCAUUUUACAGAGGAUCAAGGUUUCUCUCUCCCUUGUUAAACUUUGUUAUUUUCAAGGCAGAACUUUGCUCUCUUUUUCAUGAUAAACUUUAAUUUUGAUGGCAGAUUAAUCCGGAAUCUGCAUUUUCUAUCGUUCUUCCUGGGAAUACAAUUCCAGACUGUUGGGUCACCCAUAAGGUGACGGGAUCUUCAGUGACUAUGAAGCUGAAAAAUCCUGAUCGGUACAACGAUGACCUCUUGGGAUUUGCCGUGUGCCUUGUUUUUGCACCACAGGCUGAAAGGCCUCAGCUAAAUCCUGAAAUAUUGUGUGAAUUGAAGAAUUUCACAUUUUUCUACAGUUGUGGCGAGGACAGUGUAGAUGAAUUUCCAGAGUCAGAUCAAGAAUGGGGCAACAACAGUACAGAGCACGUGUGGUUGGCAUACCGACCACAUGCUCGAGCUGAUAGAUGUCAUCCUAAAGAAUGGAAUCAUAUUAAGGCUUCAUUUGAAGUCUUUGACUGUGUGGUGAAAAAGUGUGCUAUUCGCCUUAUAUACAAGUAGUGUUUGGGUAAGAAACCCAGUGAAAAUGGAAUUUAUGGCUCAUACUCCGUUGAUAACUCCAUUAUUCAUGAUAUUUCAUCCAGCUUCCAAAACUUUUGGAUUGUUUGAUUUGAAUGUUCCAAAAUAUCCAUAUAAACUCCUUUCUAAGAAAGUCUGUUUCUCUGUGGAUAUCACCUUUGUUUCUCUCCACCAAUUUAUAAAGAUUGAUUCAUCUGAAAUUGAGCAAUCAUCACUGACCUGAGGAUUUAAGUGAUCAUCUCCACUGCCGGUACGAGUUAUCGCCUGUCUGAAAACCACCCUUUUUACUAAUCAGGGUGCUGCCUCCCUCACUCCCACAGCCAGAAUCCACAAAUUAGCACUGGACUUUCUCCUCCACCUGUAGCUGGCCAGUUUUCUCCUUAAUUUUCAAGAUCAAUUGAUGGUCACAUAAAGGGAGCUAUGUUCCUAUUUGCAGAUAUCUUGCCUGCAUUCGUUGGAGAGGAAAAAAGAGUGGGAUUGUGGGCGAGGCAGUGUAAGGGCUUAUUGUCACAAGAUGCUUCAAAUGACCCUCCCCAUGGCUUAUAUAGGAGGUAAGAAGCUUUUAGAGACCCUUGGAGACAUCCACACUUAGCCACUAGUGGGAAGAGUGUGGAAGGUUCUAGAAAUGCCUAGAGAAGUCCACACAACUCUACACUAUGGUAGAAGGCAUGAGAAGGGUCCAAAGCUUUCUAAAGAAAUCUAGAAGUCUCUUGUAUAUAGGCUUAUACAUAGAAUAGUGUAGGACAUUCUAGAAUAUUCAUGAAUUGUAAGGAACCCUCCAAGGUUCUAGAGAGUUCCAUUGGUGCCUAUAAAUAGGUGAGGGCCUCAUUUGGCCAAGGCACCAAACAAGUGAGCAUCCAAGCACUUGUAAAGGCUUUCUUGAGUUAAUAAGAGCUUCCAUUCUUUAAGGAGUUGCCUACUAAGCUCUUAAGCUUUCGAGUCGCGAGUGUCUUAGCCGAGCAAGCUAAGCAUUGGGGAUCAAGGCUGACUUAGCAAGAUCAAGCGUCUUGACUUGCCUAAGUGCCGCACGAGCUUAGUGAACGACUAAGUCCGUGACAUUAUGGCUUUGGUGUGGGGGGAUCUUCAGUGUGAGAGUGAAUUGUGGGCUGUUCUGAUGAGCUUUAUCUUUUGAUGUGUUUAAUGUCUUUAAGAUAAGGCCUUGUUUCGUUGUUUCUAUAUAUCUUUACCUCCAACUUUGUACAUUCUCCUUUGAAUCUUUUUCAUACCUGGAAAAUGCUUCUCCGAAACUUCCCAUCUGCUUUCGGACGUCGGAUGGAUCUCCGUGAUAAAAAAUUGGCACAACCGGUUGUUCCAUUUCUUUCCUGCACUCCAUGAUCUUCACGUGCUCAUUCAAGCACCAUCCGGAAUUAGCAUAGUUUUCUGAGAAUACGACUAUAGAAAACCUUGAUUCCUCGAUAGCUUUCAAGAUUUCUGGAGCAAUCUCUUCUCCUCUCUUAAGUGUAUCAUCUCUGAAAGUUUUAAUGCCUUUGUGAACUAAAGUGGUAUAAAGGUGAUCAGUAAAGUUGAAACCGGUAUCUUUGCGUCUAAAGCUCAGGAAAACAUCGUACCUCCAUGGACAGACAGAAGUUGACGAGGAACAGAAAGCUUUUUGAGCACUAGUGUAAGCCAUUGAUGAAGUGCAUGAACAAGAGUUUGGAGAUUUCUCUACAUAUCAUGAAUGAUUGACCUUUGCAAUAUAAGGUCAACGACUCCAAUAAUAUUUUAACAAUAUCAAGAAAGUUUAAUUGCCUGUGAAUCCUCAGAUCAACUGUAGCAAAAAAUCUUGCAAGACCAAAAUGUCCUUCGUGAAUCUUGGGUUUGGAUCAUUGAAUUUUAAUUUUUCUUUUUAUUUCAUCUUCAUUGUGUAAAUUAAGUAUUAUACGCAUUGUAUAUAUUUAGAUAUUAGAAGGAAAAUAUGAAUUAAUUAAUUGUUCAGAGGGCUUGAUCAAGUGAAAAUGAUAUGAUAUAUGGCAAGUUAGCUGAAUUUUUCAAUAAGCAUUUUGUGUUCCACUGUUUGGUUAAUUUUCUUAAUUUUUGUUCAUAAUGGGUUUAUCUCCACCUUCUUGUAAAAUGGGGCGAAACACUUGUUUACCAUGAAACUCUAUUUUCUUAAUAACCACAAAUAUAUAAAUUUGAAUUGGUCAAACUUCAACAACCCAAUUAUUAAUUUAAGGAAUUUUUAAUUGAAUGUGAAAUAUUACAAAAAUAUUACAACAUGGAAAAAAUAUUAUAAAAUUUGAUGGCUUAGGAUGAUAGAAUUGGAUGCCACCUUGAAUUUGAACAAUAAUGUUAUGGUAAAAAAAAAUAAAAAAACAAAUCCAGUGAGUUUGAGUCAUGAAGAAAAAUCCUCUAAAAUUAGUUGAAAUAUUACUAUUUUUUCACCUUGGCUCAUACCAUUAUAGAACCCUUUUAUAUUAAAAAAUAAUUUAAUUAAUUCAUAAUUAAGAUAUAACAGUUAUAUGGAUGGUAUCAAGAUAUUCAAUGGGUAAUAUAUAGUGGCCAAACUUUAUAUUCACAAAUCCUUAAAGUUAACGGCUGUGAAAAUUAGUGCAAUUUGAUCAAUAAUUCAAUAAUCAAAUAAGAAUAUGAAUUAAAAACUAUUCGAUUAAUGGAUCUUAGCUAACUACUUUAUUUAGGGGAACCUAUAAAUACUAGCUGACUUUUGUAUAGUCUUCUAAUUAGUUUCCUACCAUUUAUUGUUUGAUGAUGCUUCUUAAAAAUGAAAUCUUUAAGAAGAUGUGUUCUUAUAUUCUUCAUUUAUUAGGUUAAGGUGAUGAAAUUUUGAUAAUUUUUUUUUAUUUUUUAUUUUGUAUUAUUUUCCUAAUCUUUUGAGAGUGUCCAAAUCUUCCUCUUUGGUUAAAUAAUACAUUUAUAAUGCUCUAUAUUCGUAUUUAUUUUCCUAACUCUGUGAUGACGUGGUUAGGAGAUGACCAAUUUGAUCACUCAAUGUUUCAUUUUAUUUUAUUUUUUAUUUUUUAUUUUUUUUUAUGAAGAGAGGUUUGGUUUGAUCCUGUAAUCUAAAGGUGGAUAAAAAAUUAUGGGAAUCACUAAUCAAUGUUGACAAAUACCAUCAUUAACAAAAUUAAAAUUAUAAAAUCUAAUUGUAGUGUACUUCUAAUAUUUAAUUUAAUUUUAGUCCGAAAUAGGGAUAGGGAUAGGGAUGAACUUUUCUCUCAGAGAGCUGGCUCCUAAUCAUUACUAUUCAUUCUUUCUUGGGAUACGUGCAAGACUUGUAGGAAUAGAAUGGUCAUGAUGUUCCGCAUGAUCACUAAUCCCAUGUUUCGAACUUCUAAGGGAUUUAUUGUCUUCAACUGUGUUGCAUGUUGCAUUAAAAGAAAAGGGUUUGGUAAUCAUAUAGUUUGAAAUUUGAGAUAAAAUUUUGUCCUGACAUACUUCCAUAAUGUAUGUAGCAGGUAAGAAGGACUAAAUAUGAAAAAAUUUAGAAUUUUGUCCUUACACCUCAAAUUGAGGUUUCAACUACCUGGAAAAUUGCAUUCUUCUUGAGUUUUGUAUGGAUUUGAUUCUAGCACAAUGAUUCCUCUAUUGAAAAUUUUAAAAUAGUUGGAAUUCCGUAUCUUCCAUGUUGGUGACACGUAUUCAUGUGAAAAAUUCUCCACCAACUCCCCGACGCGAUCUAAAAUGGGAAGAAAAAAAAAAAUGGAAGAAAGCCAAAUGGAGAAGAAUUUUUUUUUUAUGGGAGGGGAGGGAAAUUUGAAGAAGAUAAAAGGAAACGAAAAAGGAUAUGAAUGGAUUAGGGGAAGAUAUUAAUUCGUACAAAGGGAGGAGGAAGGCUAACUUUUGAAAGGAGGAUACGAACGGUAAGGGGAGGAGUUUUAGAGGGGAAAUGAGAGUCUUUAGGUAAAAAAACAAGAGGGAAAGAGAUGGAGGAUGAUUGAGAGGAGAGGGAAUUUGAAGGAAAAGAGGGUGUGGUUUGAUGUUUAACAUCACAACAAAAAAUUAUUGAUAAAUGAAUUUAAUCAUCAAAAUUAGAUGGAAAUUUAAUAUGAUUGACCCUUGAAGUUAUGUUUGAUUUUUGAAAAAUUUGAAGAAAAAAAAUAAAAAUAAAAAUAAGAAAGAAGAAAUGGAGAAAAAUAAAAUAUAGGUUCAAAUUUAAUAAAUUAUUUUUAUAUGUUUUUUUAAACUCAUUUUACUUAUUUUUUUUUAUUAUAUAAAAAUUAAAUAAUUUUAAAAUAUAUAAAAUUUUAACAAAUUUUAAUUAUAUGUUUUGGUCCUUGCUUAAAGUACAUAAGUUGACGAAUAAUGUUUUGGUCCCCACACCCUCUUCUCUUUUGUUGUCUGCCACUCGAUGGGUUGACGUGAAUUGUGGAAGAAAAGUAUGCAUAUAUUUGACAAAAAGAAUUAAGAAUAUUGGCAGCAAGUGCCCAUUGACUUUUAGGGUUUACCCUUUUCUUCUUUGAAGUUGCAUAGAGAACUUCAAAAUUGCUUAAGAAGGCCAAGAGCAGUGCCCAUUGAGCAUCCAAAAACUCUCUCUUGUUCCCCGAACUCUUGUAAUUCUCGCACCAGCAAUUCACAAAUGACUUCAUCUACCAUUCAAAGAGCCUCUUCUUCUACUUGUAUCCGCAAUAGUUAUCAUGUAUUUCUGAGUUUUAGAGGUGAAGAUACCCGGAAGAAUUUCACAGAUCAUCUCUAUACAACUUUGGUUGCAUAUGGACUUCAAGUCUUUAGAGAUGAUGAAGAACUUGAGAAAGGAGGAGAUAUUGCAUCAGAUCUCUCAAGGGCUAUUCAAGAGUCCAAGAUUUUUAUUAUUAUUUUCUCAAAAAAUUAUGCCAACUCCAGAUGGUGUCUAAAUGAACUUGUGAAGAUCAUGGAGCAAAUGGAAGAAAAAAAAAAAUCAAUGGUUCUACCAGUUUUCUACCAUGUGAAUCCAUCGGAUGUUCGGAAGCAAUCAGGAAGUUACGAAGAGGCAUUUUCCAACCAUGAAGCGGAUGCAAACCAGGAAAAGUGCCAUGUUGAUGACCAGUAAUUACUCUUCUUCUCACCAAUGAUUUAGAAAUUAAUUAUGACACUUUUCUUGUUAUCUAAUUACAAAGCUUGGUAGUUUUUAUAGAUUAUAUAUUACUAUCCAAAUGAAAGCAUCCCCAUGCUAUCAAUACCCAGUUUUAAAGAAAAUAAAUAAGUUGGUUCAGAAAUGCUACACUGACCAAGUUUAAGUGUGGGUUGAGUCUUUACCAUUGCAUUAAGAUCGAACUUACUUAAUAUAAGUUAUUUUAUCAAUUUGGUAUCUUUCGUUUAUUUAUUCAUUUGAAUCUAUUUAAUUUGGUGCAACAUGGUAAUGUCCUUUUACUUGAAUUUUAAAAAAUUCUUAGCAACAUUUAACAUUUUAUCUAUAAUAAUAUAUUAAUAACUUAAUUUUUUUUCUCUGUUUAAAAAAAAUCAAUAUGAUGGAUUAAAAUGAAAUGCAUAAAUUAUAAAUUCAAAAUUUAAUUCGAUCUUAUGCCUAGAAGCAUUAACGUGACAUUAUGUUUGUUGUUGAUCCAUCUAUUGGACUUGGUCUAACCCUAAUCAAUACUUGUCAGUAAUAUGAGUAUUGAUCACCAAUCCAGUUGCAAUAAUUAUAUUUUCACUUCAUAUUGAUCUAGAAUAAUUAAUGUAGAGAUGGAUUGGAUGGAAGAAAAAAAUGGAGCUUUGAAGAAGGUUGAGUGGGGUUGGAGAAAGGCAUUUGGGGGUAGAGGGUUAAGGCUUCUAAGCCUAUCGUGUAUAGCUGAAAUGUAAAAAGCAAAGGCUUUUAUAGCAUUGAAGAAGAUGACACUUCCACAAAGUGACAACAUUGUCUAAAAUAUUAAAAAGCUCUAACAGGAUUCUUAAUUAAGCUGCCAUUGUUGCCUGGAUACUACAAGCAACAAGAGAAGAUUCCAAAAAGCGACAUCUUUUAUGCAAUUGGAAAAAGCUCCAUUAUAUUUAUCUGGAAGUGCCAUGUUUUACCUAUUUUUAUAAGCUCAUGGUAAGAGAGUCAAGGAAUUAAGGAAUUAACUGCUAAUAAAUGCAUUUUUAUAAGCUCAUAUGUUUUCAAAACAGUCUUAACAAUAUUAAAAUCACUAAAGUACUUUCGUCAAUUCCUAUAGUUGUGAGAUGAGUUACUUUAAUUGCCUCACUAGAUAAGUGAUGCAUAAAGACUCUAGAUUCCAACUUCUUGAAUUCUUAUAACAUCAAUAUCGAUUGUUUGCACGUUCUCAUAACACCAAGAAAUUAACUAGAUUGAAGUUCCAUCCACAUUUCAAUUGCCAAACCUUCUUGAAAACAACCAGCUUCCCACAUCCUAACUUACCCUAUAUUCUAGUUUAUGACUUACUCAAAAUAUGUACAGGAUGUUUGCCAUCUUAGUGUCAGAUGAAUCACAAAUGGCAAGAGCUCAUAUUGUUCCAAACUUGUCAAUGAAUAUCUUGAGAAGAGAGCACCACAACCACCUAUAUAUGUAUCUCUUUUAACACAAGUUUUCAGUUGGACUUUCCAAUGAUAAGAUUCAACAACAUGCCUCUAUGGGCACUUCUCACAAUUCCAUUUCUUGUCACAAUGCUUUCUAGAGUAGUGCUUCUUAAUUCCAGUGAGGUAGCUAAGAGCCCAAGGUAGGACAUAUCUCUGGACACAAAUUGAACUUCCUCAUGUUUUUUGUUGUCUUCUGCUUAAGCUUCUAAGGCAAGUUGUGUCCUUAUCUGUUGAGCUAUAAGUUUGCUCCCUUUGAAAUCCAUUGUUGCCCACCUGACAUGUACACAUAUUUAAGAGCAUUAAGGUCUUACAAGAUAUUGAAAUUACCUCUACAUCUGGUGCAGGUAUUAAAUUUUUUUAAAAGAUGGUAGAUCAUCACACAUAAUUUUUUCUUUUUCUCAAUAGACAUAGUCACGCAUAUAACAAAUAUAUUUAUGAUUUCAUGUGGUCAUAGUUUUAUUUUAUGUCAAAACAAUGCACUAAAAUGUCAUAUUUUAAUGAUUUCAGCAAUGGUCUAAUGCUCAAUGAUGCAACAAAUGCACCUAAACAUCAUAUUUUAUUUUCUAUGAUAAUAUAAUUAGAACUUUGAAAUCCAGAAAAAGGGUUUUGAUCUCUUUCUAUAGUGUGUUUACUUCUAUAAGAGUAAUAAAUAGUAAACUCUUAUAGGAAACCCAUAAUAUUUCUCUUAGAAAUUAGUCUAUACUCAUCAUUUAUGCUUGUCUAGUGAGCACCAUAUAAGAAUUAUCCUAGCUAUGUGAGCACUAUUGCUGACCACUCUUACCCUGUACAACCAUCCACCUCCAGUCAUUUUCAACUCACAAUUUCUACUCGGCAAUUAAGCCACCAUUAUUGAACAUUCUUAUGUACCUUGUACAGUUGCCUACUCCCUGUCAUUUUCCUCUCAUAAUUUCUACUCCCUUACUAAGCACUAUAGUUGAGCAACCAACAUGCUUAAAUAGUUUGAAUGGAAGAUUGCUCACAAUUCGCACUUGUCAAGUGAGUACUAACCUUGAGCACAAAAUCCUUACACAAUGCCGACAUCUUUGUACCAACAACAUAUCGAGCACCAAUCCUAGGCUCCUUCUAAUGAAUUAUACCUACUCUAUUUUCACUCAACCAGUGAGCAUAAUUGUUAAGUACUCACUAUUACAAUGCUUAAUCAUUGUCAUCAACUUCUUUCACCCAUGUUUCCAACAUCAUCUAAUUCUUCAGCCUGUGUCACGCGCACAUGGUGCCCAACUUUUAUGUGAUGUCUCCUUCACAUCUCUCAAUGGAUUCACUUGAUCAACCCUGAUCAUGUUAUUCCACGGCACCAUGUUUAUGGAAACAUUGGAUUGCUCUCCAUAAUUUUGGAGGCCCUUUAGUCACCUCUAUGGUUUAAAUUAUACCCUUCAUCUUUAUUAAACAAUUGCCUUUUUCAUACAACUAAAUCAAGGUAUAUUUAUUUUUGUAAGCAUUCUUCUCUAUUUUUUUAAGCAUUGUCAAGUCAAUUAUUUAACAUUUAUGGAGUUUUCUAGAUUUUUUUGUGCAUAGCUAGACUUUAAAGUUAGGGUUGGUUCUCUCUAAUAGAAUUCUCCCAUGUUGGAGUAUGCCACUAAAUUUUAGUUGUUCAAAGAUUGAAAUCCUUGUUCUUAGAUUUCAUAACAUCAGUUUUGCUUAGACUAAUCAUAACUCAAUUUUUAAAUUUACCUAUUGCUUAAGUUGCAUUAGAAAUGCUUGACAUAUUACCAUGACCUAGUCUCCUCUUAUGAACUUCUAAUCUUAAUAGUAAUAGUUUUAGUUACAAGUUAAGUUAGAUACUGCUUAACAGUGUUGAGGGUACUUGGCCAAAUCCUAGCUCUAAUAUGCUCCUUUGAAUCGUUGAAGCUUGAGGCUUUUAACCCUUGGAUCUAAGAUCAAGGGAGGGAAAGUGUUUCUAAACCUCUCUUAAUGGGAUUUCAAAAGCAUAGCCUCCACUCAUGGUUACUCAAUGAAUAGUGCUUCAAGUGCUUUGUGUAUGGUGAACAAAGUCGUGAAAAGAAAUACAAAGUAGAAGCUCCUCACCUCAAGUUUGAGUUGAUGUAAUUUUUAUGAUUCUCUUUUCCUUAUUAGUUAAUCUUCCAAUUUAAUCUAAAUGAUUAACUAUAUCUUUGAAACAAAAUUUGUGAAUUUGAUUUAUGUAUGAGAGGGACACUUUUGUACUCUUGAGAAUUUAGAUUGUGAUAAUAAUUUUUAAUGGAGUACCAUCUCCUCUUGCUAAUGCAAAUGACACAUCUAAAAGCAAGGGUCGAAAAAUGAUUAGUUUCUAUGAAAUUAUUUAGUUUCCUCUAUGGUUUAAACCAUAUCCUUAACCUUUAUCUUUUAAUUUAGAUUUUACUUUGCUUAGGUGGUUAUCUUUAUUGUACAAUUAAAUCAACAUAUAUAUAUAUAUAUAUAUAUAUAUAUAUAUAUAUAUUUGUAAGCCUUCCUCCCUAUUUUUUUUUUACCUAUUCUCAAAUCAUUUCUUUAAUAUUAAUGGAGUUUUUGAGAUUUUUUGUGCAUAGUUAGACUUCUAAGUUAUGAUAUAUUUUCUAUGAUGCAAUUCCCCCAUGUUCAAGUAUGCCACUAAAUUUUAAUUGUUCAUAGAUUGGAAUGCCCGUUUUUAAGUUUCAUCAUAUUGGUUUUAGCGUAAUCACAACUCCUAAAUUUAGCAACAACUUAAGUGCAUUGGAGGUGUUUGACUAAUUACCAAGACCUAUAAACUCCUCUUUUUAAUCAGCAAUUUCAAGGGCAAUUAUUUUUAGUUACAAGUCAACUUUAGCUACUGCUUAAGGGGCUAUUAAUUAGGGGUAUUUUGGUUCGAUAAAUGGAGUAAGUUUAAGAUAGACCAUCCCUUUUUCAACUCUAUUGAUCUCUAAAAUCAUAACCCAAAAACAUGACUAACAUAGUGAUAGCUAGUAUUAAAUUCAUGGAAUUAAUUAGCUACAUUGGUGCCCUCUCAACAAUCUAGUGUAGGUUAAUAAUUUUGUUGUGUGGCAUUUCAAAAGAUAGUAAUCAGUCACCACUUAAAGAAAUUUAUAAAAUAUGAUCAAUAUCAAUAGUAAAAAAAAUGGUAGUAUAUAUCAUUACAAUAAAAUUAAAUUUAGAUUGUAAUACUUUUGAACUUUGAUUCAUUGGAAUUUACAUUUUGAAUUUUAGUUUGUGUAAAAUUUUAUAAUCAUUUUGUACCAAGAAACUAAUUAAAAUAUUCUUUUCAGAAUCCCGGUUUUUUAUAUUCAAAUUUGAAAAAUAGGUUUUAAAUUUCAUAUUAAAACCAAAAAUUUUGACUUUACUACAACAAAAUUCAUUUGGUUAAUGUAGAAAACAUUAAAUUUCUAUUUUCUUCUUUUAUCCGAAAAUGAGUAGUGUUUCAUGUUUAAAAAUUACAAGAAGGCCAACAAUAACGAAACCCUAACUAAAAUUCUCUCAUUUAUUUGACUUUUUGAUAUUUUGUCAAUAUUUAUAAAAAAUUAAGAAAUAAAAAAUUGAGAAGGAAAUAUAAAAAAAAAUAAAAAUGAAACACUAUGUGUAGUAACCAAAUAGAAUACAAAAAAAAAAAGAACAAAUAAUUUGUAGGAGCCCUAGAAAGCAAAUCACCUUGUCUUCCAUAAUACAAAGUUUUAAAACAUAUUAGAUGGAUAAAUCACCCUGUUCUAUAACUCAACGGAGUUGAUGUAAUUUGUAUGAUUCUCUUUUUCUUGUUAGUUAAUCACCGCAUUUAACCUAAAUAAUUAACUAUAUCAUUAAAACAAAAUUGUGAAUUUGAUUUAUAUGAGAGGGAUGCUACUGUAUUCUUGACAAUUUAGCACGUGAAAAUAAUUCUUAAUGAAGUAUGACUCUUGUCCCUAAUGCAAAUGACACAUCUAAAACUAAGGUCAAAAAAAUUAUUAGUUUCUAGGAAAUCAAUCAUUAUAACGAUUUUAUGUUAUUACUUUAGAUGGGAAAUCACUGUUUUAAAAAAUUGUUGUAGAUUAACAGUGUGUUUGAUGAUAAUUCUAAAACGUGUUUAUAAUAUUUUUAACACUUGAAAAUUUUUAUUUUUAAAAUAUUUUAAGGAUUAAAAAUAUUUUUUUAAAUCACCAUCAAACCCAUUCUUAAUCAUAUAACUUUUUAAAAUUGGUGCUAUUGACUCAUUGAUAUCUAAUUGAAAAUUGUCAUAUAACUAAAAUACUAAUCGAUCAUGAAAAUAGAAAUCAUUAUUGGCUUUGUUAGUAGAUGUCUCACCUCUGCUAAGUCAUUGACUCGAUCACAAGAUGCAUGCCCCCUUUUCUUUUUGUUCGUCACCGUAUUCCACAUCACAAGCCAUUCGCUGCAGCCGUCCGCUGGCCUCAUGAGGAACAUUAUGUCACUAUAUAUAAAUAUAUCCUUCUUUUAGGGUUUGGUUCUUCUAUAGUUGGCGGGACCACCAGGUAAAAAAAAUUAUUUUAAUAUAUGAUGCCGAUAACUUUUGAAUAUUUAGUUAAAGUAAUUUGGAGAAAUUCUUGAUGACUUUUAUUUUAAAAUCAUCCACUAAAUUAACUAUUGAAUAAAUAUAGAUAAAGUAUUUUGAAUUAUUUAAUUAAUUUUCGCUAUAUAUUUAAGAAAAUUUUAAAACUUGGCCAUUCACAUUUUCUAAUUGUGUAAUAAUUGCAAAAAAAAAAAAAAAAAAAAAAACUAUUUUCCCUUUUAAUUAAAAUUUCUCAAUCUUAUACAGCUUUUACAUUGGUCAUGAAAAUGUAAUUAAAAUUUAUAGCAAUUUAUGUUACAUAUACUAUAUCAAAAUGGUGUAUAAAGAAUUAGUGAAAUAUGUGCUUAAAUUUUCGUUAGAUCAAAUUGCUUUAAGUUUACAAUAUAAGUAAUGAAUGCCCCCUAUUAAAAUUCAAUAAAAAUAAUUUUUAAAAACAAAUUCAAAGUGAAUCAAAUUUUGAUUUUCGAUUUUAAUUAUAAAAUGACAAUUUGAGGAAAAAAAUGGAAAAAUAACUAAUGUUAAUUAAGGAUAACUAAGAUAAAAUUUUUGAAAGUUAUUUUAGUUAUACCAAUAUCAAAACAAUAAUUGUUCAGACUUUUUUAUUUAAAUUUGAGAAACUUUUAAUAAUAAUCCAUUUCUCUUACUCCAUGAAAAUUCAAGACAACAAAAUAAGCAUAUAGGGCACAUUGGAAACUUCCCAACCUAAAAAGUUAUGUUAUAAGAACAUGGUUUAAAUGAGAAAAUUUACCUAUAAUGAUGAUCUAAUUUCAUUACAAUUGAGCGAUGUCAUGAUAAUAUUUUAACUAUAUAAUUUGGGAAUCUUAGACCUUGGAAACAUCAAUGUAGGCCAUCCAUUUUGUAUUCUUAGCACAUGUUAUUCAUCAUACUUAUUCUCCCUAGCCUUGUGCUUUCGUGUGGUACGGGCAUAGGAUUCCUUUUUGCUUAUCUUUUUGUCUCGCUCCUUGGUGGUCCAUCUAUUACUCAAAUUUAGUACUAACUCUUAGACCACCUUUGAAGACCUUUUGGAGGUAGUUUUUGGAUUUGUGACACGACUUUAGUGGUACCCUAGGUUUUCCUAAAGUUUUAGCGUGUUUGGAGCUCAUAUGGCCCUUUUUGGCCACCCAAGAUCUUUUUGGGGUCAAACUAGUCAAGGGGCACUAAUUCAACUGAUCGACCUAUAGAAACCAGUUAACCCUAAAGGUCAACCUGUUGCAACUAGUUAACCUAGAAGGUUAACUUGUUGUAAUUGGUUAACCUAGAAGGUCGACCUAUUGCAACUAGUUGACCUAGUAAGUCGGCCUGUUGUAACUGGUUAACCUACUUAGUCAACCAUUGCAACUAGUUCACCCAACUAGUCAAUUGAUCGAGCAAUAGGUUCAAUCGAUUGAUUAGGAUUUGCUAUUUUUGGGCCAAUUUUGACUUCUUUUCAAGCCUCAUUAUUUUUAUCUUUAUUUUUUGUCUUUAAGGGUUCCUAAGAGUGUUUUAGGUUAGUUUUUGUGAGCUUUAACCUUGGGUUGAGGUCCCUUGGGUUUAGGUUUGGUUUUAAAAAGUUUUAAGCUUUGGUGGAGAUCAUGACCAUUGUCAGGAUCCCCACAAUUUCUUAACCUAUAAAAAGGGGCCUUGGGAGCUUGUUUUAAGGGGAUUCUCUCGGGGUUAGGGCUUAAGUCUUGCUAUUCUCUCUCUUUAGUCCUGAGAGAGAAACCUAACAUCCAACCUAAAGAUCUCCACCACCUCAAUGACAAGACAAAAUGAGGAUUCAUUGGAUGGAAGAUCAUUACAUUUACGAGAUCUAUAGUGUUAGAGUAUUCUACAUCGAUAGUAAAUGAUUUGGGAACAUCCGAAUCAUAGGUAUGUAGUGGUCUCUAAAUCUAUGAUAUAUAUUUGUUUUGGUUUUAAAUGUCAUGUUUCUAUUGUAUGAUAGAUCUAGGGAGCCUAGGGUAGAUUUCAUACACCCUAAGAUCUAGGGCAUGGGAAUGGAGUAUGCUUAGUUUCCCUACAAUAUGGUUUGUAUGCUUAGAUAAUCCAUUAAUGCAUAUAGAUAAUAAAGGGAACAAGAAACAUAAAUAAAUAAAUUUAUAAAUGAAUCUCAAUUUAUUACAUCAUGUCAUAUUUUCUAGGGCUCUAUCUCAACAAACUCUCAUUAGCUCUAAAGCAUGUUGGGAACACAUAUGAUACCUAAGUUAUCCCAAUGACCAUCAAAGACUCUAAUAGACUAAAUCUUCGUGAAGGGAUCCACCAAUUUCUUCACAUAAGCUAUCUUUUCCACAACCACAUCUCCUUUCAUUACUAUCUCACGUACAAGGAGGAAAAAAUCGCCAAAAAUCGGCGAAAUAUCGCCGAUAUAUCGCGUGUCGGCGGGUGGCGACACGAUAAAUGGAGGAGAUAAGUCGGCCGGCAGAUUUUUCGCAAAAAAUCGCCAAAAAAUCGGCGACACAGGAUAAAUUGGCGAUUUUUUGAUAAAAUCGCCUGAGAAUCCCGUGUGUCGCCGAUUUAUCAGCGAUUUAUCGCCGAUUUUUUGGCGAUUUUUUGCGAAAAAUCUGCCCUCUCUCUCCAGCGUGAUCUGAUGGUCCAGAUCACUUCUGUGUUGAUCCAACGCCCAGAUUUGAAUCCCAACGUUAACAAAGAGAUCCAACAGCCAGAUUGCUUCCAAAUUGUGAUCCAACGGCCAAAAUUAAUUUUAAACGGUAACUUAAGGUUCCAACGGCUAUUUUGGCCUAAAUUUCAUCUAUAAAUAGCCAAUUUUGCAUCAAUUUCAUCCAUCUUUGCUUUGAUUCUUCAUUUCCUCUCUUACUACUCCAAUUUUUUCCAAGAUUGCUCAAUUAUUCAAUCAUUUUAAGGUAUGUUUGUUUGAAAUUAUAAUUAAUUUUGUUUGCAAUAAUUAAUUCAUGUAUUUUUAAUUAAUUAGUAUGUUUACAUUUAAUUGUAAUUAUUUUGUAUAUUUUUAUUGAAUUAAUUUAGGUUAUGAUAUAUUUAUUUUAGAUGAUUAUUUGUGAUUUAAAUUCGUAUUUAGAAUUACAUUAAACUAAUUAACUUAGCUAAAUUGUUUAAUUAAUUUAAUUAACAUAGUAAAUUAUGUAAUUAAUUUAAUUAACAUGGUUAAUUAUGGAAUAUUAAAUAUGCUCAAUUUUUUAUAUUAUCGCGAUUUUUUUUUCAUAUUCAAUUAUAAUUAAUUUCAAUAUUUAGUAAAUUUGUCAUAAAAUUACAUUUAGAUUUUAAAAAUUAACUUAGGUAAUUUAUUUAAUUAGCUAAAUUAACAUGAACUACUAUAUAUGGAAUAUUAAAUAUGCUCAAUUUUUUAUAUUAUCGCGAUUUAUUUUCAUAUUCAAUUAUAAUUAAUUUCAAUAUUUAGUAAAUUUGUCAUAAAAUUACAUUUAGAUUUUAAAAAUUAACUUAGGUAAUUUAUUUAAUUAACUAAAUUAACAUGAACUACUAUAUAUGGAAUAUUAAAUAUGCUCAAUUUUUUAUAUUAUCGCGAUUUAUUUUCAUAUUCAAUUAUGAUUAAUUUCAAUAUUUAGUAAAUUUGUCAUAAAAUUACAUUUAGAUUUUAAAAAUUAACUUAGGUAAUUUAUUUAAUUAGCUAAAUUAACAUAGAUUUAAAUUUAAGUGUAUUUUUCUUGCAAUAGAUUUAGCAUGGCUAGUGAAGGUGGUUCUGCUGUGCCAGGGCGAGAUCCGGCUUGGAAGUAUUGUUUACCAAUUGAGGGUAAUCGAAAUGGAACAAUUUGUAAUUUUUGUGGGUUGGUAAUGAAAAGUGGAGGCAUCACACGAUUCAAGUCUCAUUUAAUGCAUAAGGACCCGCAUAACAACACCAAAAAGUGUCCAAGAGUGCCGCCCGAAGUGAAAGAAGAGAUACGAUUGUUGGUGCAUGACAAACAAAAAGCAAAAGCAAAGAAAAAUGCUGAUAUUGAAGAAAUUCGUAGUCAAUUACGUGGCACAAUGGGGACGCAUCAUACACAUUUGGUAAACGAAGAUGAUGAUGAUGAAGAUGCUGAGGAUGAAGAUGUGUAUAUGUAUCCGACAGAUAUGCACCCGGAUGAGCGAGAUGCAUAUCGAUCUGUAGUUCGUGCCUCGAAAGCAUCUAAUUGGGAACGUGAACAACAUGAGAAUAUUGUAGGAAGCAAACGCAAAUCAGGAGAGUCUUCUACUGGUAUACCAUCGACGAUGCGAAAAUCACAGAGUAUGCGACAUUCGCAUGAUUCACCCCCUAUUGCCCCUUCGCUUUACAAGUCUUCUGCAGCAAAACAAAAAAAUAUCAAAGAUAUAUUCAAGGGUGGUGCAAUUAAAGAAACGAUGGGACGCUUAAUCAGCAAAUUCUUCAUUUAUGAGAGUGUCGCACCCGCAAAAGCAAAGUCUCAUCACUUCAAGAAUAUGAUUAUUGGUGCACAACAAGCAGUAAUUACUAAUUUAUCAAAUGUUAUAUUGUGUUAUACUUUUAGUAAGUAUANNNNNNNNNNNNNNNNNNNNNNNNNNNNNNNNNNNNNNNNNNNNNNNNNNNNNNNNNNNNNNNNNNNNNNNNNNNNNNNNNNNNNNNNNNNNNNNNNNNNUCCAUAUGAAAUAAAGAACAAAUACUUGGAAAUGGAGUACAAAGAAAUGGAAGCUUAUGUGAACCAACAAAGGGAAAGAUGGAAGACAUAUGGGUGCACAAUAAUGUCAGAUGGAUGGACAGGGCCCACGAAAUUAAGUAUUAUUAAUUUCAUGGUUUAUUCUAAAGGGACCACGGUGUUCCUUAAGUCAGUCGAUGCAUCGAACUAUAUCAAAGACCACAAGUAUAUAUAUGAGCUUUUGAAGACUAUUAUCAAAGAAGUCGGUAAGGAAAAUGUGGUCCAAAUUGUCACAGAUAACGGGUCGGCAUUCAUGAAAGCAGGGAAACAAUUGAUGAAGAAGUAUAACUUAUAUUGGACUCCGUGUGCGGCACACUGCAUCGACUUAAUCUUUGAAGACAUCGGUAAAAGACCCAAUGUUAUCGAGGUGAUAAACAAUGCUCGCAAGAUAACUAACUUCAUUUACAAUCAUGGUUGGUUACUAGCACAAAUGAGAAAGUAUUGUGGUGGAGACAUUGUUCGACCAGGAGCUACAAGGUUUGCUACCAAUUAUAUUGCUCUUGACAGUCUUCUAAAAAAAAGGUCUGAUUUGAAAAAAUUGUUUAUGAGUGAUGAAUGGGCACAACACAAACUCAGUCGCACAAAACUUGGACGAGAAUUGGAGCAAUUAUUGUUUGACCAUACGUAUUGGGACAGAUUGACAAAUAUAGUUUCAUUAUAUGAGCCAUUAUACGUGGUGCUUCGACUUGUGGAUUCUGAAGUUGUUCCCACAAUGCCAUUUGUGUACGAGCUUAUGCACGUGAUGAAAGAGAACCUUAUUCGUCAAGGAGCUGGAGAUUGGAUGUUCAAAAUAAUACAAGAUCGUUGGCAGAAAACACUAAAACAUCCACUUCAUGCAGCAGGUACUUAAAUACUAUAUAUCUUUAUAAGUUUUUACUUUGUAUUUAAGUUUCUUUAAAAAAAAAAUACUAACUCUACUAAAUUUUAUUGUAGCAUACUUCUUGAAUCCAAGAUUUCAAUAUAGGCGUGGAGUUGGUAGUGAUUCGGAACUACUUCAAGCUGUCCAUGAUGUUUUUGCAAAAUUAGAUCCAACUACUGAAUCGCUUGGUCAAUUUGGAAAUGAGGUGAAUAAAAAAUUGUUAUUUUUGUCAAUAAAACAAUAAUUUCAUUCAUCAAUUUAUUUGAACGUUUACUAACAAAUUAAAUGUUGAAUACAUAGCUUGUACUUUUUCGAGAUGCAAAAAGAGUAUUCGGUGAUCGAGCGGCAAUUGCAUCAAGGUCAACCAUGGUGCCCGGUGAGUCUUUAUAGGAAAAAAUUGAUUAUUAUUAUUGUAAGUUCACCACAUAAGUAUUUAUAUGAUUAUCAAAUUCGUUGCAGCUGAAUGGUGGUUUAUGUAUGGGAAUCAAACACCUACAUUGAGAAAGUUAGCCAUCAAAGUUCUCUCACAAACUGCGUCAUCUUCUGCAUGUGAGAGAAAUUGGAGCACGUUUGCUCUCAUCCACACAAAGCAACGAAAUCGUUUGGCUUACUCUCGAUUGGAGCAAUUAGUGUUUUGUUACUAUAAUAUGAGGUUAAAGUUACGCGAUAUGGAGGCAGAAAAUGAUCGAGUUGCUGAAAAAGAUUACCUUGAUCUUCUUGACAUUUCAGCCGAGGUGGGUGAAGAAGAAGAUAAUCAGUUGUUCCAGUGGGUUAGGCCUAUACACUUGGAUGACAAAGUUGGAAAUCCUGAUCCACGAAUUGCCGCUCAUGCUCGAGAAUUUGGAGUUAAUGUUGAACGUGUGUUGUCCGAAGAAGUUCACUCUGAAAGUUUUAGCAAAGAUACUAAUGAUUCCCUUCAUGCGACAUAUUCCCAGCAAGAGAUUGACUCCACAAGUGCUGGCCAUAGUAGUAGACCUAGUGCUGCAGGUACUUCUGCUUCUGGUUACGAUGGUUCAAGAGGUGGAACUGAUGAUGGAGGUGAUAAUGGGGGAGGAGAUAUUGAUGAACGUCGACAUAGUCAAUAUCCAAUCAACCAAUUUACUUGUGAAAAUGAUUUCACACACUGCACACAGGAUGAAGACCAUGGCUCUAGAAGAGCUGGUCCAGGCAUAGGAGCUAUUGGGAAGCCUUAUAGAGGAAGAGAACGAAUGAUGGAACCAUAUAACGAGGAGUUACUUUCAGGGAGUUUUGAAUCUAUGAGUAUAGGGACUCAAUUUAGUGACUCCUCGAAUGAGGCUAACGUCUACCCUCCUCAUGUGAUGAGUUAUGGUCAACCUUCAAGUUCAACAGAUGAAGAGUAUGGUAUGUCGCAUUAUUCCCCUUCCAGACAAAUGCCAUACCAAAUUCCAUAUCAGAUGGAAAAAGGAUUUGGCGUUAACACAUGGGUGAACUUUGAGUAUCCUAUCCAUGUAGAAGCAGUAGGCAGGACUCAAGAGAUAUAUGCAUGGCAUGUUAGAAUUUAUAACCAAUAUUAUCGAGGCUCAUUGACUUGGUACCAAUAUUGUCUCCAACAGCAAGCCGGGGUUCCUUCAUCUAUCAAUCCCAUUGAACCACAUCGAAACUCAUUUUGGUACUAAAGGGACAUUGCAAUGUAAUGUGUACAAAUUAUUGUUAUUUAAUGAAAUGAAGUAUUUGAUGUGACUUUAUAAUGAGAACAAUUACGAAAUUAACAUUUCUUAUAGAUAGACAUGAUAUAAUUACAUCUAAUAUCGCAAAUUAUAUCAUAUAUAUAUCAAAUUUUUCAAUAAACAAUUUUAAAAUGUCUAUUAUACUNNNNNNNNNNNNNNNNNNNNNNNNNNNNNNNNNNNNNNNNNNNNNNNNNNNNNNNNNNNNNNNNNNNNNNNNNNNNNNNNNNNNNNNNNNNNNNNNNNNNUGGCAUGUUAGAAUUUAUAACCAAUAUUAUCGAGGCUCAUUGACUUGGUACCAAUAUUGUCUCCAACAGCAAGCUGGGGUUCCUUCAUCUAUCAAUCCCAUUGAACCACAUCGAAACUCAUUUUGGUACUAAAGGGACAUUGCAAUGUAAUGUGUACAAAUUAUUGUUAUUUAAUGAAAUGAAGUAUUUGAUGUGACUUUAUAAUGAGAACAAUUACGAAAUUAACAUUUCUUAUAGAUCGACAUGAUAUAAUUACAUCUAAUAUCGCAAAUUAUAUCAUAUAUAUAUAUAUAUCAAUUUUUUCAAUAAAACAAUUUUAAAAUGUCUAUUAUACUUCUAAUUAUAUUAUUAUGAGGUUUUUCUUGCAUUUUCAUGAGUUUUUAACAAUUUUAAGCCUACCAAUAAUAUCCACCGAUAUAUCUCCGAUAUAUCCAAAAAUAUCUCCGAUAUAUCCGUAAAAUCGAAUUACCGAUAUAUCCGUGAUUACCGAUAUUUUCAUCCUUGCUCACGUAUCAAGUGAUACUUCCUCUCUAUGUGUUUACCCUUCUAAUGGUUUCUUAGUUUUUUAAACUAUGUCAUCAACCCAAUAUUAUCACAUAACAAUACUAAGGGUGAUGCAGCCAAGGGUACAAGCUUGAGUGUUAUCAGGAACUUCCAAAACCAAAUGGCCUCCUUUGCUACUUUAGAAGCAGCAACAUACUUAGCUUCCAUAGUGAAGUCAACAAUACAUGAUUGAUUCACACUUCUCCAACUUAGAUCCUCACCACCUAGAGUGUUCAUAAAUCCGAAGGUAGAUUUGUAAGACUCUUUAUCAAACUGAAAGUCUGAAUCCUAGUACUCAAAAUGUACCAACUCAUCACAAUGAUACACUAGCAUCAAAUCCCUUAUUCUCCAAAGAUACUUGAGUAUAUAUUUGAUCGUCGUCCAAUGAUUUAAGCCCAGAUUGGACUGUAUCUACUCAUCAUUCCUACAACAAAGCAAAUAUUUGGUUUAGUACAUAGCACUAUCUACAUAAGGCUACCCAUUACUGAGGCAUAGGUUACUGCCUCUAUGCACUCUUUUUCCUUAAGUGUCUUAGGACAUUGAUUCUUAUAAUGACUUUUUUUUUUUUUUGUUAAGAGCUUGAUGUUUAUCUUAGCCUUGACAUUCAAAAAUCAUCAAUGUUUUUCUUAGUUGACAUUUUUAAUAUAAAAAGUUUGCAUUGAAAAAGUUGUGUUUAUAAAUUUUAGUGUUGAUAUUAAUAAAUCAUCAAUAUAAGAUUUUUUUUAAAAAAAAACAAAAAAAACACUAUGCACAUAUUGCUUGAGGGUAUUAGUUGCUAUGCGGCUUUUUGAAAAUAUAAAAUUUCAUAGAAGGUUCAUGUUCAUAAUUCAAUUACUUUCACCAAAAAGUUUAAAGCUUUUGGUUCACUUCAAUUGUGCUUUAUUGAAAACAUUAAUCUAGCUAAGAAAGCGCAUGGAUAUUCUUGGUUGAGCUACCUUAUUUGAGGAUCAUUUCAUGGUGAGAAGAGAACCCAAAGGUCCCCUACUCCACAACAUUUUGUGAAAUUGGGCUAAUACAAGUUUUAAAUCAAGUUCACUUGGAUUUUCCCCUAUUUACAAGCCCCUUUUCUCUAUCAGUUGAAAGAAAGAAUUUCCCUAAAAAUCUAUCAUUCAUUCCUCACACAUCUCCAUUUCACAACAUUCUAAAAUCAACUCCCUAAGGUUCAACGCUCGACUCACCAAGAUUUUUAAAGCUACAAUCGUCUCCCUUUACUUGGGGAAACACCUUUUGACACACAUUCAUUUGAAAGUGGUUAAGUUUUGGGGCAUUGUUGCCAGGGAGGACACAGAAAAAAUAGUGCAGUAAAGUUUUGUGGGAGUUUGUUUGGUUGUGAUUGACCUCACUACUCAAUGAAUUCUUUCUACUCUAGUUGCUUUUUAUAUUUUGUAGUUCAAAUUUUUUCAAUUAAAAAUGAGAGAAGAAAAGAAAAAAAGAAAAAGAAAAUGUUUAGGUCGAAUUGUUUAUUGUUGAACAUUGUUGGGUAACAACAUUUGAAAGACAUACAUGGAAUAAUUGGAAAUAUAUGCACACAUCUUUGCACAUGUCCUAUGACACUUUUGGGAGACUUCACCCAAGCCCUAUGAACCUAGAUAGGAGGAGUGAUCAUUCCAUAUGGAGAACCCUAUUUUUUCCAACAACUUCAUUCCUAGUACCAUGAACCUCAACCAAGUUGCUAUUCCUAUGCACCGACAUCUAAUAUUGUGUUUAAGGAAAUGACUAAUACCAUCAUGGAAUACCAAACCUCCAUCAAUGCUAACAUUAUACAACCUUACAAUAUAUUGCAAACUCUGUAUAUCAACUUACUUCUAUUUUGGUUACCCAUGAGCAAGGAGAGUUCAACUCCUCCAACCUAAUGUACAAAACCAAGGAAACUAGUUGUACCUUAACCUUUUGAGCUAAAAGAAGAGCAAGACAUUAAGGAAGGGCUUUAUGGAAUCCAAAUUUUUGACAAACCACAUUUCAUCAUGUUAAUACAUCCAUGGAACCAUCAAUCUUUAGUUGAGAUGCAUAACUUUAAGGCUGUUGAUUUCCUUGGUAGUGAUUUUUUUUUUUUUAAAAUAAGCCAAAUUCCAAAGAUAAAUACUUGGGCAUAACCUCAACCAAAACCUUAUUUUUCUAAGUCUAAAGAAAGGUCGAGGCAAAAAUUAAGGCACCCAUUGGCAUAGGGAGGCAAAGCCUAAUGUGGUGGAGUUGUGAGACCACCAAGCUCAUAUUUUGCAAGAAAAAGGGCAACUUUCCACACCUCUAUUGAACUUAUUUUUAUGAUCAACCUAAGUGAAUAAAUAAAAGGGUGAACAAAAAAGAAAUCUACCUAUCUUUAUUUUGUUUACCCUAUUUUAUGGCUGCUUCAUUGUAGUUUGUUUCUUUUAUAACUUUUAAAUAAUCCUCGAUGUUAUCCUUAUACUUUCAUUAAUGUUAUGAGAGGUAAUAUCCUUCCAUUUACUCAUUCUUUUUCCACAAUAUUAAAUUGUCUUAUUCCUUCAUUGUCACUUGAAAACAUUGAAGACAAUGUUUAGUUGUUGAAUAUUAUAUGAAUAUGAUGUGAUAUGAUAUGGUGUGGUAGAGGAUGGGUUAGAAUGAAAAUUUUAAAAAGAAUAAAAUAAAAAAUAGAACACUUGUGAAUAUUUAUACUUCACACUUGCAUAUACAUCUAAUUUUUGUUUAACCUUUAGAAAAGUCUUCCCUAGAUUAUAGUUUAAGAGUCUUUCGUAACAAAACUUUGGAGGAUAAGUAAGUUGAAACCAGGUUUCAUGAAGACUAAGGGUUGAAUUACUUGAUUAAGUAGAGGCCUAGUAAUUGGGUUCAACUUAAAACCUAAAUUAUUAGUAAUCUAGGUGGAUAUUUCUUGUGCUCCAUUUAUCACACAUGAUGUAUAUAAACAAGUGAGGUAGGUUGAAGGUCUUAAGGAUCUAAGCUCUUGCAUGAUAAUUUUGGGUAUAAUAUCCUUGAAGUUGUUAUUGGGUUUGCUAUAUAUAUAUAUAUAUAAGUAUAAAAAGCCCAAAAAAAAAAAAAAUAAUGAAUAAUUUUUUAUAAUAGUCCCUACUGAGUAAUGGAGCCUCUUCUCCUAAGGCAAGAGUUGAGGUUCGCAACAUAGGUAGGAGUCUUGAAGUUCAAGCAUACGUGUGUAAGCUUAUAAAUAGCUGGAAACUAGGGUAUGAGUCUAAGAGGAAUCUCCCAUCCAUGCAUUGUGAAGUCGUAGGGCUUGGAAGCCACUGAUUUUGCUACCCGCUACAUUGGUAAGAAGGCAUAGUAUAGUGCAUUGCCCUUUCCACAAAAUUAUGAAUGAUGGUUUGCAAGGUAAUAUAAACUUCAACCCAAAUCAUUAAACAUAAAUUUAGAAUGCUGAAAUUUUGAGCUAAAAGAUAGACUCACUUACCUUUUUUCUCUAAGCAAAUAAACAUGAAAGAUAAAUCUAUAAAGUUCACCUCGAAGGCUAACAAUGGUGGUUUUAGGAAAAACUUGGGACAAUAAGUUUUCUAUUUUAUUGAGUGAUUGAACUUAAGGUUGAUAAUGUGAUGUGGCUUGAACAAUCUCACCCAAAUAAGUUAAUAUUCACAAAAGGCUUGUCAAAUUAUUAUUUAGAAUAGGAGGUUUUAAGUGGUGAUGGUAUAAAUAUGCAUUUAGUUUUCAAGGUAAACUAGACUUCAACCUAAAUCAUUAAAACUUGAAUUUAGAAUCUGGAACUUUUGAAUGAAAAGGCAGAGACACUUACCUCUUUUGUCUAAGCAAAUUAAUGUGAAAGGGAAAUCUAUAAAGUUCACUUUGAAGGUUAAUAAUGGUGCUUUUGGGAAAAACUUGGGACAAUAGGUUUUUAAUUUUAUUGAGUGAUCGAACUUAAGGUUGAAGUGGUUUGAACAAUCUCACCAGAAUAAGUUAAUAUGCACAAGAGACAUGAGGAACAUACGUGGGGCUCACCUUUUUUAGACCUUUCCAAGCAACCAUUGGAUACUCCACUUGAUAUUUGGAUGCAUCCACGUGUUAGACCAUCUAGGGCAUGAUUAGGGGAGCCUACCAAAGAGAUUUUCAGUGGUCUUUCUUUUUUCCUUCUUCGUUCUUCAUUUUGGCUUUACAAUAGAACUUUUGGAAGGGGAGAUUUUGGAAGCGGCAGGAGUUCAGGUUUCCUCAUAUUUUUCCAAUCUUGUUUUGAUUAUUUUAGUAGCCUUGCAAUCAUCCAAUUUUUUUUUUUAGUUGUAAUUGAAUACUUUCAUUUUCAUUGGAUCAAUGCAUUAUUAGAUUUGAGUUUUGGAUUUUAAUGUUUGUUUUCUUAUGAUUUGUUUUUACUCCUAAGUUUAGUCUUGUUUCAUGUCUUUCAAAUAGUCAAAUUAAUAGGUUGAUCGAGGAAAGAGGCCCUAAGGAACUCGCUUUCAUCUAUGGAAUGGUCCUUUUAUUAUGGGUAUUUAUUGAUUUAAUCAGUUUGCAAUUUAGAUUUCUUCAAUUUUUACGAAAUUGUCAUGUCUUGAUAUUCGGAAAUUGACGUUUAGACCCCCUUUGAAGGUAUUACAAGUGCUUAGCAGGCAGAACCAUUUUUUACAUGAAAUGAUCAUUAUUGAGUCCUAAAUACUACAAUUUGACAAACAAAUGUGUAGUAGGACCUUUAAGCAUGUACUUUAUGAGAAAAUCCAAUUAACAAGUUUAAGGCUUUUGGUUUAGUUCAAUUGUGCUUUUAUUGAAAAUAUUUCAACCAAGAGAACCAAUAGGUAUUCUUAAUUGAGUUACUUUAUUUGAGGAUCAUUUCAAGGUGAGAAGGGAACCCAAAAGACCUCCCUCUAAAAGACGAAUUCUUCCUAAAAAAUAAAAUCAUUCCUCAAAAUUUUUCCAUGAUUAUGUACAAGAAGCACCUCAAAGCACAAGAAAAAAUUCAAUUCCAGAUGGUCACAAAGAUUUGAGACUUUAAAAAAAUUUGCAAAAUGACCUACAUGGUGUUCCUCUAAAAUGAAUUGGCCAUAAACAUGCUAAAGAACAACAAUAUCGGAACAAUGUAAUAACAUUAAGUUAUGGGCAUUCACCCAUUUGUUUUGUUCCUUGGAUUUGUUUUAUUCCUUAGAUUUUAUCAGAAUAAUUACUAAUUAAUAUUCAAAACAAAUCUAGGUCCAUACACUAGUGGAGAGGGAAAUAGAGAAAAUGAUAUGGAUAAGACAUAUCUUAUUCAAAAUAUAUUAGACAACAUACUAUGGGUAAAUGUAUGUGAUGUUUAUGUAGUGAGUAUUAUUUAUUUAUUUAUUUAUAUAUUUUAACUUCUCAAAUUUCCAACUAAAAAUAGAACUUUUUCAAAAAUAAUGAAACUAUAUAUAAAAAAAAUCAAAUCCAAUAAAUAAAACGUCUAAACUUAAAUAUUUCCCAAAAUUCAAAAAGUAAAAAAAUAUAUGUAUAUUUAUUCAGAAAUCUAUGAAACAACUUCUCAUAGAAAUAAGCAUGUUUGAAGGAUCAUGCAAUUACCUUGAAAUAGUGGUAACAGUUGACCUAAUAAGUUCUUGAUCUAAAUCAACUAUUUCUGCUCCAAGCUCAAGCUUCAUUUUGUCCUAUUGCUUGGUGUUAGUAAGAAUUAGUUCGUCCCAUCUCUAAUCAUAUUAUUCCUUUACACUUCUUAUCGCCUAGGUCAUAUUUGAACCACCAUUUCUAGGGAGCAACAUUCUUGCAUGUCUAACAAUUAUUCCCCAAAUAUGAUGCUCCUAUGACUCAAACUUUGGGCCUAGCUCUAUUACUACAUGUUGGAACCCAAGGAAUGACAUGAGAAGUGGAGUUCAAAACAACACAUUGAAUUAAAAAAAAAAAAAAAAAAGCAUGCAAAAGUGGUAGUUUUACAGCUGGCAUAAUGUAGGGCCACUUGCACUAAUUAUAUUUAUGUUUUAUUUUAUUUUUUAGAACUGGCUACAACAUGUGAGCUUCAAGAGGAAAAACUACAAAAGUGCUGGUCUUGAAGGAGAACUUGAUAAGAGACAUUUGAUAAAGUUAAGCCCCUAAUUUUUUGUUUAAGUAAGGAUUAAUUAUAUUUACUGUUCUCAAACAUUUGGUUACUUAUGCUAAUUAUGCCUACUUGUAUUGUCAUGCAAAAAUUCUCACAUUCUAUCGUUCAAAUUGAAUCUUCUCAAAAUAAAAAAAAAAUCAGCACAAAACUGUUGAAAUCGUAAAAAUACCACAUGUAAAAUUCCUUCGGCAAAGUUAAUUUUAUUCAAGUAAGUACAGUCAUGUGAUACCAAAAACAAAGCUAAGAUCAAUACAUCACUUCUGCCAUGUAUCGAUUAUCUUCCAAGUAACUUUGUCAUAGCUAAGAUAAAACCCAUCCUCUUUCACCAGGGAAUAGACUAUGCUAUGACCUCCAUCUCUCGUUGGCUCAAAUACACUAACACUGGCAGAUUGGCUUCCAAGGGUUGUGUAAAGGUAAUAUGUUGUCGGUGUGGCAACCAUCAAUUGGAAGCUCUCACCCACCCUGAGAGUGCGCUCAUCAAGGGGUCUAUGUUGUGACUUGAUGCGAAUGUCUAAUGGCUGUGAUACAUACGAUUCAGGUAAGCCAUUCAUGACUUCAAGAGUGGGUAGUGGAUCAUAACUCUUCCCAUAUGCUAUCAAGCACAUGAAGAUGAUCACUACAAGAACAAAAGAAAAGAGGCUAUGAUUUGCCAUUCCCUAAGAGCAAUAUUUUGAUGUGCUUCUCUUCUUAGUCUUCUUUAUAUAAGCAAAUGUAGUAAUUGAAGAAAAAAACAAAUUAUAAUUAAGGAGAAAAUCAAGCGACCAUCCACAUCGAUUUCCAAAAUAUGUGAAAAGUUUCAAAAAAUUAUUACAAGAUUUGUAGUUAUCAUUAAAUUUGGAGAAAAACAAAUUAACUAAAUGUGUUCAAACGUUUUAAAAUCACUACAAGAAGUUUCCUUCCCUUGUAUAUUAGGAGACAUUUUUAGAUUAUUCCUAAAUUGGAGAAUCCUAGUUAAGAUGUGGAGAACAUUCAUUUAUAGAAUAUUGUGGUUCUCAAAUUAUGAAAAUGGUAAUAAGAUAUUAAUGCUUAUCUUAUUAUCACAAUAUCCUAGACUUUUUUUUUUGUCCUUUUUAAGUUUAAAUUUUAAUAUUAUUUUACAAUAUGCUUUAUAAGUAUUUUUUUAAUUCUUUUUUAUCCACAAAUUUAAUUUUAUAAUAAAAAAAUUUAUUUUAAAACUAAGUAAUAUAAAAAAUAAAGAAUUAAUGAAAAAUUAAUAUAUGAUGUGGGAUAUGCAUAUCCUACAUCUCAAUCUAGGAUUAAUUUAUAUAUAUUGCUUACUUCUACUAAAGUUUUAAAUACUUUAGUUUGCAAUACCAUGAUAACUUUAGGUUUUUAAUUUUUGAAAUAAAUAUAAAUUCAUAAAUAUAAUACAAAUAAAGUUAUAAAUGUUGUAAAUGAAGAGUAGUGAAUGACCACAUUGAUGGCCAUUAUGAACUCCAUUUACUCAUCUUUAAGAUGAGUAAUGGGAGUUCAUAUUAUGAAGCCUAUAAAAGGCUUCUUACACCCCAUGUAAGAGCAUCCCGAGAAAAGAAAGAAAAAUUCUUCCUCUCAUCCUCUCUCUCUCUCUCUCUCUCUUUCUUUCACUUUCUCAAUUCUCUUCUUUGAUUCCUUCUUCCAUAUUAUAUAUCAAAGUAAGAUAUAUUUUAUCUCUACUACUUUGAUUUGCAUUAUAUUUGUCCUUGUUUUACAACACGUUAUCAGCACGAAUUGCUCUGAAGGUAAUUCUCGUAUCUUAAACUUGAAGUUAUUUAUAUAGAAUAAAAUUUUACAUAUUUAUAUUAUUGUUGAUUUAUUUUGUUACAUAUUGUUAAAAGUUAUAAACAAAUUAUUUGAUUUUGUUUAUAAUCAAAUUUAUACCAAUGUUAUCAAUUUAUUAUAAUUGAUUCUAAUAAUAUUGUUUUUUCAUAUAUAUGAAGUUAUUUGACAAUGUCGAAUAUCACAAAACUCGAAUUUGUGGCACUUGACAUUUUGGGAAAGAACUAUCUAUCUUGGAUCCUUGAUGCUAAAAUACAUCUUGAUGCAAUGAAUCUUGGAGCUAUGAUAAAAAAAAAUGAAAUCAAGCAUCCCUGCAAGAUCGCACAAAAACACUGAUUUUCCUUCAUCAUCAUCUCCAUGAAGGUUUUAAAAAAAGUUUUUGAUGAAAAAUCACCAGUCUCAUCCAACUAUAUUUGAAUCAUUCCCUGAAGUGAAUGCAAUAUCGUCCCAAACUCGUGGACGUGGAUGAGAACGUGGUUGUGGUCGUGGAAGAAAUCCCCGAUACCAUGGUUCUUAUAAUAAUAAUUCUUAGAAAAUGAAAGCCUCAUUGCACCACCAGAAGUGGAAUAAUAUGAAAUGGAACAAUAAUGAGGCAAAAUAAGAAAAUGGGAAGCGUUUACAAGAUAAACCUCCUAAGAACCAUGAGAAUAAUUGUUAUAGAUGUGGUAUGAAGGGGCAUUGGUCACGUACCUGUCGUACGCCCAAACAUUUGGUCGACCUUUACCAAGCAUCAAUAAAAGCUAAAGGAAAAGAUAUAGAGAUGAACUUUACCGAUGGUGAUGGAUUGGACCUAACCUACUAUGACAUUGAUUUCUUUGGAGGUUCCAAUGAAAAAACAGACCAUUUGAUAAAUGAUGAGAAAAUUAACAUUGAUUGAUGUUACUUUAUAUAUGAAAUAAUAUAUUAUUAUGUCUUAUAUUUACAUCUGAUUUACUUUGUUAUUUACAUUAUGCCUUGUUUUUUUUUGUUAUAUCUGAAAUCCAUGUGUUAUUUGGUCUUAAGAUGAAUGAGGAUGAUGUAUGUCUCACAGACUGUGCGACCACGCACACAAUUCUUCGAGAUAAAAGAUAUUUCCUCGAAUUGACAUUAAUAAAAGCUAUUGUAAGUACCAUAUCUGGUACUAUAAACUUAGUUGAAGGCUCUGGAAGAGCAAACAUAACAUUGCCAAAUGGAACUAGAUUCCAUAUAAAUGAUGCGUUAUAUUCUAGCAAAUCCAGAAGAAAUUUGCUUAGUUUUAAAGAUAUCCGCAGAAAUGGAUAUCAUAUUGAAACUAUGAAUGAAGAUAAUGUAGAAUAUCUUUACAUUACUUCCAUUAUAUCUGGCCAGAAGCUUAUAAUGGAAAAACUCCCGGCUUUCUCCUCUGGGUUGUAUCAUACAACUAUAAAGCCUAUUGAAUCAUAUGUUGUCGUGAACCAGAAGUUCAACGACCCAAAAGUUUUUGUCUUUUGGCAUGACAGGCUAGGUCACCCAGGGUCUUCAAUGAUGCGUCGAAUAAUCGAACACUCACAUGGGCAUCCACUAAAGAACCAGAAGAUUCUUUCACCCAAUGAAUACUCAUGUGCUGCCUGCUCACAAGGUAAGUUGAUAAUCAGACCAUCUUUUACUAAAGUCAUAUCUGAGUCACCAAUCUUUUUAGAAAGAAUACAUGGGGACAUAUGUGGGCCUAUCCAUCCACCAUGUGGACCUAUCCAUCCACCAUGUGGACCAUUCCGUUCUUUUAUGAUCUUAAUAGAUGCUUCUACUAGGUGGUCACAUGUUUAUCUCCUUUCUACACGUAACGUAGCCUUUGCUAGACUCCUUGCACAAAUAAUCAAAUUACGAGCACAAUUUCCAGAUUAUCCAAUUAAGACAAUACGUCUUGAUAAUGUUGGCGAAUUUACUUCUCAAACAUUCAUUGACUAUUGCAUGUCAGUAAGGAUAAAUAUUGAGCAUCCUGUUGCUCAUACUCAUACCCAAAAUGGUUUAGCAGAAUCCUUCAUCAAAUGUCUCCAAUUAAUAGCUCGACCAUUACUAAUGAAAACCAAAUUACCUACUUCCGCUUGGGGACAUGCUAUAAUGCAUGCUGCAACUUUAGUCUGUAUUCGACCUACAACUUACCAUGAAUACUCCCCUUCACAACUUGUGCUUGGCAAACAACCAAAUAUCUCUCACUUACAAAUCUUUGGUUGUGCAGUAUAUGUACCAAUUGCACCUACACAACGUACUAAAAUGGGUCCCCAACGAAGACUUGGGGUUUAUGUAGGUUUUGAUUCUCCAUCUAUCAUAAGAUAUCUUGAACCUUUGACAGGCGAUGUUUUUACAGGUCGUUUUACGGAUUGUCAUUUUAAUGAGAGUGUUUUCCCAUCAUUAGGGGGAGAAAAGUCGAUUCCUGAAGAACGACGAGAAAUUAGUUGGAAGGCAUCUAAUAUGACCCAUCUUGAUCCUCGUACAAAUCAAUGUGAACUAGAAGUUCAAAGGAUCAUUCAUUUGCAAAAUCUUGCAAAUCAAUUACCAGAUGCAUUCAUUGAUACAAAGAAAGUGACAAAGUCACAUAUCCCGGCUGCAAAUACUCCAGCACGGAUUGAUGUCCCUGUAGGACAUUUAACAAAUGAAUCUAAGAUAUGCCUGAAGCGUGGUAGACCUAUCGGCUCAAAGGAUGUAACUCCUCGGAAGAGGAGAACCCAAGAAAAACUUGACACUUUAGAAGAGACCAUCAAAAUGACUGAUCAGUUUAAAAUUGAUAAAUCUAUAGCCUUAGAAGAGGCACAAAUAAUGCAGAAAGCCCCUGAAGAGGCACAUAUUGAACAAGAAGCCCCUGAAGAGGCACAGGUACCUGAAAAUUGUGAGAUCUCAGUAAGUUAUGUACAAACGGGAGAAAAAUGGGAUCGAAAUAAUAUUGUUAUUAACAAUAUUUUUGCUUUCCAAGUGGCCUCUGAUAUCAUAAGAAAUGAUGAAGAUCCCGAACCAUGAAAUAUGGAAGAAUGUCGACAUAGAAAUGAUUGGCCAAAAUGGAAAGAAGCUAUACAGGCAUAAUUAAACUCAUUAACAAAAUGAGAAGUUUUUGGACCUGUAGUCCAAAUACCUGAAGAUGUAAAGCCUGUUGGGUACAAAUGGGUAUUUUUAUGAAAGCGCAAUGAGAAUAAUGAGAUCAUAAGAUAUAAAGCGCAAUUAGUAACACAAGGUUUCUCGUAGAGACCUGGUAUUGACUACGAGGAAACAUAUUCUCCCAUCAUGGACGCAAUCACAUUUCAUUUUUUAAUUAGUUUGGCAGUCUCAGAAGGACUGGAUAUGCGUCUCAUGGAUGUUAUUACAACAUAUUUAUAUGGAUCCAUGGAUAAUGAUAUAUACAUGAAAAUCCCCGAAAGAUUUAAAUUGC